rnacentral:lncRNA from 1 species
UUUUUUUUUUUUUUUUUUGGUUUGUGUUUUGGGGGGGGGGGCCUUCGGUUCCCAGCAGAAUGAGGACUGGGGCCGGAAUUGUUGUAUUGACACUUUUGCAAUGCAGUGUCCCGAAAAAGUUGUGCAAGACAAUAAACAUUUUGUCUCUUAGUUUUUGUUCCAACUCAAAGAUUGAAAGAGCUGAUGUUUCAUCCAUAAAUUUGAGUCAGUACCAUUAUUUAGAUUCUAUCAUUCACGAACGCUCCAUCAAGUUCAAGGGUCUUGGCCCCGAUCAGCUUAAAGAGUGUUGUCUAUUCUAUGGCAUGUGAACUUCAUAUUUCCGAAGCAUGAUAGAAGACAGAAUUAUUCAGGUGUCAAGUGCGACUUUAUAGUUCAAUGUCUCACCUAAAAGGCUCUUUCUUUAUUUGCCAUUGUCGUCGGUACCUAGGUUACUACAAAACCAUGCCUCCAUGGUUUCAAAAUUAUAGUUGCAUGAAAACAGAACCAAAAUUUCAGUCGAAAUUGGUAUUAAUUCCAGGAUAAGGAUUUUUUCUUUUUUUUUUUUAAGGUAAAACUGUAACUUUUGUUGAUAUGAAACAAGAAAAUUUGUACAAGAAAUUGAAUACGUCAGGAGCUUACAUAUCAAACAAACUAUCAUAGAUGCCUCUCUCAACAUUACACUAAUUGAACACUGUGAACAACCACCAGCCACCAAAGACUGGUGGCCACCACCAAAGACUUAAGUCUUAGUGGGUGUGACGUCAAUGGUUCAAAUAUUGACUCCCAUCAUAAUAUGUGGUUUCCUCAAAUCCGUACGGGUGCGUAGUUAUCAUAAUAUGUGGUUUCCUAAAUUUCCUACGGGUGCGUAGUUAUCAUAAUAUAUGAUUUUUUCUCAAAUCUAUACGAGUACAUAGUGCAUUCGUCUGAUUCGAUGAUGGUUCAGUCUCCAUCGGCUCCUCUGUAAGCCCAGUUGGACCUAACAUUUUAUCCAUCUGCGAGACAUAGAUGAAUAGCGGUGAUCUUUGAGGAUCGUCUUCCCUUCCAUGAAUAACUGGCCCAAAGCUGAGCACAACUUUAUAAACAAAUCCAUGAGCCAAGACCAUUUUUAUCCCACUCGCUUCAAUUUUGGACGUAAACAAGUUCUAUCUGCACUUACAAGUCUCUCAUGCAAACUAUUUUUUUCAAUCUCUUUUCAUCUUGAUGUUACAAGUUCAUUUUACAAUAAAAUUGAUAGACAUGUCGAGAACCAGGAUAAAUUUUCCAAGUACUUCAAACUUUAUCUACCCUUCAAAAAACACAACCCAAUAGUUCAUCUUUGUGUACCUUUUACGAAUUUUGGAAAGCAUUAUCAGGCUCGUGAGAUUUUUCUGUAGCCAUGAAAUUCUUUGAACUUCACACCCCGCAUAUGUGGGCUCCACAAGAUAGUUUCCUCAUUCCUGGCCUUUGAAAUUUGAAUUUUGCAUAUUGUGGCGAUCGGAAGCCGGGCUUCCCGGUGCAACGAGAGGCCUCCGCGUCGCAAUUUGAUUGGGCUUCCAGUACUUGCUUUUCAACAGCACUGCAGGACUCUCAAUGAUUGUUCCUAGCUUGGGCCUGGCCCUCUAAACUCUCGUUUUCUAGCAACUUUGUUAUUUUUCUUCGGCUCGUAGUCGACUGAAUAUAAAUGGCGCACUAAUAAAAUCAACGACAGAAGCACUAAAAAAUUUGCAUUUUUUUCUCUCUAAAAAAAGAAUAGUAUAUUAAGCUUUUUAAAAAAAAAAAAAAAAUUUUUAGGGAUAAGGACGUUGAAAAAAUUCUUCUUAUACUUUUUGUAUUUGGAAUUCUUCUUUUUUUUUGAGCUCCCUAUAUUGAACGUUAUACACGAUGAAUUCUUAAAAAAAAAUAGUGCGAAUGAAAAGUUAACAAGGAUAAGUAAGUCAAAAAAUUGUUUUUAACCCUCAAGUACGUGGCUGCUGUGCAGUAAUUAACUCCAAUUUUUUGCUAUGUCAUAUGAUUAUUAUUCCAUUAAGAGACUAAAUUCUGGAAAGAGUUUAACGAGGGGGUUGAAAUUUUUGGAUUAGUGAAGGUGGCAAUAUUUUUAUAUUAUGGAGCUGUUGAGAAGAGCUUUUAAGGAUGAAAAGAAAAUUGCCCACCAAAAAAAAAACUGCCUAAUUUCUUAAGCUCUUCAAGCUGGGUCAAUAUAUUAAUAUUGUCGAUUGUGACUGUCCUUUUUUUCUUGUCGAUAGAUUCCUACACUAGGGGGAGAGGGAGGACCUGAAGAGAUCCAAGAGUAAUUCGGAAGAGAUUGAACUUCCAUCCAGUGACGGAGCCAGGAUUUUUUUUUUGGGGGGGCCAAAAUUGAAAUUCCAUUCAAAGAUGACUAAUUCAUAUAUAUAUAUAUAUAUAUAUAUCAACUCUCAUAAUAUAAACUAAAAUUAAAAAAAUUUAGGGGGGGCCAAUUUUAUUUUACACACAUAUUUACAUAUUAUGAAUUAAAAUUCUCAAAACUUAGGGGGGGCCAUGGCUCCCCUCUGCCCCCCCUUGGCUCCGUCAUUGCUUCCAUCGAACCAGACGAAUGCACUAUGUACUCGCUGAAUAUUUUAACUAUAACCAUUUUUUAAUAUGACGAAUUGAGAGGGGGCAAGUUUGACGUAUCCUCUUUUGCUUCUUCUAUUCUAUGGCCACUCUUGCUGGCAAGGUACUAUUAAAUAUAUGUGUUAAUAUUGUCGAUUGUGAUUGUCUUUUUUUUUUUGUCAAUACGAUAGAUUCCUACAUUAGAGGGAGAGAGAGGACCUGAAGAGGUCCGAGAGUAAUUCGGAGGAGACUGAACUUCCAUCGAACCAGAUGAAUGCACUGCAUACUCGCUUGAAUAUUUUAAAUAGAACCACUUUUUUUUUAAUGUGACGAAUUGGUAGGAUGCAAGUUUGACGUAUCCUCUUUUACUUCUUCUAUUCUAUGGCCACUUUUGCUGGCAAGGUACUAUUAAAUACAUGUGAUUCUGAUUUUCUGUCCUUGGUUCGCCGUGUAAAGUAGAAAAGAAAUUUGUUCAGGGUCAAUUUUGGGCGGAUGAAAAAAGUGCACGUAACGCCGAAGUGCCUAUUACCACCCACCUGUUCUUGGGCAAUACUUUAAUAAUGGAUGAGUGAUGAAAGACAAAUUUGAGGUGAGGUAACGUGACAGUCCUAACUCCUUCCGUUUCCUUCACUCAGAUUUUUAAUGAGACGUAAUGUUAUUUUAUUGCACGUUAUACUCAUAGGUUAAAAUUGUAAAUCUAGCAAAGAGAAGUUAAUACGUUAUGAUCUCUGAUAAGUAGAUUAAUUAAUUGUUCUCUGAUGAGUAUUGAUCAAUUUAAAUUAUUCAAAAGGAAUAGACCAUCUAAACCUCGAAGAAUUUUAAGUAACUGAGACUCUCAACUAAAAAAACCCAAAAUCAUCCUGAGAUUCAAUCAUGAGAGAAACCGAAGCCUUUUUUUUUUUGUUCCAAUCUUGCAUCAAUAAUGAACAAACACCAUACGCAUUCUUGUAAUCAUCAAUAGUCUCUCUUUUUUUUUUUUGGUCUAAAAAGUACCCAUUCGACACGCGUUAAGAUACUCAUUGGACAUGCAUUAAAAUAUAUUUUAGAUGUCAUAUUUUUGAAAUUAUAAGAUUAGUUAGGGAAAGUAAAUAAAUACAAGAGAGAGUAGGUAAGAAUAAAUAAGGAAAUUAUAUAAAUGUAAGAAAGGAUAAUAAUUGUAACAUGUAUAUAUAUACAAUAGGUUAGGUCAAUUUUAAAUAUAUUAACGAGUAUCCAACGAGCACCCGUUAAAAAAUUCUAUAAUUUUUUUAAUCACUCUAACUUCUUCUUUCUUUUUUUUUUUUUGCUGAAAAAGAAAAUUCAAUAGAGGAAGGAUGAGAUUCAAGGACUGGCAAAGGAGGAGGAGGAGAUUAGAAUCCAAAACCAUAAGCCCUUGAUCACUUACUGGUACGCGUACUCUACAGAUUUUGAUGAAAAUCUGAAAAGGUGCAGACGGUCGAGGUGCACGCCGCGACACUCUUUCAUCCCUGAAAAGUAUUUAACGUAACGACGAGUUAUAAGAAGAAGGAAAAAAAAUGUUCACGAGGGCGUGAAACAAGAAACAUAAACAACAGCGCCUGUAUUUUUUUAAGUCCAAUUUUGAUUUGCAGCGGACAAAUGUGAUUCAUCUUCUUCCUGGGGUUGGCGUCCAAGAAAAGCAAAUAUUCCUAGAAUCCCACUUCAUUUUGGCUGUUAUGAUAAAGUACAUACUGCCGAAAUGCCUAUUAUAAUCAAUCUGUCUUUAGUCCAAUAAUAGAAAAUGAAGACAAAACUGAGAUGAAAUGACACCAUAGUCUAGAUUCUUUCGAUGCUCUUCACUGCAAAGUACAAUCUUAUGAGGCAUAAACUACCGUUAGUUUAUUUCAAGGCAUGCAUUAUCUAUUUUGUUGACGAUGAAGGCAGUUAAUCAAUAGCAGUGCCUGUGUUCAUGAUGGCUUUUUCUUUUCUUGGAUUGACUAACUCUUCUACGUCCAUAUUAAGUUCUUGCAAAAAGAACCAGCCGUAUCAGUUUUCAUUUGUCCGUCUUCCCAUGUAAAUUUUAGGAAGCUUAAUGUAGAGAUUUUGAGGAGGAAGGAAGAGCUAAGAUCUUAACAGAGCACCAAAAGUAUCAUUCUGCAACAUUUUUUUCUGUGGUAAAACUAGUAAUCCUAUAAUGGUUUUUGAACCAUUUAAAUAGUCAAAGGGAUUCCGAGUAGCUUAAACUCUCAAAUGAACAGACCAUCUAGAACCGGAAGAGUUCUUAUGUAAACAGACUCUGAACUAAAGAAACCCGAAGCUUCCCUUUCUUUUCUUUUUUUUGGGUUCGAAUCCUGCAACAAUAAGCCAACCCUCUGGCGGCUAAAUUUCUAAACGCAUACGACAAAACACUCGAAGACUCUCAUACAUUGUAAGUCUAUUAUAUGCUAAUGCAACUUCUGACAUUACCAUCAAUCCUACUUGUUACUAUGAACAACUGCAGGGUAAAUCACUCAGCAUCUUCUUUGAUCCAAACAACAUAGCCGACGACAUAAACACAAAGCACUUGAAAAUAAAUCUAUAAAACCCAAGAAUGGGUUAAUCAAAAAACAAAUCCUUGUAACCAUAGAACGCAACGCUCUAUAUCUGAUGAUCCAUCAAUUCAUAUCACAUGCAGCUCCAUUUCGUCAAACGAGACCACGUUUACAUUCUUUGAGCAGCUAUAAAAAGCAGCCAAUGUUCCGUAAUCAUGCUUCUAACCUCUGGUUCUCCUGGUCUUGUGUAACAAUAGUAUUCAAAGAAUGCUAAUCCCACAAAAAAAAAAUGCACUAAUCACACGAAUGACAAUUGAAGAACUCGCCUUAGGGGAGUUGACUGCAGGUAAACUAGCAGAUGUACACGCAAAUGACAAUUGACGGCCUGAAUUUUUACUAACUUAAACUCGAAGGAGGCUAAAUAAUGCUCCGACUUAAAAUUGAACUGUCUAGUACCUUGACGCACAUGUUCUGAUUGUUGUCUAAACAGAAAAAAUGAAGGCCUGCAUUAUACCGAACAAAUUUAAGUUAUUCUCUAUUAAUAUCAAACAUGACUUGAAAUCGACUGCCCGAGACUAGUGUUCCACUGACAUGUUUUAGAGAUUUCACUAGAACUCUAAAACGGUCGGUGUAUCCCUUCUACGUCCUGCAGAUAAUGGUGUACAAGACUCUCGAUCGGAGGUAAUCCGUACUUUGAUCCAGCUGUCUGUGACCUCCCGAUCCACGAUUAAUUUCUAAGAUAAUGAGUGAGUUUUAAUGAUUGCGAGGGUGUGAAAUGAGAAAGUAAAAAAGAAUAGUAGCGUAUCUUUUCUUGAGAGGGCAACAUACAUGGCAUUUAAACAUUACUUAGUGUAAACGUAUCUUGGGUGCCAGAAAAGUGGGUGAUGUCUGCUGGUUGUCAUCUCAUCUUUGUUUAAUGGAUUUCCUGAUCUUUGUGGUCCAGUUAUAUUUACGGCGUUGACUUGAAGACCAUCUUAGAUCAACUAGCUCAAUCAGGAGACGUAUAGUUAUCCAAGCGUGGCGAUCAUUUAUGACUGGUACCGUCUCUGCCAAUCAUGCCAUGCUACUGAGCUUCAGUAACACCCCUCCAACACCUAUGGCUCCCUUAUUGGAAAUGGAAACUUCACGUGGUAUGUCACCGACUGAUCCUCCCCCCACCCCAAAAAAAAAAAAAAAAACAAAGAGAAAUGGUCAUCUUUAUCUAAUAACUUGAGUAGCUCGAGUUUUGGUAGUAGAAUUGGUUCCUGUUUCUAUCUAUGCUUGUUUGUUUGUUUCAUUUGCUGUUGAUGUUUCAACAGCGUGCAUGCAAGCUCUCUUCUUUUGUCAAUACUUUCCAAUAAUCUGUUGACUAAUUGUUGUGAUUCACAAGAAUCUAAUGGCUCUAAAAUUCUGUGAAAAUGGCAUGCAGGGUUGUUCUACAUGAUUUGUGAGGGAGAGUUUGAUCUGGGAUCAGCCUGCAUUCAGAGAACGCUCGUAGAUAUCUUCAACCUAUUACUGGUAUUUGUAUUCUUUCUUGUCUUGAUUGUCGGUCUCACAAGGAAGAACAAUAUCAGGCUGCGAAGGGGGGAUUGGAUCGCUACGGCAGUUUCAGUCUGCUGUGCUCUUAUAAGCAUUGCUUACCUCUCUACUUGUUUGUUACACUUGAGCGGAAACAAGGGUGGAUUUAAUCAUUUGAGCUGGUUAGCCUACUUAUUCAGAGGACUAAUUUGGAUUACCUUGUGCCUGUCCUUGCUUGUACAAGGAUCAAGAUGGAUCAAAAUUUUUAUUUCUACAUGGUGGGUGGUUUUCUUUCUGUUGAUAUCAGCUCUAAACACUGAGGUACUCGUGAAAACGCACAACGUUCAAAUCCUUGAAGUUGCAGCUUGGUUUGUAAGUCUCUUGCUGCUUUUUUGUGCCUUUAGGACCUUCCAUCAUACCAUUUCUCAUUCAAAUUUGGAAGAGGGUAACUUCUCGGAAACUCUUUUGGUGAAGGAAGUUCACGACGAGAAUUGUAUUAGUCUGGGCCAGGCUAGUUUCUUUAGUAAACUGUCAUUUUCUUGGAUCAACCCUUUAUUGCGCUUAGGAAAUUCCAAAACUUUAGCUCUUGAAGACAUUCCCUGUCUAGGACUUGAAGAUGAAGCAAAUUUGGCAUACGAGAAAUUUGCUCAGGCAUGGAGCUCGCUUCAAAAGGGGAAGGGCUCCAACAAUGCACAGAAUUUUGCUCUUUGGGCAAUAGCAAAAGUUCAUUGGAAAGAAAUGUUACUUACAGCAACUUAUGCAUUGCUUCGGGUGGUUUCAGUUGUACUUUCUCCAUUAUUGCUCUUUGCUUUUGUCGAAUAUUACAAACUUGAAACCAGAAAUAUCGAUGAAGGUCUUGCCUUAGUUGGGAUGUUAAUUCUUGUGAAAGUUGUGGAGUCCUUGUCCUAUCGGCAUUUCUUUUUCUAUGCAAGGAGGAUUGGUAUGAGGAUGAGGUCGGCUCUGAUGGUGGCAGCUUAUGAAAAGCAACUCAAGCUUUCUAGUUUGGGCAGGCGAAGGCACUCAACUGGAGAAGUUGUAAACUAUAUAGCAGUUGAUGCUUAUAGGAUGGGAGAAUUUCCAAUGUGGCUUCACAUAGGAUGGACUUCUGGGCUUCAACUCUUUUUGGCUAUCGCUGUCCUUUUCGCAGUUGUGGGUCUUGGUGUCCUUCCUGGUUUAGUCCCCCUGCUGAUCUGUGGCCUUCUUAAUGUACCCUUUGCAAAAAUACUUCAGAAAUGUCAAUCCGAAUUUAUGAAUGCUCAAGACAAGCGACUCAGGGCCAUGUCUGAGAUCCUAAAUAGUAUGAAGAUCAUUAAGUUACAGUCAUGGGAAGAGAAAUUCAAGAACUUAAUAGAGUCAUAUAGAGGGAUUGAAUUCAAAUGGCUGGCAGAAUCUCAAUACAAGAAGACAUAUAACACUGUUUUAUAUUGGAUGUGUCCAACAAUUGUUUCCUCGGUCAUUUUCUUUGGGUGUAUCCUGUUCAAAAGUGCCCCAUUAGAUGCAAGCACUAUUUUUACAGUUUUGGCUGCGCUAAGGAGCAUGUCAGAACCAGUUAGGUUCAUACCUGAGGCUCUUUCCGUUUUAAUACAGGUCAAAGUUUCAUUUGAUAGGAUCAAUACUUUUCUCCAGGAAGAUGAAAUCAAGCGUGAAGAUAACAUCAAAUAUCCCCCGGGUGAAUCAGAUCUUGUCAUUCUUAUUCAAGAUGGAAAUUUCAGUUGGGAUCCUGAUUCAACAGCUUUGACAAUUAAAGAUAUAAAUCUGAAAGUAAGAAGGGGGAACAAAGUUGCAAUUUGCGGACCUGUUGGAGCAGGGAAAUCAUCUGUUUUAUAUGCAAUACUUGGGGAAAUACCAAAGAUGUCAGGAAAUGUGGGUUAUAAAAUUAUCUCCAUCUAGUACACUAUGAUUUUUUUUCCGGGUCCUAAUUGCUGUUGCCGUUGUUUGCUUCCAGGUUAAUACAUAUGGAUCCAUUGCUUAUGUUUCUCAAGCUUCAUGGAUUCAGAGUGGAACAGUCCGAGAUAAUAUACUCUUUGGAAAGCCAAUGAACAAAAUAAAAUAUGACGAGGCUAUACGAGUUUCUGCUUUGGACAAAGACAUUGACAGUUUUGACUACGGUGAUCUUACAGAGAUUGGUCAGCGUGGUAUUAACAUGAGUGGUGGACAGAAGCAGAGAAUUCAACUUGCUCGAGCAGUCUACAAUGAUGCUGAGAUAUAUCUUCUUGAUGACCCUUUUAGUGCGGUAGAUGCACAUACAGCAGCAACUCUUUUUAAUGUAAGACUGAUGUCAAAGGCAUGUUUUGGUAGAAGAUAAAAAAUUAUCUGAAUACUCACCAAGUACUUUGAAUUCUGUAAUUGCAGGACUGCGUCAUGUCUGCAUUAGCAAAUAAGACUGUCAUUCUCGUGACUCACCAAAUUGAGUUCCUUUCAGAGGUUGAUCAUAUUCUGGUAUAAGUUUCUACUUUAUAUAAUUCUCUUGUGCCUCAAUUAAAUCAUGAUCUUUAGGUAUUCUCUUAAUUAGUCUUUUGUUUGCUAAAACAAUCCACUUGUUAAAUAUGGAGGUUAUGGAAGGAGGACAAGUAACUCAAUCAGGAAGUUAUGACGAAUUACUGACAGCAGGGACAGCGUUUGAGCAGCUUGUGGUUGCACAUAAAACAUCAUUGACAUUAUCUGAUCCUUUGACCGGUAAAAAUGAAGUCGAACAUCAAAGAGGAAAAGGGAACGCCCUGGAAGGGACAAAACAGCCUUACUUCGGCAAAGAAGCCAGCGAGGGAGAGAUUUCCAUGAUGCCUGGAGUACAGUUGACAGAAGAAGAAGAGAAGGAAAUCGGAGAUAUUGGAUUUAAACCAUUCUUGGAUUAUGUUUUGGUUUCAAAAGGAUUAUUUCAUGUGAUAAGCGGUCUAUUUUCGCAGACGGGCUUUGUUGUUCUUCAAGCAGCAGCGAGUUAUUGGCUAGCAUUUGCAAUUCAAUCUCCAAAAUUCAGCAGUGUCAUUAUAGUUUGUGUGUACACAAUAAUUUCAACAGUUAGUGCCUUAUUUGUCUACCUGAGAUCUCUGUUUGCAGCUCUUCUCGGAUUAAGAGCUUCUGAAGCCUUCUUCUCUGGUUUCACCAACUCAAUAUUCAGUGCUCCCAUGCUCUUUUUUGACUCUACUCCAGUUGGGAGGAUUUUGACACGAGUAAGACAUAUUUGCUCCAGUUUUAUCCAUCUUAAAUACAUUAUGGUGUUUUAUUAGCUGUCUACCGUAUAUCAAGAUAUCAAUCGCUUACUCUUGCACAAUUUGGUCAAACUUUGUUCUCAGGCCUCCUCAGAUUUUAGUGUGCUAGAUUUUGACAUCCCUUUUGCCUAUGCAUUUGUAAUGGCUGCUGGAAUUGAACUAGUUGCAGCAAUUGGUAUUAUGGCCUCUGUGACAUGGCAGGUUCUUAUUGUCGGAAUCUUUGCAAUAGCAGCCUCCAAAUAUGUUCAGGUGAGACCAAGCUUUUUCCAGUUCCCUUUCCCUCACAAUAGAUAAUUUGUUAUUCUCACACAUCCUUGUUUACUAUAGGGAUAUUAUCAAGCCUCCGCACGGGAACUCAUGAGAAUAAAUGGAACCACAAAGGCCCCCAUAAUGAACUAUGCUUCUGAGACGGCCCUUGGGGCUCCAAUAAUUAGAGCAUUUAACAUUACUGAAAGGUUUUUCCAGAACUAUCUCAAGCUUGUUGACACAGAUGCAAAAGUCUUUCUUUUCUCCAAUGCAGCAAUGGAGUGGUUGGUCUUAAGAACAGAAACACUUCAAAAUCUCACCCUAUUUGCUGCUGCUUUUCUCUUAGUGUUGCUUCCAAAGGGAUAUGUAGCUCCAGGUAUUUUGAAAUGCAUGGAUAUAUCUAAACAUUAUUUAGCUAGGGUAUCUGAUAACCCAAAGUAAAUCAUUUUUAUUGAUUUAUGUUUUCAGGGCUUGUGGGACUAUCUCUUUCUUAUGCUUUCGCACUUACUGGCACACAAGUGUUCUUAUCUCGAUGGUACGGUAGCUUAGCUAAUUAUAUCAUUUCAGUAGAGAGGAUCAAACAGUUCAUGCAUAUUCCACCAGAACCUCCGGCGGUCGUGGAAGACAAAAGGCCCCCACCUUCAUGGCCUUCCAAGGGUAGAAUAGAAUUGCUGGAUCUGAAGGUAGGAUUCUCUUCAAAAACAUAUGUUAGAGGGAUCAUUUUUUUAACAGAUAAAUUAAGCAAUGGGAACCAAAUCUACAUGAGAUGGAAAAUUUUGCAUGUCCACGGAUGAACUGUUGUCAUAAGUGAAACAUGUUAACUUUCAGGUCAAGGCUGAUAAUGCAACUUCUGUUUGUAGGAGAAUUUGUUAUGAUGAGAAACAAGCUUCAGUCAAAGGAAUUAAGUUGCAAUGCUACCUCAAUUUUUAAAUUUAUAAACUUGAUCAAAUCUAAUAGAUAUGUACUAGUGUGUCUAAUCUUCGUUCUUAUGCAGAUAAGAUACCGUCCAAAUGCUCCAAUUGUGCUCAAAGGGAUAACCUGCACUUUCAGAGAAGGGACCAGAGUAGGAGUUGUUGGAAGGACAGGAAGUGGAAAAACUACACUCAUUAGUGCUCUGUUUCGCCUUGUAGACCCAUACAGUGGGCAAAUUGUUGUAGAUGGGAUCAACAUUUGCUCUAUAGGUCUUAAGGACUUACGUUUGAAGCUCAGCAUAAUCCCUCAAGAACCAACUCUUUUUAGGGGCAGCAUUCGAACCAAUUUGGAUCCCUUAGGCAUCUAUUCUGAGGACGAGAUAUGGAAGGUGCGCAAACUAAUAUCCCUCCGAGAACUCCAUAGGAAAUACGGCUGUACUGUUAACGAAACUGGAAAUUAUCUAAAAUCAUCUGCUCAGUUCUUUUGAAUAUAUAUGACCACUACUUCAUAUGCAGGCUCUGGAGAAGUGCCAGUUGAAGGACACCGUCAGCAAACUUCCAAACUUGUUAGAUUCUUCUGGUGAGUCAUUGCAAAGCGAGAUCACAAUGGCUUUUCAGGGAUCUUGAUAAAGCCAUUUGAAAAACAUUUCUCUCUGAUCCUUUUCCAAAACGAAAUUUGAGCUGACAACAUGUGGAAGUUUUAAGAAACACAACAUCGAUAAUGCAUUGCAUUCGUAGGCCACUCUUUAGUCCUGUUGGCCUCCGUUGAGAACUCAUCCAUACAAACAAAUGCUAUUUAGCUUACAGUGACAGAUGAUUAAUAUCUCUGCAUCUUCAUGUUUACACAGUCAGUGAUGAAGGUGAAAAUUGGAGUAUGGGGCAACGGCAGCUCUUCUGUCUCGGGAGGGUUCUUCUAAGAAAGAAUAGAAUUCUAGUCCUCGAUGAAGCUACUGCCUCGAUCGACUCAGCUACUGAUUCAAUCCUGCAGAAAGUGAUCAGAGAAGAAUUCUCCAAUUGCACUGUGAUAACCGUGGCACACAGAGUUCCAACAGUCAUAGAUAGUGACAUGGUCAUGGUUCUUUCUUUUGGUAAGCCUUCUUUUUUGGUUUUCUCUCUCUAUCUUGUCUCUUUAAGUUUAGCACAUUGUUAAAAUGACUCUGGUAAUGAAACUUUUAGAAUUUGGAUGGAAUGGUUUCAGCCUAGAAAUUUGGAUUCUCUGUGCUUUGUAGGGAAGCUUGCGGAGUAUGAUGAGCCCUCAAAGCUGAUGGAAACGAAUUCAUCCUUCUCCAGGCUUGUAGCUGAAUAUUGGGCCAGCUGCAGAAAGAACUCUAGUCAGAAAUUGGAAAUUUGAGGUGACUAAAACUUGCGUGCUUCUAAAGAAAGAAACCAAAAACCUUGUGCAAAAUUGUUUUACUUGCACAUGAUAAAGUUUUUAUGAAUAGGACUAGGCAGCAACAUCAAGAAGAAGAUGAAUCAUGAAGAAUGGCUUCUUUGAGAAACUCCAUAGGCUGCUGCAUUUGAUGGGCAAUUUCCAUUCUGACAUUUCAACCAUCUCAAGACAAGAUAUUUCUAGAAAUUUUAAGAGUAUCCUGCUGCCAUAUGUGAAUCCUUUCAUUUAGCAUAUCUGAGUUUACUGAAUGUCCUUUCUUUCUUUUUUUUUUUUUUUGGCUAUUUGAGUUCAGUUAUUUGUUUCUAUAGCAUGUUUCAUGCAUGGAAAUCUUUUUUUCGACAAACAUGUGACACAGAAUUAGUGAGAGCAAAAAUUUAUUUUUAAAGUAGUGAAGCCAUAAAAGAAAAUUUUAAAUCUUUCCCUAGGACAAGACUAUAAAGCCACAAAGAAAAAGGAAAAAAAAAAUAAAGACAACAGAAUAAAUCAUUGACAACUAAGGAUAUCAGAAAAAGAAAAUUCUAUGUUAAGCGACAUGCUAGUUAAUCAAUAGAAAUAAACUAAAGAUUGCACACUUUCUUAAUUUGAGGAAUUUCUAUAUUUGUAAUAACUAUCGUAUUAUGUUGUUAUUCAAGAAUUUCACGAGUUUCAGUCGCUUUUUAUAGGUAGACUCAUUAGAAAAAUUCCCUACAUAACUAGCUUCACAAGAAACAAUUAACGUGCAUGGCAUACCCAACAAGCCGAAUUCUGCAUAAUUAGAUUACAAAUAAUUUCUGAAGCACAAAAACUUUUUCCAUCUUCUUAAUUUAUUCAAUAAAGUUGGCAGGAUCCUCGCGGAACAGUUCAUCGGUGGUCGAACUUCUUGGAGAAGCUUAUUCAUUUUGACAUGCACGUUCGAAACCUCCUGAGAUUGCAGCCAAUAUGUGUUAUCAAUGCAUCUAGGCAUUCAUGCUCACAUAUAUUGUAGAGCUCUUUACUCUAGAAAAUGACAGUAUGCUCAAAAAAAAAAAAAAUUUUAUUUUCAUGCUCACACUUGGAGCAAUUAUGAUGUCUUAAAAGGUCAAAUUAUAUAUUUUAAAAUUUUAUAAAUCCUUGACAAGUAUUAAACCCAAAUAAAGCCAUGGAAGGAGGCGUGGAAGGAUUUCUUUUUCCUUUUUUCUUUUCUUUUCCAGCUCUAUUCUGUCUCAAAUUGUAUGCAAUUUUUUUUUUUCAAUAGAGGAAGGAUGGAAUUUAAGAAAUCAGAACGGGGAAGGGAGAUUUGAAUCUCGAAUGGCAGAAUCUCUACGUUUUAAGGUCUUAACUCUAAUCGCUAAAUCAAUGUCUCAAAUUAUAUAUAUAAAAAAAUUUGCCAACACAGUGAUUAUUUCAUUUGUGUAUAAGGAUUUAGAACAAUAAGGGUUACUUUGGAACUUUGGAUGUGAUGUUAUUUGUAAAAAAUUUUUUUGCUUGAAUCAUAAACACGUUUUUUAACUAUUUUUUUAUAUUUUAAUUAUCUUUUUAUGUAAUAUAUGUCACAUCGUAAAAAAGAGCCACAUGUUAUUUCAAAUAAUUUUUCUAAAUAAUCUCUUGCCCAACAGACUAUGAGUAAAAAAAAUUUAUAAGGCAUACUGCACAAGGAGUGCACUCAUUGACCACCUCAAAAAGUUUUUGGCAGAUUAUAAUUUAAAGAUUCGAGAUUUUAUAAGUUUUGACUCAUUUGAGUUUAUUGCAUUUGCUUUAAGCAGUACAUUUGCACUUUUGUGCCACAAUAAAUUGAUUUAACGAGGUAUAGCCUUAUUUUUGCAUCCUUAAUUCUCAAAGAAAUUUGAUAUUUAAUACAAAAAAAAAAAUGUUAUACUCCAUCUGACCCACUUUGAUAGUCUCGUUUUUCAUUUUCAUCCGUUCCAAAUUAUAACCUACUUUCCAACGGAAGAAUAUAGUUAAUUUUUAACUUCUCUAGGAUAUCCUUAUUUAAUGUACUUUCUUAUAGUAAAUAUAACCUACCUUAUUCAUUAAUUAUUUUGAUUCAUGCCUUGAAUGAUGCAAUUUUCUAUUAAUAUUGUUGUUGCAAUUAAUGUAAAGGUAUGAAUAUUAGUUAUACUACCAAUAUUAAUGCAAUGGUAUUUUAGAAAAAUAUUAGGUUAUAUUUACUUUUUCAUUAAAGUUAAUUAAUUUUUUUAAAAUAUUGUAAAUACAAAAUUCAAGAUUAUCAAAAUAAGAUGGAAGGAGUAUUUUUGAACAUUAAUUGCGAACUUAAAGUAACACAUUAAAAACAAUAUCUUGGUAGUGUGGGUGAUGGUCGAAGUUGUGUUUAACUUGAUCUGAUUUCAAGGGAACGAAAUUCAAUUUUGAUAGAAAGAAAUAGCGUAAAAGAAAAUUUUCAUAUCCAAUCGUCCGGUAGUGUAUCCCGGGAGAGCUAAUUUGAGAAGAUUCCAUACCCUCAUCCCACAGCUACUGGACAGUCCAUCGGAGAUAACCAGACGACCACUUUAUUAGACAAACAAAUGCCAGGACAAGACAACCAAUCCCCGCCUUCUCCGACCGCCGGCAACGUGGAAGAAAAUGAGGACGAACUCCUUGUCUGGGAGCAGAUAAAAUCCGAGGCGCGCCAAGACGCCGAGUCGGAGCCAGCCUUGGCUAGCUACUUGUACUCUACCGUGCUUUCUCACUCCUCAUUGGCUCGCUCGCUUUCAUUCCAUCUGGGAAACAAGCUUUGCUCCUCCACACUCCUCUCCACUCUCCUCUACGACCUCUUCCUCAAUACCUUCUCCUCCGACCCCUCCAUUCUUUCUGCCGCCGUCGCAGACCUUCGAGCCGCGCGUUACCGGGACCCGGCUUGUAUUUCUUUCUCUCACUGUUUGUUGAAUUACAAGGGAUUUCUUGCUAUCCAGGUAUGAUUCAUAUUAUGCUUCCUUCAGCUUUCUACAUUGGGUUCUUUCUGGGUUUCAGCCAGAAUGGUUGUUACCGACAUUUUUGUGGGAAAUAAGGUCCUGGGUUUUAUUUUUAUUGGACUUCUAUGAAAUUUUUAUACUUGUCGCUAGGAAAUCAAAAGCCCAUUGAGUAAUCUCUUGGGUAAAUAUUUAAAAAUUUGGAAGGUUUGUAGUCAAUCACUAGGGAACUACAUGGCUAUGUAUUCCUAUGAACUCACUAUAUAUUUACAAAUAAAAAGAAAAAGAGACAAAAGACGCCUUGGUAAAAAUGCACAGAGGAUGAUUCCGAACUCCAAUAGAUAAGUGAUAACAAAGGAAAAAGUAAGUAAUUAAUAAUUAUCGACUGGAUAGUUGUAGAUUAUGCUGUACUAUUUGCUCAAUUACCCCUGCACUUUGCUGAUUGCUAUACUUUUUAGCUUUUUUCAAUUGCUUUUAUCUCUAGAAUUUCAUAUGCAUCAGAAGAAUGAAUAGUGCAAUUAACCCAUUAGAUUCAAAUUAAAGAAAAUGGAAACUGCGAUAUGUAAAUUCACAUGUAGAUAUGGAUUUAUUGUCAUGAUUUAUCUGUGGAUGCAGACACAUAGGUUGGCACAUAAACUAUGGCUUGAAGACGGAAAGCCGCUCGCACUAUCAUUGCAAUCUAGGAUAUCUGACGUCUUUGCAGUGGAUAUACACCCUGGGGCUAGAAUUGGGAAGGGGGUGUUGCUGGAUCAUGCAACAGGGGUCGUGAUUGGAGAAACAGCAGUUGUUGGGAAUAAUGUGUCGAUACUGCACCAUGUAACCUUGGGUGGGACCGGCAAAGUCUCUGGUGAUCGCCAUCCAAGGCUUGGUGAUGGUGUCCUGAUUGGUGCUGGAGCUACUAUAUUGGGGAAUGUGAAGAUUGGUGAGGGAGCAAAAAUUGGAGCUGGAUCAGUUGUGCUAAUUGAUGUGCCCCCUUGGACAACAGCAGUUGGAAAUCCAGCAACGUUGGUCGGUGGAAAGGAGAAACCUAAAGUGCAUGAAGAUGUGCCUGGAGAGUCCAUGGAUCAUACUUCAUUCAUUUCUCAGUGGUCUGACUAUAUGAUAUGAAUUUGAGCCAAUGGUCACAAGGUUUGAUAUUGGAUGUUAGUAGAAUUUAAUUGAACUACAUUGGUUGAGUCACAUUGGACUGGGGGAUUUAGAAACUCCAAGACAGUGGCUUAAGGAGGCCCUCUUUCAGGCGUAGUUAGACAGGGUAAAGGGGAGCCUCUUUCAGAUGUAGUUAGACAGUAAGGGGGAGGACUAUUGUUUUGUACAUUUAUAAUGGUGGAAUGAAAGGGUGCUUCUGAGGCUUUUCAGACCUCUUCUUUGAAUUUGUGCUCACAGAUUUUGCUCUUAGCGUGCACCGAGGCCCUUGUUGCAUAAUGGGGUUUUAGUUUGUGGUUUCAAAAGCUCAAUUGCGACGUUGAGUUGCAUGACUCAUUGUUACAUGCUAUUAUCAAUCAAGCAGAAGACUUUUCCAGUUGCACGGCCUAACUUGAAUUCUUUUCUUGCAGAACAUUGGUGAAACAGUUGGCUGUUGCCAACACCACCUUUGAAUUUCUUAUAAUCUGCAGCAAGUAAGAGAAGAUAUCAAUGCUAAACUCUCUGAAUUUCCGUACAGUAAAGACAAGAAUAUGAAGCCAAAAUUACUUCUUUUUUUUUUUUUGGGGGGGGGGGGGGGGGGGGGGGAGUGGGUGUGUUUUAUUGGGUGAAAGUUGAGCACUUUGUGUUUCAACAUUUGGUUCUACGCGAAAUUGCCUACUUUUUUACAUAGAGUUAACCUAAUCGAACAAUGCAUCUCCUUCAGAGUGGAAUUGUCUGGAUAAACUAUGCAUCUGCCUACUUCAUGGUCAAAUUGCUCCUUGAAUGGGGCAUUUUAUGGUAAAUAUCUUGCUUGCUUUGGCCUUAAUUUUACUAGCGGUGCAAAUACACCUUUUAGCAAUCUGCUUUCCAUAAAUUUGAUUCUUUAAUCAUCUAUCUUGGGCGUCUCUUGGAUUCACGAAUUGUUGAGAUGUGAUCUAGUGCCAAGUUUCCAUUAAAUUCUCGAAUGCGUUAUCUAGAAAUAUGAGCGCAUAUAAAAUUCUGAAAGGGAUGGCCCAUAACGAGCACGCCUUGUUUGGAUUGCUUGUUUCCGUCGGAAAAUAUUGUCGUUUUUCGUGAUCACAUUUUCCUAUCAUCUUUUUCCCUCACAUAUAUCAAAUCGCUACAGUAAUUUUUCCAUGAAAAAUGACGGAAAAUGCAAUCCAAACAUACGAUGUAGUUGAGCCAUAAAAUGGUUUGAAUCUGAGCCUCAAGUGAGAGUAGGCCAGUUCAAAUCUGUACAUACACACACAUUGGAAACAAGUGCAGAUUUUCACUGUGUUUCUCGUGGAUCCCUCUUUGAUCAACAGAUAAGAGUUAGAAAAUCAUGGAAAACCUAGCAGCAAAAAAAACUAAAAAGUUGGAUUAUUUGGAGUUAAUCUGCGUCCCCCCUUAAGUUUGGCCAUCGGGAAAAAGCAUUGGCCACUACUGAGGAACUGAUAGAGCUUGAGGUAAGGCCUGGUGAACUGACAUAGGAAUUGUCUGGAACUUGCAGUCGGUUGACAACAACUGAGACAGGCUUUCCUCUGCGGCGAAAAUGGAGUGAAUCAGUUGGAGAAGAAGACGUUCAAGGUCUUCACCAUCGUUCCACUCGUGUAUCUCUGCCUUUAGAAGCAUUCGAUUCUUGCAAAUCAAAUCCCAAACUGGGAAAUUCUUCCUUGGCAUCAUGUAAUCUCCUUCCUUCAACUUUAAGCUUGGACAGAAGUCGCCAAUCCCAUCGCCAAGAUAGAUGUGCCUUUUCUUCCCUUCUUUAGCUAUAGAUGCUUGAAUCCUUUCUAUGACCAUACCCUGUUUAUGCAAAGGAGAAAAAAAAACAAACACCAUUUUAAGACCAAAGAGUUUUAAGAUUCUGAACAAUUAAUGAGCUAGCUAUUUAAAAUCCUUCACAUUAAGUUACGUAGACGGUUUUGAAUGCAAGUACAAAUUGUGUUGGUAGAUCCAUUAAAUUAAGGACAAGGAUGUUGAGUGAGAAACUUGAGGUUGUUGCGUUAAUUAAUUGAUUUAUGUCUUUUCAAUCGUUGCUGAUUAUUAAUUUAUGUAUUUGUAACCAACUGAGCUAGGACCACGUGAAAUUCUCAAGUAGAUCGCGACCGGUAGGGACCUAUGAAUUGUUUGUUUAUUAGUACUAAUUUGACACCGCGAGACAUGGGUCAAAAUGUGCUGCUGAAGACAGGAAAACACAUAUUCCAGAAUAUUCCAAUCUUGAAGAAAACUGACGACGUGAUAAUGAUUCUGUAUCUACCAAACUCACGUGUAAAAUUCUUUUUCAAGACAAUUUCUAUCCUUGAAUACGUAGCAACUCCUUGUAUAAUUUUUCUGGAAAUUACGUACGAUGGACCACUCUGGAUUUCUCUCUAAGCAGUAUCAUCGUGCCUUCUAGAGUAAUGUCCUUAGACUUCGAGAAUUUUAUUAAAACUUUUACUUUGAAAAAAAAGAAAAGAAAAGGCAAAACACGGAAAGAUACCAGUGUUGUGGGGUUGGGAAGGAGGAUUGUAUACCUUGCACAUGUUAGGAGGGCAGCGAUCGCAGCCAUGAGAUGCUGAGUGGAAAUCAUGAUAUGGGUGGAUUCUCAGCCUCCCAUUCUCGUCAACGUAGCCUGGGUUCGUGUUGAUUUCUGAGAAGCAUCCCCUAAUUCCUAGAUGGUUUAGAAUUGUCUCGAUGAAGAAGAGAUUUGCAUCACUCACUAUCCUCAAGUCACACCUGCAAAAAAACAAAAGAUGAAAAUCCAUCAGUCCCGAGAAAAGCAGAGGAGAAAACGCUACUAUCAAGGAAGCAGAAAUCUUAGAAAGAGUUGGUGAUGAAUGGUAGUAUACCCUAAGGCAUGGGCUGAUUUGAUGGCCGGUACAAUUCUGGGAUGUAUAGGAACCCUUUUCAGAACCUCUUCAAUGUCCUGGAUGGUUUUUCCGUUGGCAUGAAGCUCCCCCAUCAUCUUGUCCUGCGAUAUUACGACGGAGCACAAAAACACCACCACAAGUAAGUCGUAAAUUGCAAGACAAUAAUAAUGAAGCCAUCGUACGUAAAAGGACAAAUGCAACUAAGAUUUAGCAAGCUUAAAACAAUAUUAGAGAUUUACCAUGAGAGAAUUCCAAGGCAUGGUGGGAAGAAGUUGGUUGAACAAGUCAGUAAAACCUAACUCAUCCAGAACCCAAUUAUCACUAUCCAAGUCGAUAAUCGUCUUGUCGAAGUCGAAAACCACCACAAUUCCGGUGGCCAUUGUUAUGGAAUCAAGGAGAUGGUGUGGUUUUUGCAGAACCUUUUGAGUGCGGGCGUUUGUUCAAGGACGGAUGCUAAGAAGGAGAGAGAGAGAGUUGGCGUGUUUGUUUGAUGGAUGCUAGUGAGUAAAAGACGUGGGGGUAUAUAUAGGUCUGGGCCCUGGGCCGUUUGGGUAGAGAGUUGAUGGGCAAGCCUUACGGUUUGUGUGAAUAAUCAAUAAUAGAACCAGAUCAAGAUGCCAAUGGAAUAUUACGCUACGCGAAAUUGGAGACCUGGUGGCGAGUUAAAGCAAAGAAAGACCCACCACUCCACGCCUUCACGUCCCCUUCCUUUAUUUUCUGUUGUGCAACGGUCACGUGCUCGCUCUGGAUUUGUUGGGAUUUUGUGAUCUUGCCUCCCGAAUCAUCCUAGAUAGCCUUUUGAUCUCGCGAGUGUGAUCAUCGGACGGUUAAAAAGGGAGCUGUGGCUUUGGCGUCGGCAUAUUCACUUUGGGGAAUGAUUCAGGAAUUGCGCGGGAAUAUGAAGAAUAUUCGGAGGGGUGGGUUAAUUCACUAUUCACUUCUAUCCAACCCCGAAACGCAUUUGCCAACUUAAUUAAGGGAUAGGAUAUUCCGUUGAGAUGCUUAGGACAAUCCACGGCGGCUCCCCCCGUUUUUGGGGUGCAAGACAAAUUGACUCCUCCAAAUCCAUUAAUCCAAGCUACAUUAUAUUAAUGGGUUUGUUUGUAUAGUGCAAAUUAUUUGUUUAUAUCAUUAAUAUAUUUUUCAAUUAUUUUUUUUUAUCUCGCAUACAUCUCAUCAAAAAAUUGUUAUAAUGUUUUUUUAAAAAAAUUAUUUCACGUACAGAAUUGCUUUUUUCAACUAAGAAAAAAAGUUUUUUUUUCUUUACCGGGAAAAAAAAAAGAUUAACAAUUUCUGCGUGAGCACCCACAUCACAUGUUGAUCCUCUUCAUCAUCUGUUAGAGAGCGAAAGGGAAUCUUACGCGAAAUCAAGGAAUAUUCUUGCACGCACUCAGUCGGGAAUCAGGCCACUGUACAAAAGUGAAAGUUGCGUGAAAUUGGAGUCAUGUUUGGCAUAGAACUAGUCUAAAAAUAAUUAUUACUACUAAUUUAAUGGGGGAGUAAGAGAAACGAGUUUAGGAUAAGCUUCAGGCAACAAUAAUAUAAAGAUCCAACGAGUUCUGUCUCUCCUCUCGUCGUCUGUAGCCAUUUAGCUGAUGGAGACUUGAGAAGGGGUCGGUCGUGGUCCACUCCGAAAACAGAAAAUAAGCGAUGCGGCGAAAAGAGGAGAAGGAUUAGUGAACUGAUGAAUAUAGGAAAUGAAUAAUAAUAUAGGACGUAGUAACAGGAGAUUAAUUGGACGGUUUUGGAACAGGAGGCAAUUCACAUGAUGAUUGUCAAAUGAUUUGUAUGCCACGUAGGACCAGCACCUAUAUCCUCCCUCCAUCCACGCUCAGCAGAUUUUCUAUUUUCUCAAUUUCUUGGGUGGCCAUUGCACAUAAUAAUGAUCAACCAACAAGUUCUUCUUUCUUUUGAGUGAUGUAUUGAAUAUAUGUUCCUGAAAUUGCAUUGCCCAAUUUCAAAUUUGAUCGCAAACGGAAGAGGACGAUGGAUGAAGAUUGACUCCCGCUCAUCGCAUCGCAUCGCAUCGCAUAUUCCUUGGGCACCUUCUUGGCAUUGCUAUGCUCCUCCGGCUCCGCAAUUGAGGGAUUCAUUUGGGCAUAUUCUUUGAUUGCUCCGCAAUUAAUACUUGUCAUAUACCUUCAUCUUUUUAAAAUGUUAAAUACAUGUUUUAAUCAAAUCUUUUAUUAGGGUCUUUUUUGUGAUUAACUAGAAUCUAUAUAUAUUAGGGUCUUUUUAUACAUUAUUGAUUACCUAUAUAUAUAUAUAUAUAUAUAUAAAUUAGAAUCUUCAGAAGUUUUUAACUUGCGAACUGGGCAUGGGCUUCAUUACUGGGAUUUAUAAAUUGUGAUCGUUCCACGUGUUUUGGCUGGUAUGAAUAUGAACUCCAAAAAUGAACCUUCAUGCUAGAGACUGGAAGAGUUCUCUGCUUGGUCGAAAGUUAAAAAGUGCAAAAAGGUGAGAAGUUGCGGAUGCCUCGAAUAGGAAGGAGUUCGGUCCUUCGCAGAAGUUGCUCAAACACCUUUGGCAAAUCUCUUCUUUCUGCAAAUUUCUAGAAUUGAACGGAUGGUUGAAAUCAAUCAUCACCUGUCACUUUUCUUUUGCAGUAGUGAAAGAUGCAGCAUAUCAUGUAACCGACAGAUUCUUUGCAAUUCUCACUCUAAUCAAUCAAUUAAAUACUACAACUUCGAACCAAGCAAUCACAUGUGUUUCAACUUUCAUGGGAGGGAUGCAUGCCAAUCACAAAGAUGGUGGAAGGACAUUUCCACCCCACCCCAUUUGGGCCGUCUGUCAAGCCAAGCGCACCUUUUUUUUUUUUUUUUUGGGAAAGGGGGAAUCGCACAUAUAUAUAUAUAUAUAUAUAUAUAUAUAUAUAUAUAUAUAUAUAUAUAUAUAUAUAUAUAUAUAUAUAUAGUUUAAGCACUAAGGCAAAAGCUUUCGAAUUCGAUAUCUAAACUGCUGAGGCCUGGACGGACCCAAGUUGAAUAUCUGGACGUGCAUUUGGCCAAAAAAAAAAUAAUAAAUAAAAAUCGUGGGGUUGUGACCUCCAUCUUUUGUGUGAGUUACUUAUGGUAUUGGUCAGUCGUACGUAGACGUGUAGUGUGUUUAAUUAUAUCGUAUUUCGUCCCAGCAUUGUGAGUUUCAAUUGAUAGGAUGAUGAUUAUAUCCCGGCUUCCCUAUCUGAUGAUUAGGAUGAUGCCUGAACUGGUGGGAUCCCUACUAGUCACCGAUGUUGGUGCCUUUUCUGCUCUUGUCGGAGUAGCUACUCUUGGUGCUUUUGGCUUAAGGAAGCAAGUAAACUGAGGGAGUUCUGUGGUGAAGGACUACGCGCUGCUAAUGUCCACAUUCGGUCGGUCUUCAAGUGAGUGAGUGGCCUUCAGAAGGUUUAGAAUCCUAUUGUUACAAUACCUAUUGUUGUUGGAAUAUCCGUUGCUUUCGUUACCGGUCUUCUUCUUUGGCUAACUGUUUCAGUAACCGUUGUAAGCCUAUCUGCUGUGAGAGUUGCCGCUGUUGGUAUAGAGGCUCUUACUGUGAUCGUAGAAGCUCCUAUUGAAUCAGCUGCACAUUCAUCUCUAGAGGAGCUUGUUCUCGCCUCUUGCUGCAAGAAAAGAAGGGGUUGCUAUUGAAUCGUCUGUGAACGAAUUGUACUCCUACCAGACAAACACCAAAAUGAAUGCCUAACAAAAAACACUCAUCCGUGCACAGAAAAUUCCAGGCUCGGUGCUCGCGAUCUCAACUUGAAAAAUCGGGGCAUGAUCAUCUCAAGCACUAAUUGUAAGCGUCCGAAGUAUCACAAUGUCAUGGGCGGGGAAAAAAAAAAAUCCCCCCUUCUCUGUCUCUUGUUGGUGUAUUUUAUUGUUCUCUUCUCUUACUUUCUAAUGGAUGCGUUCACAAAAUUGUAAUAUAUUUUUAAUAUGAUGUAUGUAAAAUAAAAAAAUAAUUAAAAAAAUAUGUUGUUAGUCUAAAAUGCUUGGAUUCCUCAUUUUUUGAAAAACAAGUUUUUAAUAUACACAAACAAAAACAACUCCAAAAACACCAUAUCCAUACAAUAUAUCAAAAAUAACUCCAAAUAUUUAUAUAAAAAAAAUUACGCCACUACCCAUCACUCUCCACCACCUUAUUGCCACCAUCCCCAUACCCACGACCCUCUCUCUCUCUCUCUCUCCUCCUUCUUCUCCUUUUUUCCUUCUCCUCUCUCUUCUUCUCCUUCCUCCUUUCUUCUUUCCCUUUUCUCGUCCCCCUAUUUCCUUCUCCUCCACUUACCGCAACAUUCCUAGUCACGAUCAAAUCUGAUCGCGACCAGAAGUCGUGACCAAGACGGUCGUGGUUAGAGUGGUGGCUAAAGUCAUAACCAUCACCCGCGAGCAGGAGAGGGGUUUGGGGUUGGGGGCAAGGAGGGGAGGGAGGAGAAGGGAGAGGAAAGAGGGAACAGGAGGAGGAGGAUGAGGGAGAGGAAAUAGAGGGAAGGAGAUGGUGGUGGGUCGUGUAAAAUUUUAAAAAAAUAUCCCAAAAAAAUUAUAAAUUAUAAAAAUAUUCAAAAAUAUAUUUUAAAAAUAUCUUUAAAAACAAUCCAAAAAAUAUCUACAGUAGAAAUUUUUCAUAUACACAAUUACAGUAAAAUUUUUGAAAAACACCCUCAAAAUAGUUAAUCCAAACAGAGCCAUAGAUCUUUCUAUGUUUCUCGUAAGAAAAUGUUAAAAGCAAUGUCACUGAGUGUGUUUGGAUUGAGUGUAUUUGAGCUAAAAUAAUUUGUUUCACAAAUUCUAAUCACCUUUUUAUCUUCACAAUCUUAUUUUUAUCUCACAUACAUCACAUCACAAAAAGUAUUACAGUAAUUAUCUCAAAAAAAUCAUUCAAAUAAAGUUCUAUCCAAACAAACUGAGCUGUACUUUUGCCACACAUUACGUAUUUACAUUCAAAUAUAAUCUUUGAUUGCUCAGCAUCAACUACUUUUGAUUGCUCAGCAAUCAAUAUUAGUCAUGUAACUUCACAUUUUAAAAUGUUAAAUACAUGUUUAAACCAUUUAAGCAAAUCUUUUAUUAGGGUCUUUUUAAAAUUUCGAACUAAUUAAGGCCUUGUUUGGCAAACAAGUUUUUGACCAAAUUUGUCUGUUACAAGUUUUUUUAACAACUUUAACUACAGUAAUUUCAAAAAAACUUCUCAAAAUAUUUAAAAUAUACAUUUAAAAAUAUCCAAAAAUUUACACACUUCAAAGACUUUUUGCUUCUAAUAUACACAUAUAUAUUUUUGGUAAACAUUUAUUUGGCAUGUUUGAUUAUUAAAGCUUCCCGCAAUAGGUAAAUUUUGUGUUGAUUCCUGUCAAGACAAUAACCCCUUAAAAGGUGAGAACAAUAGAGUUGGGAGAAGGAGCUGCUAUUGCUAUUGAAUCCCCUUGCUUUAUGAACACUAGUUGUUUCCUUAUGGCUAAUGGUAUCAGAGAACCAUGAAUGAUGUUGGCCUAAAAGGCGGGGCCUAUUUGUGAAGACAAACUUCAAUCAAAAAGUUGAACUCAGGAUUUUGCCCCUUAAAAAUUAAGCUUGCAACUCACGUGACAGCUAUUCCCUUUGUCUUCACGGUGAAAUUACACGAAGUACUACAAAACAUGUACUUUGGUUAGUUCGGUGAUAUUUUUAGCUAACAAAAUAGUUUAAUGACCUGAACAAGUACUAGUGUAUAGUUUAGUGAUAUUUGGCGCAAUUUGUUCUAGAAAAGAAAUCGUGUAGUUGCUUUAAAGGAGAAUUAGAAUUGAAAAUAUACCUUAUUAUUAUUAUUAUUAUGCGAUAGCUAUUAAAUUUCAUAGCCAUCUACCUCCUCUUCAAUUCGGGAAGCAAGUUAAUUUCGUUAUAGGUUGAUGGUGCUAACAGCUUGGUGCUAUGAAAUAUUCGUUAUGCAUUGAUGACGUUGGCGGCUGAUGCUCUGAGAUGAGAAUCUCUUACCAACCAAGGUCGACUAAUUUAGGCUUGCGUAUCAAUUUUCGAAGACGAUGAAUGGAAAUCUAAACUUCUUUUCAAGAACAGAAUAUUAAGUCAAAACUAUUUAUCCUAAUUAGUAGUAAUCGCACAAAAGCACCUGCCAAAGGCCUUCGAACUCAUUCUAAAACCUCGUGUUUGAUCAUAUCACUUUUUUUUCAAGUGAGAAUAGCAGCCGUUCUCUAGAGAAUUCAAAAGCAAAGUAUCUGAAGAUUAAUUUCAUGUAUUACUUACUAAUCUCACGCGUGUGCGCGUUGGGUUCAUUCUUCUUCAUAAAGAAAUUGUUUAAAAUAUCCUUAAAUGCACAACUACGAAUUAAGAAGUUGAGGAAUACUCCAACUAUAACUAUGCACGCCAUCCAUCGAUGAAAAACUUGAAAAAUGAACUUUAAGUUGCCAAAAGCUGUAAAAGAAGCUAAUUAAAAAGAUCCAUCAAGAAGAAGAGUUUGGAUGCUCAAAGAAUUAAAGGAUGACCAGUUUGACUCCUUGAGGCGUUACUCUUUCAAACUGCCGGCGCAACCGAUGGCGAGUAUCGUCUGUUAUGUCUGGUACAUGCUUUGGAUGCCUUUUAUUUGAAUCUUCAGCAGAUAUACGAGUGUCAACAAUGAAUUCCUCAAGCGCAACCGCAUAUGUCAAAAGGUGAACAGCAAACUCAAACUCAGAUAAACGGUGAGAGUAUCCUCCAAACUUCACAGUUAUGAGGUGUUCAUUGGCAGGGCAGCGCGCGUACUGAAACGCCGUUAACCUGUUUAUAUAUAUAUAUAUAUAUAUAUAUAUAUAUAUAUAUAUAUAUAUAUAUAUAUUUGAUCAUCUAUACACAUGUUUUCCGACCCGAAAUCAAUGAAGAACUUAAUUAGAGCCGUAAAUGAGUCGAAUUGGGCCAAACUUUUUGCUAUCAUAUUCGACUUGUUGUGAAUUGUGUUCAAACUCAACUCAUUAAAAUUAUCCCGAGUUAAAAUUCUUCGCCAAGCUUGGCUCCUAUCACAUAAACGAGAUGAACUCGACCUCUAAAAAACGUAUACGUGCUUAAAUAUCUUAUACAACUUUACUAUUCAACAAUUUAAUUUGCCUAUUAAAUGAAAAUUUUCACCAAAUAUAUUUCCAAUAUUUAAACAAAAAAAUCCUAAACAAUCAAGACAAGUUUAAACAAAUAAAUGUGCAAAUGAUCCUAGAUGAGUUUAAACGAAUUUUUUGCGCCUAGCUAAGUUUGGCUUAUUUAGAAAACAGUCCUAAUUUGACACUUGAGUGUAGCGAAUUUGGCUUAAUUAAUUAAAUGAAUGAGCCAAAUUCAAACUUAAAUGAUGUGAGCUGAGUUGAGCUCACAAGCUAUUCAUUCGUCUAAUAGCUCUAAUUGCAACUAGGUGGUGGAGUUUCGGAUGUUUUCUGACAAUAAGCUGUGCAAUCCCAUAGUAAAAUUGUUUAAGUAAAAAUAACUUGUGGACAAUAAUGAUGAUUAAGAUUUUGCUGACUGCAGUUCGAAUAGAAAUCUAAAAAAAAAAUCAAUGACAGAAAGACAUAAACACCCGCCAGUCCACCCAAACUUCCAAAAAACCCCUUCACCCCAACAAAACGAAAUUACAUUAUACAAAAAAUAAGGGUACGGAAUCUUCCAAUCGCAAUACAAAUAAGCGGACGAAAUCUAAACCUUCCAAUUGCAAGCUCCUUAUUUGACAGAAGUAAGAUUGAUCCCACUUGUCUUGUCUUAAAUCUUUGACUGAUUGAUAAUAUUUCAAGCUAAUUCUUUGACGUUAUAUAAGCAUAUAAUCUCUCUAACGUUUAACACAUUGAACCAAAGAGGCAAAAAAAAUAACGAAUCCAUCGUAACGUUGAGACUUUGUAUGGAUGAAAGCAUGGUGAUCAAAACUAUCUAUUAAAUUGAGGCUGGACAAAGGUUUCAUAAAUAUUUUUAAAUCAAAUAAGAAGAAUUAUAUUAUAUAUAAAUAAAGGCAUAUAACAACCUCGUAUGGACUGCUGAUCUCUAACCCAGUUGAUGCAUUAGGAGUUGCCCCCACCAUUGUGUUAAUAGAUACUAAUAACCCUGAAAUUCAAAAAAAAAAAAAGAAGUAACAAGGAUAAAUAAAAAAUCGAAGAAUGUCCAGGCACAUGGAUGAGGAAAUAAAUGCUAGCAAUUAUGUCCCAAUUCAAAAUUUUACCUAAAGCACCUUUGUCCGCGGUGGGGAGGCAAUUCUGGCAAGAAAAACAACCUUAGGAGGUUAGUGUUUUCUUGUCGCCUAAACCUAGAUUUGCAGAGAACAAUUUUUUUUGGUGGGUUAAAUAAAAGCUUUUUGAGAAGCCAACACAUGUAUCAUAUAUAUAUAUAAUAAAGUCGUAUCCUAAUAUUUAUUCCUCCGUAUUUUCUCUCUCCUACGUAGCUUAAUGAGACGGCAAGAAGCUUCCUACGUGGCUUGCUACUUUUUUGUUUGGAUGUAUAUCAAUUCUUAUUUCCUAUAAGAAUUCUUAAUAUUAUAUGAUUCUUAUUUCCUACCCAAACAAGGAACUAAAAAGUAAUUUGAUAUAAAUAAAAGAGACAUAAAUCUUCUCUAUUAGAUAUAUAGGAAUAAAUGAUAAUAUAUAUUUUUUAUGGUGUCCUUUUUUUUAAAAUUUUUUUACAACUUCAUCAUACAUCCUUUUUAUUUUAAGAUAAUCUACCUGUAUAUCUAGACAUGAAAAUUGAAGAAAGUUUUUACAAGACUCACAGUCCCCAUGCAUAAUUGAUGUACAAAAAGAAAUGGCACUUCAUCUGAUUGAAAAUUUCUGCAAAAGUCCCUAAAGAAAAUGGAGAGUCAUCAACCAAAGAAAUAAACGUACCUUGCAUAAAAAUUGUAGGGUUUUAUUUCCUAUAAGAAUCCUUUUUAUUUUAAGAUAAUCUGCUCGUAUAUCUAGACAUAGAAAUUAAAGAAAGUUAGCCAAGAAAGUUUUUACAAGACUCACAGUCCCCAUGCAUAAUUGAUGUACAAAGAGAAAUGACACUUCAUCUGAUUGAAAAUUUCUAAAAAAGUCCAUAAAGAAAAUGGAGUGUCAUCAACCAAAGAAAUAAACGUACCUUGCAUAAAAUUUGUAAAGUUUUAUUUCCUAUAAGAAUUCUUACUAUUAUAGAAUUCUUAUUUCCUACCCGCAGCGUGUUUUUUUUUUUAAAAAAAAAAUUUCUUUGGGGAGGCUUGGUAGAAGUGGGGAAGCUAAGGCCUCUUAGCAGGAAAUAAAACGGGGGUUUUUUACAAAAUGGCCCGCUUAAAUCUUCUUUGUCACGCCCCUUGGGCUAGCUAGCUAGCAGUUCAAAAGGGUGUGUAUUAAGAAGAGCAAGAGUUUAGUUUAUGACCAGGAUGGGCUUGCGUUUCAACUUUGUGAAUUGGUAGUUGGGCCACUUGAAUUCUUUCGCUUAAUAGAAACUCGCCAAAUUUCAUGGGUUUUCUGAAAUGUUUCCGUAAAUGUUGUGUGAUGGUAAAUUUAGUUUUUUUUUAGGUGCAGAUCUCGUGUGUAUUCUACUGUCUUGGCUAUUACUUAAUGUGCUAAUAAUAAUCCAGCUAAAGCUUUGCUAGCUAAUUCAAGUGAACGGCUGAUAAAAUUAUACACUUCUUCUAAAACUAGUCAACGAGAUAUUGUUGAUAUUUUUCACUGCCCAAGUUUUGAACUUGUUGGUCCUGGCAGGCGGCCAGAUGAAAAAGGAGAGGAGGUAACAAGGGGGUGGGAAAGGGGAAUUGAACGGGCGGGGGUGGAUAAGGAGGAAGGAGAAGAAGGAAAGGGGGUGGGGUGGGGAAAAAGAGGGAGGAGGGAGUGAGGGUAGGGUAAGAGUAUUGGCACUCUGAGAAAGUAGCAAUUGCACUCCGUUCCAUGAUAUACAUAUAUUUUUUUGGAUAUUUUUCUAGUUUCCUUUGGAAAAAAAGGUUCCUAAUGGUCACGAAUCCAAGCUUGGUGGUAUACGUCAUCAAGAAACCGAGAGUUUAAAGUAGUAAAACCAAUGAUAAUAAGUGACUAGGGGAGGUUUAAAACUCUAUUUUCACGUAGAUCAAGAGAACAGAUCCUUUGACCUUCAAUCUAAUAUUCAAACUUUUUUUAAAAAUAUUUUAUUAGUGAAUGUUUCGAUAUUCGUUUGAAUCGGUGAUGAUUUAUCAUAUUCUCCUUGACCUUUUUAGAUCUCUACUUGGAUGUAGAUCAAAAAAUCUAAUUUCUUGACCUACAUUCUAAUAAUCAGAUUUUUCUAAAAAUAUUUCGCUAGCGAGUGAUUAGAUACUCGUGAUUUGAAUCAGUGGUGAUUCAUCGAAUUUUUCUUCAUCUUUUUCUAUCUCUCCUCAAUAGAAGUAAUCAUAACAUAAAAUCUAUCAUUAAAACAAGCUUUCUACGUACCUUAAGAAAACGACAAAAGACGUGAGCUUCAGCUGCCCCCACACGUGUGCAGUGCAGUCACUAUAUAGCCAUAUUAUUGUCAUUUUCUUUUUUUGGUCUGCCGCUCUAAUCUUAUAAAGCUAUUACACUGCUACUGUGAUCCUCAACCCACAAAUUAACACUACUGCUUGGAGGAUACUGACUGAGACUGCCAGCGCUACUGGGGGCGUCUACACUGCCAACUUCCGAGCAUGCAAACAGCCGAAAAUCUGUUGGAAUUUGACAAUUUGUUGUGGAUGUACGCAGAAAAGCAGCGGUUCGGUUCGGUUCAUUUUUUACCCGCUCCUCCUAGUGUUUUGGUUUUGAACAAGAGUUGUCUCUCCUCCUUUUGACCCACACCAGCAUCCUCCUCUUCAUUCUCACCGUAGGGAAAUUGAUAAUGCAAUCUUCCUCCGCCGCCCACCUGUCAGUUAGUGGAUCCUUCUUUAAAUCAAUUUGAUACUACUAUACAAUAGAGUGCUGGUAGUAUGAAAAGGUACUACUUCUACAUUUGGAUCCAAAGACUCGCAUAUUUCUUAAGUUUAACUUGCAUCGAUAUGAAAGACAGGUAACUCUAAAGAAGAAUAAGAAAUCCAAGAACAAAAAUAAAUACGAAUAAGUAGAAGAAAGAGAAAAAUACAAUGCUGGAAAAAGCAAAAAAUAUUAAGUAAUAUUUUAUACACUCCUCUGUGUGAAAAUCUUUUUUAUAGUGGUAGGUAGAUUCAGAUGGAAGAUAUAUAAUCUUUAUUCAAAUUUGAAAUUCACUCCUAUUCGUGCAAAAAAAAAAAAAUCUGUGUACUCAGAGUAUAAAAGAUUUAUUCAAAAUAAUAAAAAAAAAAAAGCCUUGGACAUACCUAAAUUGGGUAACAAAAUGGUGAAGGAAGAUAGAAGCUUCAAGCCUGGCCAGGUCAAGGCCCGGGCACAGCCUUUGUCCACCCCCAAAGGGAGUGAAGCUGCUGCCGCUCGUGUCCCGCUCCUGCAAUGUGCGGCUACUAGUUUACUUUUUCCAUACCAAUAAGCAUAAAAAUCAGAAAAUGCUCACAAUAUCUGAUGAUAUUUUGUGAAAAACUUGUUGUAGGCAGCUGCAGUUGAGGCCCAAAAUAUUACGCUACUAUUUGAGAAAUCAAAGGGAAGUCUAUUUGUUUUUUUUCUUUUUGAAGGAAAAUCAAAGGGAAGUCUACAGCAGGGAAUUGGUCAUAUAUAUAUAUAUGUGUGUGUGUGUGUGUGUGUGUGUUUAAUUUCUUACUUGCCACCGCCAGGGGUUGAACAGACAGGGAGAAUCAUAUGCAUCUUCAUCCAGAUGUAUGGAUCUAAAAUACGUAAAUACACACUAUUCUUUUGGUAUGAAAUGUCCUUUAAUCUCAACGUCCUUGGUGACUUUCCUCAUUACUCCUAUGAUUAUGUUUCCCAUUCGCAGUGUUUCUGUGAUCACCUGCAUUAUGCAUGCAUGCAUAUACACAUAUAUAUAUGGUCAAAACCACGCGUAUAUAAUUGCGGCUGGUGGUACAUAAUGAGUGCAUUAAUUCAUAUUGAUUGGUUCUAACGGGUUUCCAGUUUUGAAGUCAUAUGUUUCCCCAUCAGCUCAGUCAGAGAUCUUGGAUAAGUGGAAACAAUCGUAGGAUUUCCAAAUAUAUGCGACUUGAACACCUUCCCAUAUCUACAAAUGAAAGAUAAACACCCCAAAACUUCAUUUAACCAGCAACAAGUACACUAUCAAACGUCGUCAUACUACAAGAAUAUCAUCAUUAGCUAGGUAGCUAGCUUUAUUGAAGAUUUAUAGAUAUAAAACGGCUUACAUGAGACGACGCUUGUCCAUGAAGGUCUCAGGGCGGUCAGAGUAAGCGCAAGAGAUGAAGUCGAGGGUUUCUCCGAGAAAAGGCCAUCCAAGAGUGCCUAAAGGGAGUCGAGGAGUGGUGUAGCUUGACAGGAGUUUGCAACAUAUGAGUUUCCUGUAGAAAAUAAUGGCGGACAGGAGGAUUGCUGUGGCCAACAAAUUGCCCGUACAAUUGUCCAUUUUGGAACUUUUUUUCCGCUAGCUACGUACUUAAGCAGGAAAUCAAUGGUAAAUCACUAGUGUUUUCCCCUAAUCAUGGUGAUGUAGUAGUACUUUUGUAGAGGAAAUGGGCCGACGUUCGAGUGAGAAAGAGAUUAAGUUGGGUAACCCCUCUUUUAAUGGAUGUAGAUGGGUGCGGCAGGAAAAAAAAAAAGAAAAGAGAAAAGAAAGGAACGUGAUAUACUGUAUGUAUGUGCUUGAGGGAUAAUUUGACGAGUCAGCACAUGUUGCCUCGAGGGUUCGUGCGCUUCAUGUCGGCUGGACCAGUGUUUUCGGCCGAUUUUCUUUGGGGAUAGUGGCCCGACCAAAUUAUUGACCGCAACUUUGGUCCAAAAUCCAAAUAAUAUGGAGUAUGGUGGAUUUUCAGGGUCUUGGGGUUUUGAGAUUUCUAAUCCAUGCAACAGUACUUAUUGAAGUUAUAUAUCCAUCCAUGUGAUAAAUUUCACUUGAAGCAUAGAUAACUCAUUCAGAUAUUUAUAUUUAUAUAUAUUAAAAAAAAGUCAAUCAGAUUCAACGACUACUAAAUCUUGGUCAUGAAUGAUUGGAAUCAAAACAAAUGUAUGCAUGAUGAGAUCUCUACCUAUAUAUUUGUUUUGCAGUGUAAUUGUUAUAGCAUUUGAUAAAAUUUUCUAAUCGGUACCCUAGGGUGUCAUUUGUUAAUAGGGCUAGAUUACGCCUAAUGACCUAAUUUAUUAUGUAAACGCACACUCUCAUAUUUAAUGCACCUCUGUAUUUAGAUUUUUUUAAAAAAAUAAUUUUAUAUUUGAUAAAAAAUUAACACCUAAUAUCCCUCUUAAUGAGUGUCAUUAGGGUACUCGUUAGUUAAACCCUCAUUUUAUUAUGUCAAAAAUCACUACUCUCAUAUAUAGGAUAGCAGCUGGUCUUUUAUUUUUUUAUAUUUAUAUUUUUGGAUGGAAUAUAGGGGCUGAUCGGCAUGACGAUGAUGGUAAUGCUACGGAUGUCCUCAAACAAAAAAAUAGAACACUAUAGAAAAUUAAAUCGUUGUACCCAAAACCCAGCCUACUUCAUUCAUCGAAGUGGGUAAAAGUAGUAGUAUAUGAUAGAUGCAGCUCAAAGGAACGAAUUUAUGGGGUGUAAACUUUGGAUAAUUUUCUAAUCAUAUUGCUUUUAUUACCAAAAAUUUUUUUAAAAAAAGGGAAUGAACGAUUCACACGUCAUGAAGUACUAGGAGUAAGGAAUAAGAGAAAUAGACAGAAAAUUAGAGAAUUGUCCACUAAUUUUAUUUAAUAGAAAUAUGAAUAUUUACUCCUUUGACAACGGAGAAGACAUAAACGUAACCAUAAAGUAAACAAACAAUCAGGGUAAAAAGUAAUUAAAGCAAUCCGUGAACUAUUACGUAUAACGCAAACCCAUGAAUGAAAAGACAACACUGACAAAAUCCUCAAGAUCAAGAAACCCUCAUCAGAAAAUUUCAGAAAAUGUCAGGAAGAAACCCUCAUCAGAAAAUGUCAGGAAGAAACCCUCAUCAAGGCCGGCGGAAGGCUGACGAGUCGUACUCAAGAUGUCGAUGAAUCUUAAAAGCGCUUUUGUACCGUGCACCCACCGCAGAAUCAAUGUCUAUGGGGUUCAGCCAUACAUUAGUUGCUUUCUCAAAUACAUCAACUCCUUUGGUGAUGACUUGACCCUCAUAAGUGCGUCCAGAGUUCUUGAUAACCUUCUUCAUGAUGUCGCAAUCUUGGACACAACCGAGGAGCAAGAAUUGUCUCGCCAUGAUCUGUUCCUCUAUGUCCCGUGUUUCUUUAGUUUCAUACGUCACGGAUUUCCACACACCUAGAUACUCUCCAAUCUUUCCGGCACAUCUGUUCAGUUCAGGCGUACUUCGGUGAGCCAUAAAUCCAAAUAAAAUGGAGCAUGGUGGAUUUUCAGGGUCUUGGGGUUUUGAGAUUUCUAAUCCUUGCAACAGUACUUAUUGAAGUUAUAUAUCCAUCCAUGUGAUAAAUUUCACUUGAAGCAUAGAUAACUCAUUCAGAUAUUUAUAUUUAUAUAUAUUAAAAAAAAGUCAAUCAGAUUUAGCGACUACUAAAUCUUGGUCAUGAAUGAUUGGAAUCAAAACAAAUGUAUGCAUGAUGACAUCUCUACCAAUACAUUUGGUUUUGCAGUGUAAUUGUUAUAGCAUUUGAUAAAAUUUUCUAAUCGGUACCCUAGGGUGUCAUUUGUUAAUAGGGCUAGAUUACGCCUAAUGACCUAAUUUAUUAUGUAAACGCACACUCUCAUAUUUAAUGCACAUCUGUAUUUAGAUUUUUUUAAAAAAAAUUAUUUUAUAUUUGAUAAAAAAUUAACACCUAAUAUACCUCUUAAUGAGUAUCAUUAGGGUACUCGUUAGUUAAACCCUCAUUUUAUUAUGUCAAAAUCACUACUCUCAUAUAUAGGAUAGCAGCUGGUCUUUUAUUUUUUUAUAUUUAUAUUUUUGGAUGGAAUAUAGGGGCUGAUCGGCAUGACGAUGAUGGUAAUGCUACGGAUGUCCUCAAACAACAAAAUAGAACACUAUUGGAAAUUAAAUCGUUGUACCCAAAAUCCAGCCUAUUUCAUUCAUCGAAGUGGGUAAAAGUAGUAGUAUAUGAUAGAUGCAGCUCAAAGGAACGAAUUUAUGGGGUGUAAACUUUGGAUAAUUUUCUAAUCAUAUUGCUUUAUUACCAAAAAAUUUUUUUAAAAAAAAGGGGAAUUGACGAUUCACACGUCAUGAAGUACUAGGAGUAGGGAAUAAGAGAACUAGACAGAAAAAUUAGAGAAUUGUCCACUAAUUUUAUAUAAUAGAAAUAUGAAUAUUUACUCCUUUGACAACGGAGAAGACAUAAACGUAACCAUGAAAUAAACAAACAAUCAGGGAAAAAAAGUAAUUAAAGCAAUCCGUGAACUAUUACGUAUAACGCAAACCCAUGAAUGAAAAGACAACACUGACAAAAUCCUCAAGAUCAAGAAACCCUCAUCAGAAAAUGUCAGAAAAUGUCAGGAAGAAACCCUCAUCAAGGCCGGCGGAAAGCUGACGGGUCGUACUCAAGAUGUCGAUGAAUCUUAAAAGCGCUUUUGUUCCGUGCACCCUCCGCAGAAUCAAUGUCUAUGGGGUUCAGCCCUACAUUAGUUGCUUUCUCAAAUACAUCAACUCCUUUGGUGAUGACUUGACCCUCAUAAGUGCGUCCAGAGUUCUUGAUAACCUUCUUCAUGAUGUCGCAAUAUUGGACACAACCGAGGAGCAAGAAUUGUCUCGCCAUGAUCUGUUCCUCCAUGUCCCGUGUUUCUUUAAUUUCACCCGUCACGGAUUUCAACACACCUAGAUACUCUCCAAUCUUUCCGGCACAUCUGUUUAGUUCAGGCGUACUUCGGUGAGCCAUAAAUCCAAAUAAUAUGGAGCAUGGUGGAUUUUCAGGGUCUUGGGGUUUUGAGAUUUCUAAUCCUUGCAACAGUACUUAUUGAAGUUAUAUAUCCAUCCAUGUGAUAAAUUUCACUUGAAGCAUAGAUAACUCAUUCAGAUAUUUAUAUUUAUAUAUAUUAAAAAAAAGUCAAUCAGAUCUAGCGACUACUAAAUUUUGGUCAUGAAUGAUUGGAAUCAAAACAAAUGUAUGCAUGAUGAGAUCUCUACCUAUACAUUUGGUUUUGCAGUGUAAUUGUUAUAGCAUUUGAUAAAAUUUUCUAAUCGGUACCCUAAGGUGUCAUUUGUUAAUAGGGCUAGAUUACGCCUAAUGACCUAAUUUAUUAUGUAAACGCACACUCUCAUAUUUAAUGCACCUCUGUAUUUAGAUUUUUUUUAAAAAAAUAAUUUUAUAUUUGAUAAAAAAUUAACACCUAAUAUCCCUCUUAAUGAGUAUCAUUAGGGUACUCGUUAGUUAAACCCUCAUUUUAUUAUGUCAAAAUCACUACUCUCAUAUAUAGGAUAACAGCUGGUCUUUUAUUUUUUUAUAUUUAUAUUUUUGGAUGGAAUAUAGGGGCUGAUCGGCAUGACGAUGAUGGUAAUGCUACGGAUGUCCUCAAACAACAAAAUAGAACACUAUUGGAAAUUAAAUCGUUGUACCCAAAAUCCAGCCUAUUUCAUUCAUCGAAGUGGGUAAAAGUAGUAGUAUAUGAUAGAUGCAGCUCAAAGGAACGAAUUUAUGGGGUGUAAACUUUGGAUAAUUUUCUAAUCAUAUUGCUUUAUUACCAAAAAUUUUUUUAAAAAAAAGAGAAUGGACGAUUCACACGUCAUGAAGUACUAGGAGUAAGGAAUAAGAGAACUAGACAGAAAAAUUAGAGAAUUGUCCACUAAUUUUAUUUAAUAGAAAUAUGAAUAUUUACUCCUUUGACAACGGAGAAGACAUAAACGUAACCAUGAAAUAAACAAACAAUCAGGGAAAAAAAAUUAAUUAAAGCAAUCCGUGAACUAUUACGUAUAACGCAAACCCAUGAAUGAAAAGACAACACUGACAAAAUCCUCAAGAUCAAGAAACCCUCAUCAGAAAAUGUCAGAAAAUGUCAGGAAGAAACCCUCAUCAAGGCCGGCGGAAAGCUGACGGGUCGUACUCAAGAUGUCGAUGAAUCUUAAAAGCGCUUUUGUUCCGUGCACCCUCCGCAGAAUCAAUGUCUAUGGGGUUCAGCCCUACAUUAGUUGCUUUCUCAAAUACAUCAACUCCUUUGGUGAUGACUUGACCCUCAUAAGUGCGUCCAGAGUUCUUGAUAACCUUCUUCAUGAUGUCGCAAUAUUGGACACAACCGAGGAGCAAGAAUUGUCUCGCCAUGAUCUGUUCCUCCAUGUCCCGUGUUUCUUUAAUUUCACCCGUCACGGAUUUCAACACACCUAGAUACUCUCCAAUCUUUCCGGCACAUCUGUUUAGUUCAGGCGUACUUCGGUGAGCCAUAAAUCCAAAUAAUAUGGAGCAUGGUGGAUUUUCAGGGUCUUGGGGUUUUGAGAUUUCUAAUCCUUGCAACAGUACUUAUUGAAGUUAUAUAUCCAUCCAUGUGAUAAAUUUCACUUGAAGCAUAGAUAACUCAUUCAGAUAUUUAUAUUUAUAUAUAUUAAAAAAAAGUCAAUCAGAUCUAGCGACUACUAAAUUUUGGUCAUGAAUGAUUGGAAUCAAAACAAAUGUAUGCAUGAUGAGAUCUCUACCUAUACAUUUGGUUUUGCAGUGUAAUUGUUAUAGCAUUUGAUAAAAUUUUCUAAUCGGUACCCUAAGGUGUCAUUUGUUAAUAGGGCUAGAUUACGCCUAAUGACCUAAUUUAUUAUGUAAACGCACACUCUCAUAUUUAAUGCACCUCUGUAUUUAGAUUUUUUUUAAAAAAAUAAUUUUAUAUUUGAUAAAAAAUUAACACCUAAUAUCCCUCUUAAUGAGUAUCAUUAGGGUACUCGUUAGUUAAACCCUCAUUUUAUUAUGUCAAAAUCACUACUCUCAUAUAUAGGAUAACAGCUGGUCUUUUAUUUUUUUAUAUUUAUAUUUUUGGAUGGAAUAUAGGGGCUGAUCGGCAUGACGAUGAUGGUAAUGCUACGGAUGUCCUCAAACAACAAAAUAGAACACUAUUGGAAAUUAAAUCGUUGUACCCAAAAUCCAGCCUAUUUCAUUCAUCGAAGUGGGUAAAAGUAGUAGUAUAUGAUAGAUGCAGCUCAAAGGAACGAAUUUAUGGGGUGUAAACUUUGGAUAAUUUUCUAAUCAUAUUGCUUUAUUACCAAAAAUUUUUUUAAAAAAAAGAGAAUGGACGAUUCACACGUCAUGAAGUACUAGGAGUAAGGAAUAAGAGAACUAGACAGAAAAAUUAGAAAAUUGUCCACUAAUUUUAUUUAAUAGAAAUAUGAAUAUUUACUCCUUUGACAACGGAGAAGACAUAAACGUAACCAUGAAAUAAACAAACAAUCAGGGAAAAAAAAUUAAUUAAAGCAAUCCGUGAACUAUUACGUAUAACGCAAACCCAUGAAUGAAAAGACAACACUGACAAAAUCCUCAAGAUCAAGAAACCCUCAUCAGAAAAUGUCAGAAAAUGUCAGGAAGAAACCCUCAUCAAGGCCGGCGGAAAGCUGACGGGUCGUACUCAAGAUGUCGAUGAAUCUUAAAAGCGCUUUUGUUCCGUGCACCCUCCGCAGAAUCAAUGUCUAUGGGGUUCAGCCCUACAUUAGUUGCUUUCUCAAAUACAUCAACUCCUUUGGUGAUGACUUGACCCUCAUAAGUGCGUCCAGAGUUCUUGAUAACCUUCUUCAUGAUGUCGCAAUAUUGGACACAACCGAGGAGCAAGAAUUGUCUCGCCAUGAUCUGUUCCUCCAUGUCCCGUGUUUCUUUAAUUUCACCCGUCACGGAUUUCAACACACCUAUAUACUCUCCAAUCUUUCCGGCACAUCUGUUUAGUUCAGGCGUACUUCGGUGAGCCAUAAAUCCAAAUAAUAUGGAGCAUGGUGGAUUUUCAGGGUCUUGGGGUUUUGAGAUUUCUAAUCCUUGCAACAGUACUUAUUGAAGUUAUAUAUCCAUCCAUGUGAUAAAUUUCACUUGAAGCAUAGAUAACUCAUUCAGAUAUUUAUAUUUAUAUAUAUUAAAAAAAAGUCAAUCAGAUUUAGCGACUACUAAAUCUUGGUCAUGAAUGUUUGGAUUCAAAACAAAUGUAUGCAUGAUGAGAUCUCUACCUAGGGUGUCAAAACAAAUGUUUUAGCAUUUGAUAAAAUUUUCUAAUCGGUACCCUAGGGUGUCAUUUGUUAAUAGGGCUAGAUUACACCUAAUGACCUAAUUUAUUAUGUAAACGCACACUCUCAUAUUUAAUGCACCUCUGUAUUUAGAUUUUUUUUAAAAAAAUAAUUUUAUAUUUGAUAAAAAAUUAACACCUAAUAUCCCUCUUAAUGAGUAUCAUUAGGGUACUCGUUAGUUAAACCCUCAUUUUAUUAUGUCAAAAUCACUACUCUCAUAUAUAGGAUAGCAGCUGGUCUUUUAUUUUUUUAUAUUUAUAUUUUUUGAUGGAAUAUAGGGGUUGAUCGGCAUGACGAUGAUGGUAAUGCUACGGAUGUCCUCAAACAACAAAAUAGAACACUAUUGGAAAUUAAAUCGUUGUACCCAAAACCCAGCCUACUUCAUUCAUCGAAGUGGGUAAAAGUAGUAGUAUAUGAUAGAUGCAACUCAAAGGAACGAAUUUAUGGGGUGUAAACUUUGGAUAAUUUUCUAAUCAUAUUGCUUUAUUACCAAAAAAUUUUUUUAAAAAAAGGGAAUGAACGAUUCACACGUCAUGAAGUACUAGGAGUAAGGAAUAAGAGAACUAGACAGAAAAAUUAGAGAAUUGUCCACUAAUUUUAUUUAAUUGAAAUAUGAAUAUUUACUCCUUUGACAACGGAGAAGACAUAAACGUAACCAUGAAGUAAACAAACAAUCAGGGAAAAAAAGUAAUUAAAGCAAUCCGUGAAAUAUUACGUAUAACGCAAACCCAUGAAUGAAAAGACAACACUGACAAAAUCCUCAAGGUCAAGAAACUCUCAUCAGAAAAUGUCAGAAAAUGUCAAGAAGAAACCCUCAUCACGGCCGGCGGAAGGUUGACGGGUCGUACUCAAGAUAUCGAUGAAUCUUAAAAGCGCUUUUGUACCGUGCACCCUCCGCAGAAUCAAUGUCUAUGGGGUUCAGCCCUACAUUAGUUGCUUUCUCAAAUACAUCAACACCUUUGGUGAUGACUUGACCCUCAUAAGUGCGUCCAGAGUUCUUGAUAACCUUCUUCAUGAUGUCGCAAUCUUGGACACAACCGAGGAGCAAGAAUUGUCUCGCCAUGAUCUAUUCCUCCAUGUCCCGUCUUUCUUUAGUUUCAUCCGUCACGGAUUUCAACACACCUAGAUACUCUCCAAUCUUUCCGGCACAUCUGUUUAGUUCAGGCGUACUUCGGUGAGCCAUAAAUCCAAAUAAUAUGGAGCAUGGUGGAUUUUCAGGGUCUUGGGGUUUUGAGAUUUCUAAUCCUUGCAACAGUGAUUGGCACAUUAAGGGGAUCAAUGGGAUCAAUGGGGAUCAAGGGGAUCCUUGCAACAAUGAUUGGCACAUUAAAAAAAGGACACCGAAGUUUAUAUAUUUCCAAUAUUUAAACAAAAAAAUCCUAAACUAUCAAGACAAGUUUAAACAAAUAAAUGUGCAAAUGAUCCUAGAUGAGUUUAAACGAAUUUUUUGCGCCUAGCUAGGCUUAUUUAGAAAACAGUCCUAAUUUGACACUUGAGUGUAGCGAAUUUGGCUUAAUUAAUUAAAUGAAUGAGCCAAAUUCAAACUUAAAUGAUGUGAGCUGAGUUGAGCUCACAAGCUACUCAUUCGUCUAAUAGCUCUAAUUGCAACUAGGUGGUGGAGUUUCGGAUGUUUUCUGACAAUAAGCUGUGCAAUCCCAUAGUAAAAUUGUUUAAGUAAAAAUAACUUGUGGACAAUAAUGAUGAUUAAGAUUUUGCUGACUGCAGUUCGAAUAGAAAUCUAAAAAAAAAUCAAUGACAGAAAGACAUAAACACCCGCCAGUCCACCUAAACUUCCAAAAAACCCCCUCACCCCAACAAAACGAAAUUACAUUAUACAAAAAAUAAGGGUACCAAUCGCAAUACAAAUAAGCGGACGAAAUCUAAACCUUCCAAUUGCAAGCUCCUUCUUUGACAGAAGUAAGAUUGAUCCCACUUGUCUUGUCUUAAAUCUUUGACUGGUUGAUUAUAUUUCAAGUUAAUCCUUUGACGUUAUAUAAGCAUAUAAUCUCUCUAACGUUUAACACAUUGAACCAAAGAGGCAAAAAAAAUAACGAAUCCAUCGUAACGUUGAGACUUAGUAUGGAUGAAAGCAUAGUGAUCAAAACUAUCUAUUAAAUUGAGGCUGAACAAAGGGUUCAUAAAUAUUUUUAAAUCAAAUAAGAAGAAUUAUAUAUAAAUAAAGGCAUAUAACAACCUCGUAUGGACUGCUCAUCUCUAACCCAGUUGAUGCAUUAGGAGUUGCCCCCACCAUUGUGUUAAUAGAUACUAAUAACCCUGAAAUUCAAAAAAAAAAAAAAAAGAAGUAACAAGGAUAAAUAAAAAAUCGAAGAAUGUCCAGGCACAUGGAUGAGGAAAUAAAUGCUAGCAAUUAUGUCCUAAUUCAAAAUUUUACCUAAAGCACCUUUGUCCGCGGUGGGGAGGCAAUUCUGGCAAGAAAAACAACCUUAGGAGGUUAGUGUUUUCUUGUCGCCUAAACCUAGAUUUGCAGAGAACAAUUUUUUUUGGUGGGUUAAAUAAAGGCUUUUUGAGAAGCCAACACAUAUAUCAUAUAUAUAUAAUAAAGUCGUAUCCUAAUACUUAUUCCUCCCUGUUUUCUCUCUCCUACGUAGCUUAAUGAGACGGCAAGAAGUUUCCUACGUGGCUUGUUACUUUUUUGUUUGGAUGUAUAUCAAUUCUUAUUUCCUAUAAGAAUUCUUAAUAUUAUAUGAUUCUUAUUUCCUACCCAAACAAGGAACUAAAAAGUAAUUUGAUAUAAAUAAAAGAGACAUAAAUCUCCUCUAUUAGAUAUAUAGGAAUAAAUGAUAAUAUAUAUUUUUUAUAGUGUCCUUUUUUUUUAUUUUUUUUACAGCUUCAUCAUACAUCCUUUUUAUUUUAAGAUAAUCUACCCGUAUAUCUAGACAUGGAAAUUGAAGAAAGUUUUUACAAGACUCAUAGUCCCCAUGCAUAAUUGAUGUACAAAAAGAAAUGGCACUUCAUUUGAUUGAAAAUUUCUGAAAAAGUCCCUAAAGAAAAUGGAGAGUCAUCAACCAAAGAAAUAAACGUACCUUGCAUAAAAAUUGUAGGGUUUUAUUUCCUAUAAGAAUCUUUUUUAUUUUAAGAUAAUCUGCCCGUAUAUCUAGGCAUGGAAAUUAAAGAAAAUUAGCCUAAGAAAGUUUCUACAAGACUCACAGUCCCCAUGCAUAAUUGAUGUACAAAGAGAAAUGGCACUUCAUCUGAUUGAAAAUUUCUGGAAAAGUCCAUAAAGAAAAUGGAGUGUCAUCAACCAAAGAAAUAAACGUACCUUGCAUAAAAUUUGUAAGGUUUUAUUUCCUAUAAGAAUUCUUAAUAUUAUAGGAUUCUUAUUUCCUACCCAAAAGUUAUUAUAGGAUUCUUAUCAAUAUCUCUUUAUAUCCUUAUCAAUUCUUAUUUCUUAUGUCUACACUACAUAUAGCCUCUAAUAUAUUAAUUUCAAGCAUCAAAUUCAUGGUUAGGCAUUUCCAAUGCAAGUGAUUGGCACAUUAAAACAUCAAUUUUGGAUUUCCACUCCUCUUGAUUAUCAGGUACAUUUUCUUUCAAUACAUAUUUUCUGUUUUAAUUUGAUUUUUCAAAAGUAUGUAUGUUUUUUUUUGUUAUGUCUGACACUGCUGUUAAAUAUUCAUGUUGGGAAAGAAAAAGAUAGGGGAAAAAAUGUGUAGUAUUAAAGAAAGAUUUGGGGUUUUCCAUGGUUGAGUCUUUUUAGCGCACUCUAUUAACAUUGAGUAUAUAUGAUUUAAACAUUGAGUAUUAUACUAUAGAGAAGAGUAAGUAUGUGUAUGUUAUAAAGUUUUAGAAGCAUCUCUGCUGCCUUUUAAUAGAAGGUGAAGACCAAAGAUUAUAGAGAGCUUUAAUCUGUUUUCCAAUUUUCAAAAAUUCGUGCAAUCAUUUUGCAUUGGCCUUUCUUCCAAUAUCCUACUAUUAUAUGUGGUAACGAUAUCGUUAGUUAACUAAAAGACUCUGACCGUUUACUUAAUUAAUCCUACCAACAAUCAACGUGCAAUCAAUUAUUAGAUGAUAAUUGUAACAAAAAUAUACAUGCAAUUAAUUGGACCAUUUGUCAACACUACGUCUGGACUCCUUCCAGUUUCUACAGGCUGGCUCUUCUAGAAUUAGACAUCAAAAUUCAUUCAUAUGCAAGAAAGUUUUCAACUGUCUUAAUCAUUUGGUCAAGAGAUAUUGAUUCAAUUAUUGCGCGUUCAUCGUUAUUUUCUCCUGCAUAAAUUGUUCAAUUAUUACUAAGUUUUUCCUUAGAUUAAAAAUCAUGAUUUAUUGGUAUCUUCAUAAGGAGAAAAUGGUUGUUACUGGGAUCUGUAAAAAGUCUAAUUUCUCUUUGAAUCGUGUGUACAGUCAUUUCUCAAUGUACUUCGGUAUGUAGAUGUUUAUAAAAAUUUGUAGGUAUGCUCGGUAGUUUUUGUUAAGAUUAGUUAGCUAUGCUGGAGUUAGAUAUAUCAGCAACAGUAGCUUUAUGAUGGUCAAUUAGCUUUACUUGUGUUUGUUUAAUUUACUGAAUUUUGUUUCUGUAUUAAUACUACCAUAAGCUAAACUUCUAUCGUCAUAUUCAUCCAUGAAAAAUGCUUUUGGUUGAUUCUUUGACAAGCAAAAAGUUUCAGUUUUGGCAUUGCUUCCUUGACAUAUUGGGCCUCUUUGCAAAUUUCAUGGACAUCAGAUCAGCAUUUUACAUGAGAAUGAGCUGUCAGUUCAACAUUAUGUUGCGCAUUCUUGAAAAUGCCAUUUUAAGUUUCAUGAGUUUUUGUUUUUAAGUUGCAAUGACACCCCAUCACCUUGGAAGACAAAAGUAGAUGAUGGGAAUGUAACUAGACAAGAACCAGAUUCACUUGUAGACAUUUUCUCACUAUUCAUUGUUCUUUUAAUCAUGCAGAAUAUUAUAAUUUGGCUCAUGAAAUUAAAAGCUGAUUCUGUUAACAUCAGCAUUACGGAGGAAAAUGUGGUUCAUCACUAAUUGUUGAUUACAGAGACAUAGUACUAGCAUGGCAGGAAUUGGAAAUCUUUUGUGUUCCAAAUCAAGUUGAACAAUUAUGAUAUGGAAUAAGGUAGUAAUAGAUUUAUAGUGAAAAGAUAGUUUCACUGUGAUUUCGGGAGGGAAACGCAUUUUAUGCUUUCACAGGUAAUGUGUAAUAAAUUUCUCUUAUAUUUCACAUAUUAUAUCUCACAUAAUAUUUUUGCCUUUAAUUUUGAUAAAUCAUUAUCCGAUUGGUGGAACCGACAACCAAUACCAAUCUGAAGUAUUUUCUUCCCAGAUAUUAAUCAGUAUAACAGAUGAUUCUAAUCAACAAUAUUUCAAUACAGUUCAUAUGAAUCAUUCAUCACAGGGUUCAACAAAAAUCACAGAGGAAGGGAAUCCUCAUAAAAAGAUUUGCAUGAGAAGGUAGAUUUAAUAUACUAUUUUACUUUUUUAAAUCUUAAUCUUUACGUAUUGUUAUACACAAUCUUGAAUGCGAUAAAUUAUUUUUUUUAUGCUUAGUUAUCCUGCUUUGCUAUCAUGCAGUGAUAAUGGAAAAUCAAUAAAUACUGAUUUGCACGGACAAAUCGAGGAGAAUGUUCAAACAGAAGAAAAACAAAAACAAGUUUCUGAAGAGUAGAAUAUUAUUUGAUACUAUUUACUGCACUUUUUAUUUAUUUUCAAGUUUUUGAAUGUUAUGGUAUUGUUGAAUGUUAUGUUUUUCAUUUUUGAAUUAUUAUUUACUAAAUUAGAUGUUCAAAUUUAUAUUAUUAGAAUAUUUUAUAUUGCAAUGUGCACAUAGUAAUAUACUUAAGAAAGGUUAUAAUAAAAUAUACAUUAAGUUUGUCUUUCGUAUCGAUAUUUUUAGAAAAUUGAUUAAAUAAUUUAUUAUUUUUCGAAAAUGCCCGUUCAACGAACGGGUACAUAACUAGUUAUGGUAAUAAAUUUAAGGUAUUUUUAGUAUGCAUCAUACAGGUGGCUUACUUCUAAAGCUGCAAGCGUAGGAGGAAAAAAAAGCGUAAUUAAAAAUCUUAUAAAGGCAAUAAUUAAACAAUAAGGAAACGUAAGAAAGCUACUAGAAUAAUCCAAAACGACAAAGUAAUUGGAGACCAAGGUAACUUCCACAGACGGUGGAGGCAAUUAAAGGCCAAGGUAACUUUGACCAUAAUGUUUCCAAAUAUUCAACAAAACGAACAAUAGAUCUUUGCCUUGGAACUGGACAUUGAAAGCGGCCAAGUUAGGAUCUAUGCAUGAUAUUCUGCAUUACCAGACAUACAAAGUUACAAACCAUCUUCGUCGUCCAUUACAAUCCGCAAAAUCGAAGAUUUCUUCCGAGAAUGAAUGUUUAUUCCAUUAAGCCGUUUGGAAGAGCCGGAAAUUUUGACACCCGCAAAACAUAACCUUUGUAAUAAUCGAUUUGAAAAAGGAUAAAUAAUUUUGAAAGUAGGUUCCUCGAUUUGUACAUAUUGAUACAACAACAAUCGUGAAUAUAGUUCCUAGAUAUACUAGUUCCUUGUUUGGAUAGCUGUUUUUUGCCGGAAAAUCGCAUCGUUUUCCGUGAUCACAUUUCCCUAAUACCUUUUCUCCUCACAUACAUCAAAUCGCUACAGUAAUUUUUCUACUGAAAUUUUAGAAAAUGUAAUCCAAACACAAAUACUUUAUGGAGGAAGAUUAAACAUGUAUAAUAACCUCUUACUGAUUUUUUUUUUUCCUUUUCAAGAAAAAAAAGAAGAAGAUAAUAGUGGCAUAUUUAAAUAAAAUUAGUAUAUUAGUUGUGCAAUAUUUGUAACCAAAUGACUAAGCCAUUUUCCUUGAGACUGCUAAACAUUUACCAUCCAGUACUGUCUGAUGAUAGUUGUUUUUCAAGGGUUCGCUUUACAAUUAAAUCCGGCUUGACUGCAAACGUAGAAAAGGGAUUUUUUUUUUUUUUGGAAACUGACGUAGAAAAGGGUUAAAAACAAACAAUGCUUCCUAUUAAACUACUGGAACAAGUAAAUCUGAAUGUAGUUAAAACACCAGUCCCAUUUUGUGAAGCCCUUUCUCGUACAAAACAGUGAUAUCGAAAGGCCAUGGCCAAAUUUGAUUUGGGUUGAAACAAGUCUUUGUUGGACCGAAACAUAGUUUAUCCCUAGGACAAAAUCCAUUGGGUUCAUCCAGGAAAUUAACUGCCAGUAAGAUCCCGCUCCGAUUUGAAAUUAGGUCUAAUCUCAGCCAUCAAAGAAAUUGAUUGACUAGAGAGUAAGCAGAAGUGAAAAAACGUCUCGGUGCCAGCAAACAAACUUAACUUUGUCUUCAUCACAGAAGAUGGCAACGACAUUCACCUGAGCCUGCAGUUUUAGACAAAUGUUCACAGCUUUUACGUUUUUCAUGAUCACGUUUCUCGAUUACCUUUUUAUUUUACAUUAUAGGAUUUUUUUUAUAUAAAAUCUUAAAAAUGGCGAUCCAAAUGGGACCUUAAACCUAUUAAUGCAUCACUCACUGAGCUUCCUGAAUCUUGUUUGGAUUGUGGUUUUUUGUAGAAAAAUUUUUACAUUUUUUGUGAAUGUAUUUCCCAACCAUCUUUUUAUUUCAUAUAUAUCAAAUUAUUAUAGUACAUUAUCUACAAAGAUUUCUUAAAAUAGCAAUCCAAACAUGGUUGACUUGUAAGGUCUAAGGUCUAAUCACGCAUUAUUUUCUUCAUUGCUAUUUUGAGUUUUAGUUUUUGGUUGGAUUUUUUUUUUUCCCUAUUAUUGCUUUUUGUUGCAGUUGUUUGCCAUUAUGGACAUGAAAGGAUUGUCUAUUUCUGCCAGCUUUCAGUUGGCCAAGUGCUUGAACCAGACUUGGACUACUAAAUUUGAUGUAGUCAGUACAGAGAGGGAAAAGUCUGUUGGUCAAACAUCAAGCUCAGCCCACAAUGGAGGAUUAACUUCGCUUGAUCGCUUCCACCGAAGCCCAAUGGAAGACCCUGCCUACGCUUUUAUCGAACCUCAAGGCCUAGAACAUUUACUGAGCGUCGAGGCCAGCCCUUCAAUAAUGGUUUAAAAUGCUCAUAUUAUUUUCUUUAAUAUUUUUUAUAUGACUAACAUCCGAAUUACUGUCCAAACAUUUUUUUUAACAGUUGAGUACCAGCAAUUGAAUUUCAGCUAAAUAAUUCUUACUUUAAUAACAUUCAAAUUUUAAAUGGGCUCUUUAUUGUAGAUUAGUGAAGCAUUUGUGAUGUGUCAUCAACAAGAUACAGGUUAUUGAUAAAUUAAUGCGUGUCUAAGGUUAUGAUCACUAAUCACAUGCUUUUGAUGAUACAAAUUAAAAUUUCCUAACAUCAAACCCUUGUAAAUUUCUACCAUUUAUAUUUUGCUAUUUUAAACCUCAUAUCAAUUUUUUAUUUUUAUUUAAAAUUAUUCCUAAUUUUGAGGCAUUAACUAAUUAAUUGUACCUACAUUUCUAGCAAUACACGGCGUGUGUUAGAUGUAAAAAUAAAAUGUAAAUUUAAUUUUUUAGAUUUACUUUUUGAAAAAUAAAGUGCAUAUUCAAUUUUCAUGAAUUAGUUUUCAAAAAUAAUUCAGUUAAUUUUUGUGAACUAGCAUUUGAUAAAAAUUUUGGACCGGGGAAUGCUACUAGCAAUACAUUCAUCAUGACCAAACAUGAUUUUUACAUUAGUGAAACAAAUUUCUUCCCAACAAAUAGUAACAUGGAAAGUAAGAUCUUUUAUUUCCUUUGCCCACUUAUUGAAAAAAGUGAUAAUAAAAAGCUUAAUAACCUCUUUCACAAGGAUUCAAUAUGCUGAAACACAUCAUCAAUUUACAAAAGGCAUGAAGGAAUUUCCCUGCUUGCUUAUCUUGUACUUGAUUUUGUACCUUUUUUUUUACUUAAAUUUCAUCAAAAGCUUCUUUUCUAACUGAUUAUUUAGUGAAAUAAUGAGUUAUUGCAUGAAAUUCAAAAUUGUCUAUGAUUGGUUCAAGAGAGAGGGGAAGAGAGAGCGACUUAGUCUACAUGAAAGUCAAAAGAAAGAAGAGUGCUGCUCUUCCUUUUCCCGUUCCGAGCAAUUAACUUAACGAAGUCUAUCUUAUCAACCCAAGUUAAUGAUGAAGAGUACUCUCACAACAAGAAACUAAGAACUUAAAUAAAAGUAGGUUGCACUCUAUUUUUUGUUAUUUACAUUUCCACUAUUUAUUUUAUUAUAUAAUCUAAUAAAUGAAAACUAUAUGAUUAAAAUUAUAUAACAAAAAUGAGAGUAUAAAUAACAUUUCUUCAAAAAUAUGGACAAAAUAAUUAAUCUAUGGUCUGUCUAAUAGGUGUUCAUUUGACGCUCAUUAUUAUAUAUUUUAGAUAUUUGAUUUUUAAAAAUAUAAAUUUAAUUAAGAAAAGUAUAUAAAUACAAGAGAAUAUAAUAAUUGUUAGUAUAUGUAUAUUCAUGAUAUGUUAGGUAAAUUUUAGAUUUGUCAACAAAUAUCCAAUCAAUUUAAUAUACCCACUAGAAAAACCUUAAACUAUUUACCUCAUAUGCUCUAAUGUACACAAAGCAAAAGGAUUUAAUGGAUCCAAUUGACCUGAAAAUAAGUACAUGGGAUUAAAAAGGAAGUGUCACGGAACAUGAUUAAGAUUGAGUACCUUUGCCUUGAAUCUAGUCUAAGAUAGGGGUGUGCAAAAUCGAAAAAUUUCGAUUUACUAACCGAAUUCGAAUUGAAUUCGGAAUUUCGAAUUCGGUAAUUCGGAAUGAAAAUCGGAAUAUCCGAUUUCGAAUUAGUUGAAUUCGGGUCGAAUUCGGUAAUGAGAUUUUUCAAAUCGAAAUCGAAUCGAAAUCGGAAUUCCUAUUUCGAUUUCAAAUAUUUUUUUCAUAUAUAUAUAUAUAUAUAUAUGACAUAUAUAUAAUAUAACAUUUAUAUUAUAAUAAUAAUAAUUUUUAUAUUCAUGAAUUCGGUGAAAUCGGAAUUCCUAUUUCGAUUUCAAUUUCAAUUUCGUUUUCACACACAUAUAUAUAAUAUUUUUUAUAUAUAUAUGUAAUAUAAUAUUUAUAUAAUAAUAAUAAUAAUUUUUAUAUUCAUGAAUUCGGUGAAAUCGGAAUUUACCGAAUUCGGAAUUGAAUUCGGAAUUGGUGAAUUCGAAAUCGAAAUUGGUCGAAAAUUCUGAUACCAAAAUUUUGAAAAAUUCCGAUUUCAAAGUUCCGAAUUACCGAAUUCGAUUUCGAUUCACACCCCUAGUCUAAGAUAAUAAUUUUGACGGUACGAGGGUCUGGGCUAAGAUAAUAUUACCGCUGGAAGUGUAUGCGUGUGUGGGGGCUAAUUCGAGGGUCUAUCCUUUGGACACCUUCUCUUAUGUGUAAACAAACACAAAUACGGAUGUCCUUAAAUUCAAAAUUUGAAACAGAGUGACAUAAAACUUGUCCGACACAAGAAAAAUAGCGAAGAAAGCAAGAGAGUGAGAUUAAUCAUUAGAAGAAUAUUGAGAUUUAAUUAGAACGGUGAAGAAAUUUAGGAUUCCACCAGGGUUUCGCUUUUGUCCUUCGGAUCAAGAAUUGAUAUAUUACUUAAAGAUGAAGGCGAAAGGCCUGUCAUUCCAGCCCUGGAAUGACGUGGUUCUUGAAAAAAAUUUAUAUUCCCAGAAUGCUGCACCAUGGAUGCUGUUCAAUGAUGAUGAUCCAUGGCAAGUAUCAAGUAAAGUUGAUGCUGCUGCUGGGAAGAUUUACGAGGAAAAAGUCCUUUACAUUGUUACAAAGUUAGUGAAAAUUGGUAGCAAUAAAACUAUCAGGAGCGUGGGUUCUUGGACCUGGGAUGGUGCUACUGGGAAGACUAAUGUGUGGAACAAUCAGGGGCAAGUUAUGUGAUUCAAGAAGACGUUGAAUUUGAGAGGAAAAGGAAUGGAAGUUAUGGGCAAUUGGAUCAUGCAUGAAUACCAUUUAUCUGGGGUUUCGCUGCAAGAAGUUGUUGAUAAUGACUAUGUAAUUUGUCGUAUAAAGUGGGAUUAUUCAAGAAAUAUCAGGUGCGUUUAUCAAGAAGUUCAAGAAAGUGGCGAAUCGAGGAAGCAGCUGGGUAAGAGAACAAGAAGGAUUAAUCAAGAAAUCCCAAAUGGAAAAAGGGUUUGUAGCAGGGGAAGUAAUAGUAGUGUGUUGACCAAUGAUGGGGUUUUAAUUGCAAAAAGCGAAGUCUAUUGUGGAGAAAAUGAUGAAUAUGGAAUUUUGAUUAAGGAAAAAUCAAAAUUUGAUCAAGAAAGUUCAAUUGGAGAUAGGGUUUGUACCAGUGGGAGGGGUACUGUAGCGGUGCAUGAAGGAGAGUUGAUUGCUGACACAUCAUUGUUUCUAGAAACUGAAGUUCAAGAAACGGAAACACAUUAUGGAAUAAGUGGUGAAUGUCAAAUUUUUGCAAAAGAGAAAUCAGUAUUUGAUCAAGAAGGUUCAGCUGGAAAAAUGGUUUGUACAAGGGGCAGCAAUAAUAUUCUGGUGACCCGUGUGGGGAAUGUGACGGAAGAAGUUUCAUUGAUUUCGAAAACUGAAGUUCUAGAAGUUUAUUUUGUUUGGAUUGCUUCAUAUUUCCUCAAUUUUAUUUGCUUACAUCAUUUUUACAAUUUCCAAUACACCUUUUUAUCUUCCCAAUAUCUUUUUAUCUCACAUACAUCACAUCACAAAAAAGUGCUACAGUAAAAAUAUUCCAAAUAAUCCCAAAUAACUUACAAUCCAAACAGACCGUGAACUGGAAAGUUUGAGCAUGGAGAGAUCAAGAUUUAAUCAAGAAAUUUCAAUUGUAACAGGGAUUUUUGGCAGUAGCACCAGCAGUGGGGCAAAUUUGGUUGAUUUGGACUGUUCCUGUGGCACAAUUCGAAACAGUAUUGGAGAAUCUGAUAUGCAACAGAUGCUAGAGGAUAAUUUCUGUCUUGAUCUUGGUGAUAUCAUUGAACUUGAUCUUACUUCACUUGCACGAAUGUUUUAAGGACUAGACAUUAGAAGGUAUUAAACUUGCCAUCUAACCUAUUUUGCUAAUAGUAAUUUGGCUGCAUUUUGCAUGAACUACUUUGUUGUUCAAAACAUUUAUGCUUUAACAAUCAGCAUGUAGGAGUGAUUGUGACUAGAAAUUUUGAUUUUGAAACUAAGUUAAAACUUUUUGUGGUAUUUUGAGCCAAGGGACUGAAUUGUUGUGUUAUAAGUCCUUCAGCUUUGGUUCUUUUUUGCUAUAUAAAUUCUGAUGAUGAUACAAGUCUUAACCGUUGGGCUCGUGCCUUCCCAUUUCGGUAUCAAAUGCUGUGUCUUUUUGUGGUCGGGACCCUUGGAGGUAUAGAUGGUCCUCUGUGAUACAACGUUCACUGGCCACCAUCAAGUUUAAAGACUUAAAUGAGUGUCUGCUUGCUGUCACAUCAUCCUAAUGGGAAAAGCAUAGCUCUUCUAAUUUAAAUGGUAUUUUUACUCGUAUUCUUCCUGACCAUAGCACCUGUGCUGGAAAGACUCUUGAAAUUCUCUCUGUUCGACUUGAAGAAGAUGAUUACAAUUGCUCUGUUGUCCAAGGGUCUGAACUGUUGCGAUGUCCUGCCCUCAAAUUAGUUGUCAUAGUCUCAUAGGAUUUUAGUUUUUUUUUUCACUUGUCAACACAGGGUGUGCGGGUCAGUUUUAUACGUAUCUGAAAAUGAAAAACGAAAGAGUGAAGAAAAAGGUGUCUAAUUACUCUGGAUUUUGCUUCUAACUUAAUAUGGAGCAUUGCAGCUGUAUCUGCCUUAUAGCUUUUCACUCUUUCUUCUAAGCAAGCAAGAUCACUUUAAUCACCUUGUCAACUUGCUUCCUAGGCUGAGCAUCACUUUAAUCACCUUAUGCAUGUUCUCCAGUCUCCACCGGAGGAAUAUAUAUAGGAAGAAACCACGAUGCCAGAUACUACUUUAUUAAAGAACAGCAUCUUGAACCCACAUAUUAGGAGCCUCAAGGAUUUUCCACCCUUGAACGCACAUUUUUUUUUUUUGGUUGCAGAGUUUUACAAGGGGCGUGCAGGAAGCACAGGACAAUUGUGCGGUAUAUAGGGGCAAUUAUGGUUGGGAAGAAGAGAUUAGAUGGUUGGCCAUACACGGGGGAGCGAAUUCCUCUGGGUUUCAACUUUCAACUCAGAAGACUGGUCCUUGUUGUUCCAAGCAAAGCAGGUGUCACCUUUAGGAAUUAAACAAACUAUCACUAAUACAGUACAAUAUGUGGUAAUGUCCAAGGAAUAGAGAAACUUGUGAGCUUGCAAUGUAGUGGGGCAUAUCUCUGAAUACUAAGAAAUACUGACUCGGUUAUUCGUUUUCACAUAAUAUACGGUUUUAGAGCUUUGUAUUCAUGUAGUGAGGGCAUACCCUGAAGUGUAAAUUUCUGAUCUUAUCAAUAAAAAUUUCACAUUUUCUCAAAAUCUUUUCUAAAAAAAAGUGAAUUAGAUAUCCAUAUAGGAGUGCGUAUUUUAGGAAUAAAGGGCUUUUCAUCUUGAAUCUUGGCUGGUAGCUGUGUUGCUGAUUUUAAUCGAUAAUGUUCUUGAACAACGGAAUAUUUCACAGGUCUCUACCAUGCUUGCACCGGCUUUUGUUUUGUUUGUUCUUAGCACUCCUAUUGUCAGUACAUGGUGAGAGAAACAGCCGAGCUUGGGUUGGGAUUCUGCCCGAAUGGAUUGGUCUGGCUAUAAAACAUCUAUUCAUCUUUGUUACAACACAAUACAAUUGUCCUGCUUUACCUUGGCUGAACGUCUGGAAAGCGAACCUACCCCCACAACUUCGUUCAUCCUGUAGUGGCUGUUAUUUAUGCUUAGAAGCAUCAUCCAUGACUCCCUUGAAGAUAACUAUGCUCGCAGCUUAUGUUGACAAACAGCAAAUUUUACAGCAUUUCUUCAUGGAUUGCAAUAUUUCUGAUGGCUGGCAACUGAAACCACUUUCUUCUAAAAAGGACUCGUACCAGUUCAAAUAUUAUAAACACUACGUAUAAUCUUGAAGCUGCUGAACAUGAUGGUUUUCUCACUACCAUGUAUCUAUCCUCUGGCAAGGGUAGACAGAAAGAAAUGGUUUUCUAAUUUCUAGAGAUCAUUCAUUUUGAACUUUUGGUUUAACUAAUCUCCAACGCUAAAUUCUUUUGAAUUUGCUGCAUCUGGGGUUGAAAGUUGAAACCACCACCUGCAUACUGCCGAUUGAAAUUAAAUGCUUAUGUAGUUGUGCCUGAACUUGGAGGGUUUGCACUUCACUGGGUGUUUGAAACUUCCCAGGAAACCAUCGACAUCGAGCAUGCAUGCAUGCGUAAUUUUUGUACGCUUGCUUAUGUUCCUUAUGAUCUGUAACAUUUUAUUACAAACAGUUUAUUAUACACGUACAAACCUGGAUAAAAGAAACUGAUCCACUAAAAAAGAGAGAUUCCUAUAUUGAUUGAGGCUUCCUACAAUCAUCAUUGGAAAGAUAACCUUUGACGAAAUGUAACUAACAAAACAGGCUCAAACAUUCUUGAUGAUGGUUUAAAAUCAUGACGGGUAAACAGGCAGACUCAAGUCAAAACGAAUAUAGUACCUCAUAUGAAAAUUAUUUGCCGCUUGGUGGCAAAGGAAAUAAAUGUUGUAAAGUAGGUACUUGUAAAUUAAUGAAAGAGUUUUUCUAAUAGGUGUCUAAUUCUUUUUAACAUGUCAUAUGAAUAUACACGCUAAUAAUUAUUAUUAUCAUAUAUACGCUGUAUUUAUAUUUGUAUAUGUAUAUAUAUAUUUUUUUAAUUAACUUUUUAUUUUUUCAAAAUUUCAACACUUGAAAGCUAUCAAGAUGAGUAGUGACUAAUAUAUACUCGUGAAUAUUACGGACCUUAGGCUCAGAUUACGCUGUAUUUACAAGCGGUGAUUGUAAUAUUUCAAUUACAAGCAGUGACAAGCUUUCUAUUUUUUUUUCAAUGGCACCUAAGAAACAAUAAUUUAAGAAACACUAACUGCUAAUAAGUAAAUACUUAUAACUAGAGGUGGCAAAAUGGGCGGGAUGGGCGGGAUUUGCUUGGGUUUGAGAUGGAACCGAGUCAUAUGGAUUUGGAUCCAACCUUACUCAUAUGUGUUUUGGGACUACCUUGGGCGGGAUCACUUUGGGAUGGGUUUAGAUUAAUCCCGCCCAAUACCCAAAUCUAUUUUCUACAUGUUUUUUUUCCUUUAAUUCAUUUUUUAUUUUUUAUAUAAUUUUAAUAUUUUUGAUUUAUUAAAUUUCUUUUAGUUUUAUUAAAUAAACAUGCAAGUGCUUUAUACUCAGGAUUCCCACCAAAAAUUGGAUUAACAAAUAAAGGAAAAGAUAGAUAUACAACUAUAUUCCAACAUAUAUCAAGAUGGCCAAGGUACUUAAGGUGUUGAAUAUUUAUCCUCAUCAUUGUCCAAGGAUGACAGGUCUAAACUGAUUGAAAUGUUGAAAAUUCUUGUGGAUAAUGAUUAGGAAGACUACUGGAUUAUAUUCGUUGGCAUGACAAUAAAAAUUGUUAAAGAUAAUUUUUGAAUCUAAGACUCCGUUUGGAUUGGCUAUUUUUUCAAAAAAUAAGUUUUUCAAAUACAAUGUUACAGUAAUAUAUAAUAACUCAAAAAACAUCCCAUCCAUAUUAGUAUAUCAAAUAUUUCAAAAAAAUUUUAUAUUAAAAUUUUUUUAUAUAUACUGCUACAAUAAAAUAUUUAAAAAACACUCUCAAAAAAUAGCUAAUCCAAACGGAGCCCUUGCUAUUUGAGCCCAAUGAGUACCCAAGUAUUUCCCAAAAUUUCCCAUCAAUUAAUGGGUACAAUUGGGAUUUGUCCCAUUUUAAACCCAAUAUUAAAUUCCAGUACCCAUCCCACCCAAAGUCCCUAUGGGCAUGGGUAACCCAUUGGGACUUGGGACAAAUUGCCACAUCUACUUAUAACCAAUGAGAAUAAUCAACUUAACACAAACAGACACACACUUGAGCUAAUAUGCACGCUAGCUAGGAGAAUUUUUUUUUCUUCCCUUUUUUUUCUUUUAAUUUGGGAGAUUAACGCAAGGAGACACGUACAUUAAUUAACAGCCCCAAAAUAAAAUUGUUGGAUUUUCCGUUGUCAAAAAAUCAGACUCACUGACCCCGUUCUCCGAUUAAACAUUUCUCAUUUGUUCUCCUUUGGUCCGCAAGACCGACGCCCAAGAUUGCUCUCUCUUACGUGAUGACUGAUAAUCCUCGUGGCAGAAAGACAACUCGCGACGGUGCGUUUCUUCGUAAGUUUCUACGCGCAGCUCCUGACAAAAACCACCUCCUCCCCCUCUCUCUCUCCCUCAUCUCAUCUAAUGUCAUCUCUAACUAAACCCACUUUUCAACCUCUUGCUUUUGUCUUUUACCCUCAAACCCACGAAAUAUAAAAUUAAAAAUGAAAAAUCUGCUUCCAAAAAAUUUUCUAAAAAGUUAAAGAUAAAAAGACGAGGCCAUUUACGUCAUUUCGGUCCACCUCACCACCCCCUACCGUCUCCUCCUCUUCAACGAAGCCCCUGUAAUCUACAGAACUCCCUUAACAUAUUUCCUAAUCAUCUCCUGCUAUGUUAACCGCCCGUCACCCUUUCCAAAUCACCCACCGCUCUAAAUAUUUCUCCAGCCGAUUCUUUCUUCCUAAUUUUCUUUUUCAUUCCUAAUUUUUAACCGAUACUUGAACGGGGCAGUACAGCACUUCCAUUAGCAUAUCAAGAACAUAAAUUGAUGUUUUUUUUAAAAAAAAAAAAAUUUUCCGAUCAAAAAAUUUGUACAAAAGAACGAUAAGGUGGCUUCACAUGAUACACAAAGUAUUCACAAUAUACAUUGUAAAGAUGUCCUAUUCUCAUCAUAAUAUUUUAACUCGAUAAAAUAUAAAAUUUUCCCUUGAACCCUAUUUUCUAAUUAAUACCAAGUCAAUGACAUCAUGGUUCCAGUGUCCGUUAAAGAGCCUUUCUAUAGCAAUAUUUUAAUGUAGGACAUAGGCAAUGAGAAUUUGUAUUGUAAGAUUACAUAAUAGCUCAUAUUAAUGAAUUAAUGCAAUUAAGUACAACUCAAUCAAAUUACAACUCAUCCUGCAUUUGGGACAACUAGUCGGAUAAAUAUUGUUGCAGGCCAUGACAAUUUGAGAAUUUUCAAGAGCUUUUUUUUUUUUUUGUUGAUAAUGGAUAGAUUUUGUUACAUGUUAAAAUAAUAAUAAUAUAGAGAUGAAAUUUGUUACAUGAUUAAAAUUUAAAAUAGGGAUAAUUCAGAAAUCUCCCCCCCCCCCACGUUUUUGACUAUUUCACUGGAUUCCUUAUAGGUUUCAAAAAUUACACUAAUCUCCCUUGAGGUUAAUUAACUUAUAACAUUAGAUCCACUUAAUAAUUAAAAAGUGAUGUUAGAACAGAGAAGAUAACAUGAUUCCAUCAUUGCCUCUCAUCUACUAUAUUAUUUAAUUAAUUUAAUACCAACUCAUACAUUAAAAGAAAUACACUAAAAUUUGUUGUUUAUCAUUAGUGAUCAAAUCAUAUAUAGCAUUCAAAAAAUAGUAUAUCAUUUUUAUUUUUUUUUACUUAAUACAAGAUCCAAAUUACUCUUUUUAGUUAAAUACCCAUUGUCAAACAUAAUCAAUAAUAAAUAAUAAAAAAUAUAUAAUUAAAAUAUGGAUUAAUCUUUUCUAUACUGACACUACACUGUCAGCAUUGAAUAAAUGACAACUAUGCAAAAUUUGAUUUUGAAAUUCAACUUUUGCACACAUGUCGUUAAUCAAACGGGGAUAGUGUAUACAUUGUUAGUGUAUAUAAGAUUUACUCUUAAAAUAUUACAUAGAACAAACUUUAACAUUAUAAAUAUUAUUGUUAACACAUUAAAAUUAAUUGUUGAGAUUUUUAUGAUAUUAAAAUUCACACCUUGUAAUAUUUUGGUUGCAAAAUUUUUUGAUUGAAUUCAUAAUUGAAGUGUAAUUUGGAUCUUACAUUAAAAUAAAAUAUUUAGAAUGAUACACUAUUUUUAAUGUCAUAUGUAAAUUAAACUCUAAUGAUAAAUAGUAAAUUAUAGUCUUUUCUUUAGUAUUUGGGCUUGUAUUAGAUUAAUUAAAUAAUUUAGCAGAUAAGGAACAAUGGUAAAAUCAUAUAUUAUCUUCUUUCUCCUGAUAUCACUUUUUAAUUAUUUGUUGGAUCUAAAUGUUACAAUAUAAUAAAUUUUAAGGGAGUUUAAUAUAAUUUUCAAAACUUGAAGGGAGACGAGUCAAAUAGUCAGAAACCUUAGGGGGAGGUUUCUGCAAUUAUCCCAUUAAAAUACUGUGCUUAAUACAGAUUUUGUCAUGAGGUGAACCGAGGACUUGAUGAUCAUAUGACCGCCAUGUGAGUAUAGCAUGACUUGAGAAAAUAUAAAACGGAGGAGAGAGAGAAUGUGUAUUAUUAUUGAUAGAGAGAGCUUAACACUACUGUAUUGCUCCGCCUUAGGCAAAAGAACGGUUCGCUACUCUUUAAUUCCCAUUUUUCUCCUCUAGAGAGAGAAAGAGAAGAGGGGGGAAAAAAAUAUUUCACUGUCCUUUUUUCUCUAAUAAAUCUGUACGUGGAGGAUUUCUAUGUAGUAUUAUUCGUUGAUUUUUGAGUUCGGGGAUGAUUGAAUCUGAAUCCAUCCAACAUUUUACAUGAAGCUGCGAUCCUUAAAAACCUAGAAGAAAGCGAUCGUCUUUGUUCCUUUUUUUCUUUAACUUUGUUUUGUUAAUUUUUUAAACGAAGUGAUUGUUCAUUUUCUCUCUGGCGCAAUUUUCGAUUGCUGUGAUUUGAUUUGGCGGUGGUGUAGUUCGAUUUCUGUAGUUUUAUUGGGCCCAAAGAGAUGAACGGUGGUGAUGGUGGAGAGGUCACGGCAGCUCCUCCGGCGGGGCCACCACCGCCGCUCGAGUGGAAAUUCUCUCAGGUUUUCGGUGAACGCACGGCGGGCGAAGAAGUUCAGGAAGGUACAGUUGCAUUUAAUUAAUUUAUUGGACUUUAUCUCACUCUCUCACUUUUUGGAUCCAUAGGGUAUUUAGUCUGGGUGUAGUGAUUAGGGUUUGUAAACAUGUUUUUUAAUCUGUUUUUUGGAUCGUCAAUUGUUGAGAAGUUAGUUGAUUUAUCUGCAAUUGUUGAAUGUCUAGUGUGGAUUAUUUCAAGUUGGAUUGCAUGUCUUUUGUUUGUAUAAGAUUGGGAAUGAACAGUGUGAACUAAGUCAAUCAAGUCUAGUGUAAGUUUGGAUUUUUUAAAAAAAUUUUCCGGAAUGCAUGCUGUAAUUUUUGAACUAGUCUGGAUCUUUGAUUUUCUUAGAGAUGUUUGAAUAGUGUUUUCCAACUUUCUAUUCUUGUUUUUCUGUUGGAUUGAUAUUAAAGACCUCAUUUUACUGGCUUUAGUUGCAAGCAGCAAUGGUGAGUUCAGUUGGUAAGUAUCCUGGAUGUCAGCUUUCCUUGUUUUUCUGGAUUACGUUGAUCUUUAGUUGUCUGCAUGGAGUUAUUUGUAGGAGGUUGUGUGAAUAUGCAUAGACAACACGUUCAGAUUGUCGUGCCAACGGUCAUGGACAGUUUGUUCUGCCGUACUGGAAAUCUUGGAGGAAAGGUAGUGAAUGUUAGACGACAAACCUUUCCGCAAACUACAAUAAUCUUGGGUCAAAAGGCAGUUCAGAUUCCGUGAUGUGGCAUAUGAUAACUCGCCGCUUCCCUAUAAUAUCAAUUUGUCUUCAUUGAAUAUGGCCUAAGAUUGUCAAAGAAGGUAGCACGCUCUUUGCCAAAAAUGAGGAAGAGGCGCAAGACGACAUGUGUUGUUGGUUUAUGAGCCAAGAUUUCUUAACACGGUAUAUUUAGGUUUGUGUUUCACGGAAGGGAAGGCAAAAAGAAGGCUGAUUUGGCUUACCUCACCCUUUCAAACUAAUCUUCUAGAGUCGUUGGAUUUAUUGAUUGGUGGACAGCCAAUUUGGUCCACCCAUGGUAUUGGUAAGCUGCGGUUCACACGUUUCUCUUGCUGGCUGCUAUCCGACACACUCUAUGGAAAUAUUGGUCAGCAUUGAAGUUUUUAAAGCAUGAUGACUGGAGUCGUGCCAUGCGUCAUUUUUGUUAAAACUAAGUACAUGUGUGUCAUGUCUUGUAGUUAAGACUUGUUGGCACGUGAAAUUUGAACGUUGUCAAUGUCUUGAGAAUUUUUUUUAUGGUGUCUCAUUCCUUUUCCUUCUCUGCAAAAGUAAACCCUUAAAGAGGAGGAUAAUUACCUUAAACCUUCAUUUAGAUGAAGGUACUUCUCCCAUUUAUAGGAAUGCUUGAGUUCUAUUGUGAGCAUAACAAGGAUGAGAUUUUUGAAAAUAUUUUCAAAGUCUACCAGGGCAAGUCUUUAGGAUGAUGAUGGAACUGUCACUUAGGGCUUUCUUUAGAGACUUUAACAAAGAUCUGCAUGGCAGAGGAACUAUGCUGGUUUACGGUUAUACUCAUCAUGCCAUCCACAUGUAAAUGCUUUCCUUGACUAAAGGGGAAAACAUUUUUAGCCAUGCUCAGUAUUGUUAUUUAUCAGUAACGUUUUGUGGUUCCAAAGUCUAGUUAUUAUUGGAGGGGAUGGUGGCAGCAUUUUGAUUUGAACUGUAAACAGAUGGUAAAAGCUAUCAGUUGAUUUUAGUUGGAAUGACUGUAAACUCCCAACACGUGCAUGGUGAAUUGGCAUAACUUUCUUCUGGUCACUUCCUUCUUAGGUGCCAGUAGAGUUUAUAAUUUUUGAAGCUCUUUCACCUGCAUUAUUGCAUCAUUUUUGGGAAAGCUAGAACACAGGAGGGGAACUCAUCUUUGAUGUUUCUUAAGGAACUAUGUCUGAUAGUAUAACUUUCAUCAUGGAGUCAUGCAGGGUAAAAUCAUAUUUGUAUGAGGAAUGGGCGCUUUCAUUUGCUAUAUAAUGUUUCACUUGAUUUUACCAUGAGCAUUUGUAGCUGGGUAGGCUUGAAGCUUUGCAUGUGUGAUUUGUACUGAUGAAACCAGUCUUAAUCCUUAAGUUGACUGGCGUGGAUGCCCUGAGUUAACACAUUAAAAACUGCAAAAGCAUUUUCUAGCAUCAUGACUGUAAGUACAUUUGGGCUUUUGGAAAAAAAUUUAGGCCAGUCAUGAAGAUUUAAUUAAGAGAUUGGUGAAAGGUAUGUUCACAUGAUCUAUGUCUGGAUUUCAAUUCUCUUUAUUUUACAUACUAAAGCUCUUUAGCUUUCUCAUCUAAAUUCAUUUGUCCUUUUCAGAAAGGAUAAUGUUUCAUGAUUGUUGUUUGCAUGAUGUUUUGAAGUUUGAGAAUCAUGGCAAAGUGGCUAUUGACAAGAACUAGUGUUUAUGUCAUAAUAUUAGUCGCAUGAUCAUCUUGAUAAGUUUGAUAUUUGAUAUCUGCUGGACGGUGUUUUGUAAUAUUUUCCUUGUCCUUAUUUGCAGUUGACAUCAUCUCAGCAAUUGAGUUUGAUAAAACUGGCGACCAUCUUGCUACCGGUGACCGUGGAGGCAGAGUGGUGUUGUUUGAGAGGACAGAUAUGAAGGAGGUAUUUUUAUGCGCUACAUAUUUCUUUUAUGGUACAUUUGAGCAAGUAAUUGUUGCCUAAGAAAGUAGAGACAUACAAACAAUUCUUACUUAUUGUAUUAUUUUCUCUUGCAACAAUCAUAGCAUGGUGGAAGUCGAAGAGACUUAGAAAGGAUGGAUUAUCCAGCGAGUCGGCAUCCAGAAUUCCGUUACAAGACAGAAUUCCAGAGUCAUGAACCUGAGGUAUGCCUUUAUUAUGUCCUUCUUUUAUCUCUCUAACUAAAUGUUAAACAAUAAAAGAACGGCCAAAUGUUGUCAGAGAUUUUUUUAAAUUUGUCUUAAAAUGUACACAAAAGGCAUGGUAAAGGAAAUUUAUAUGUGAAAUGUAAUGAUUAGGGCGAGAUUUUUAGACUUCAUAUUCCCGGUAAAAUUCUUAAGUACGCUUGUCGGGUACUUUUAUGUCAGGCUCCCGCUUCUGGCAACCCUCCAACUAUGCUUAAAAUUGCACCCAAAAAAGAAAAAAAGGGUUAAUUCUAUUCCUGUAUCUUUAAUGUCUUCACAUCUUUUAUGUUCAGUUUGACUAUCUGAAGAGUCUGGAGAUCGAGGAAAAAAUCAACAAGAUUCGGUGGUGCCAAACAGCUAAUGGUGCCCUCUUUCUUCUGUCCACUAAUGAUAAAACAAUCAAGUUUUGGAAGGUAAAUCACCUAGAUCCACUAUUAUUGGAUAUAUCAAUAAUUAUGCCAACUAGCAAUCUGUUCCUGUCCUAUCUGAUUUGACAUUUUAAUGAAACUAUGAGCCCUUUCAUGUGCACGGAGCAUCUUUUUUUUUUCUUUAAUAUUUAUCUGCUGGACUAUAUGCUCCUGGACUAUGCCUAUUUUGGCUCUGCAUGAUGUUGAAGGAUUCUCUUUCUUGCUACUGAUUGUGCAUCCUUUAUGACCUCUGGCUCUGGUAUGAAGUACUCAGUAAAGCUGUGUUAGUGCAAUAUUAAAAUCUCUCCUCUUGCGAGUAAACAGUGUGCUUUGUUAUUUCUUGAGUAGUCAAUCAUUAUAUCAUGCUUCAAUGUGUCUUUUGGGCACUAAAAGUUUAUCUAUUGUCAAACUUUCUGUCAUGAUUGUAGAGGGCCUAUGAAGAGUGUGCUUUACAUCCUUUUUGGUUCAAUACAUUUGGAAGUUUUGGAUCAACACAUUGUUUGUGAUCUUUUGAAUUUUGAUAGCAAAAAAAUUUGCUAAGUUCGUUUCCAUUUUUGAAAUAAAACAGGUCCAAGAGAAGAAAGUCAAGAAAAUUUCUGAGAUGAAUAUUGAUCCAUCUAAGGUUGUUGGAAAUGGUAGUGCUUCUAGUUCUACUGUUUCAUCCAGUCCUAAGCCAUGUCUUGCAAAUGGAGCCUACCCCGAUAGAUCAUAUAGUUGCUUGAACAAUGACAUGACAUUUCCACCUGGGGGCAUUCCAUCACUGCGUUUGCCCGUGGUAGUUGUACUUCUUCACAGCUUACAGCUUUUGCGAGAUUUUACAUUAUUUCUUGGACAAUAUGGUUGUGUACUAGUUCAAAUUACAUCCUUAAAGCAGGCCACUUUGCUUCACCCAAGUUGACAUUUCCUGAUAUAAACUUUUAUUUUGUCGCUUAUCCAACAUAUUAUACUGACACAAGCACCAUUGCAAUUUGAACUAGACUUUGACUCAAUCUUCCGAAAAAGCUAUCACAAUUAGGAAGUGCUUGUAUCUAGGGUAGUGGAACAUGAAGAAAGACAUUAUCCGACUCUUAAAUGCUACUUUCAGCUUUUGCAUAGGUGGCAUUAGUUUUCUUGAUCACAUUUGUAUUUUCCGACUUAAUUAUUUUUUGAUUGUAUAAUGCAGGUUACAAGCACUGAAACUAGUCUUGUUGCAAGAUGCAGAAGGGUUUAUGCUCAUGCUCAUGACUAUCACAUUAAUUCAAUUUCAAAUAACAGGUAAGUAUUUGCUAUUUGUUAUUUUUAUGACUCUCUUGACACUUAUUUGACUCUUGUUAUGUAAUGAUGUUGAAGCACUCUGAUUAAGGAUUGAUGAUAUCUCUUGGCUAAUGAUGUUCUCGCUAAAAUUACAACGGAGCAAGAGCUUUUACAAUUUUUGUUUUGUGCAAACUUCUCUCUUCAAUUUCUCUUUGAUUGGACUCCUGGUCCUCAUUUUCUGCUUUUUCUAUUUCUUUUCUGAGGGGGGAGGAGGGUGGGGAGCUUAUAUUGGCUGGGAUACUUGCAGAAUAACUCAUGCAAGGACUAAGAAUUUAGAUGGAUGAAGGAUCUAAAGUACUAAUUGAAAAUGAUGCUGAUAAACUUUUAGAUGGAACAGUUAUGCUGGACGUUAUAUGGUCUCGCUAAAUAUUCUGGAAACAACCUUUUUGGCAAAAAAGGAGCAAUGACAAUUGACUUGUGUUGUUGUAGAUUCUGUAAUUAAUACUUCAUGACAUUUAAUUGUUUACAGAUAGUGUUGAAUUUGCUUGUGACACAUUGUGAAUGAGCUUUUAAGAAGUUGACACUAUUCCAGUUGCUGCUACAAUCAGUAGUAGUUCCUCUUGCAUUCUGCUAUUUGAUUGCUUGAAAAUUUUCUCUGCUUUUAUAUGUAGUUAGCCUGUUUCUGAAACCUCUCUCUCUCUCAGUGAUGGUGAAACAUUUAUAUCAGCUGAUGACUUACGAAUAAACCUUUGGAACUUGGAAAUUAGUAACCAAAGUUUCAAUAUAGUUGAUGUUAAGCCAGCAAAUAUGGAGGAUCUAACUGGUAAGUUUUUGCAUUUUGAUUUGAGUACUAGUCUCAUACAAUAGGCCAGUUUUUCCAUGUUAAUUAUAUAUCUUUUUGCACCUUUGCUUUUUUUGAAGAAAUAAUUAUUAUAACUGAUUAAGAUGAUGCUACUUACUUAAAAGGAUCAUUUUACAUUUUCGUGCUAUUCUUGUGCUGUCAUUUGAGUGUUUUUUCAGCAGUGUUAGAAACUCUCACUUGAGAUGCCAUUGUUUGAGAAGUCUCUACUUCAGUAUAUUUGCACAAACCAUUAUUCCUUGUAUUAUUUGAUCAGCUUCAGGUCAGAAAUGCAAUUUGUUACAUAAUGGCUUGCACAAUCUUCAUUUAUUUAUUUACUUGUUUAUGGAGAUAAAUUGAGGUUCUUUUGUAACUGAAAAUGUUAUGGGAAAUAUCAAUUAGAGGACCCGUCACAGAAUGAUUCUUCUCUCUCCGAAUCCAUGAUAAUUCCUGUUGUAAAAGCAAGCAUCAGUUAUGUUUGGUUUUUAGUUUGUUCUCAUUAUUAUGGUAAAAUUUCAGUUACUAGAAUCAAAUACAUCCUUUUGUAUAUAUGUAUAAAAUAUAGAGCAAAUUCUUGUUUAUUUCCAUAUUUGUUCAUUGGAAUGUGAUGUUCAAUUGCAGGUGUAUGUAUGGUAAUCUUUUCCUGACAAAACUAAAAUUUAAGUCUUAAUGAUGCUUCCUUUUUUUAAAGAAAAUUGAUCUUGUAUGCUAAAAUAUGAAGCAAAGAGUAGAUGAUUUUGAAAAUAAAAAAUGUGUUUAUUAUCUUUGGAUUUGAUUACUCACUCGUAUUCGCUUUUGCAUUCCUCAUUUAUGCAUGUAUUUUCUUGUCAACAACAUUUUGGUGUAGGCAUGAUCUAUGUUUUCUUGCAGAGGUCAUAACUUCAGCAGAGUUUCACCCUACCCACUGUAACAUGUUAGCAUAUAGUAGUUCAAAGGGAUCAAUUCGUCUGAUUGAUUUGCGGCAGUCAGCUUUGUGUGAUUCACAUUCUAAAUUGUAAGUGCUAAAGAUUGCAUGUUUGUCUUCAGCUAUUUCACAUGAAAGUUAAAAAUGUUUCAGAAAAUAUGAAUUUAAAAGUUGGCUGGCGAUUUGUGAAUCAAUUCUCUCUCAUUAAGAAAAAAAAAAAGCAUUGUUUAUUUAAAUUUUUAGAUAUAAUUGUGUUGAUGCUGAAUGCCCGGUGGACCUCAAGAUAUUCCUUUUGUACACAGGUUUGAGGAACAGGAGGCACCUGGUUCAAGAUCAUUUUUCACUGAGAUAAUAGCUUCAAUUUCAGAUAUUAAAUUUGCAAAGGAUGGUAGAUAUAUUCUUAGUCGUGAUUACAUGACCCUUAAGGUUUGGUUUUUGGGCUUUAUCCCCUCCUUUUGGCUUUAAACAAGAUUAUACAUAUUACUGUACAGAUGCAUGCUUUUCAUGUUAAUGUCCUGAUCCCACUCUAUGUCCAAUUUUGAGAACAGGAUUAUGGCUUCUACAUAUAUGAUUUUCUGUGUUCUUGGUACAUAAAUUUGUAUUGUCAGAUCCUUAGAUUACUGGAGUGGAGACUGACGAAGUAGAACUUUUUGGGUCAUUUGACGUUUAGAUCUUGCUGAGUGCAGUUUUAUCUUUUGGGAAAUGCAUGAUGCUAGUAUACACUUUUUGCUUGGCGUUUGCAAGCCUAAUGUGCUGGUUUAUACAUAAUUUGCUUAAGAAAACUUCUUUGCUUUCAUAUUUCCUUGCAAUAUAUGAAACUCCAGGCUCUCUCUAUCCGUUAUCCCUAGGGAAACUAGAAUGAAUUUGGUUGUUUUACAGGCACAGGAAACACUAAUGAAAAGUGUAGGGCUGUUUUAAAUUUGGCUUCUGACUGAUAUUUUACAUUUUUUGUUCAGCUAUGGGACAUUAAUAUGGAUUCUGGUCCUGUUGCAACCUUCCAGGUUCAUGAGUAUCUAAGACCAAAGGUGAUUUACCCGAGUUUGUCUAGCUUCUUUAUCAGAAAAUUUUGACACUAUUGUUGCAUUUUGGAACUGAUUAAUCUACAAUCAUCAAUAUCCAGCUGUGUGACUUAUAUGAAAAUGAUUCCAUCUUUGAUAAGUUUGAGUGUUGCCUGAGCGGUGACGGCCUGCGUGUAGCAACUGGUUCUUACAGGCAUGUAGUGAACUCUCCUCCUUUUGUUAGUUCUUAGUAAAUUAAGUAAUUGCAUGAUUUAUAAAAUCUGAUUGCCUAUAUGUAUGUGUUCCAGCAAUCUCUUCCGUGUUUUCGGUUGUGCGACGGGUAGUACUGAAGCAGCUACUCUUGAAGCAAGCAAAAACCCAAUGAGGUAAUUUUGCUGCAAUUUAUGAAAAGUUUUAACAGCUGAUUAAAGUUGAAUUUGUAUUUGUGAUGUCGACGACAAAAUAAAUUGGUAUCAAUUUGUUUAGGAGACAAGUCCAGACUCCUUCAAGGCCUUCAAGAUCCCUGAGCAGCAGUAUUACCCGUGUUGUGAGAAGAGGUAAUUGCUUUUAUUGAAAAGCAUAUCGUGUUAGUUACCGAAUCAUUUGGUGUAUUUGGUGCUUGUGCACUUGGAUAUAUUCAUGAAAAAAUCUGGGAUAUUAAUUUCAGGAGCAGAAAGUCCAGGAGUUGAUGCAAAUGGGAACUCGUUUGAUUUUACAACGAAGCUGCUCCACCUGGCGUGGCAUCCAGUGGAAAACUCAGUUGCUUGUGCAGCUGCCAACAGCUUGUACAUGUAUUAUGCGUGAAAAGUUGGCAGCGAGGGGAUUGUGUUGAUCAUUGCAUAGUUGACAUUUUUGGGUUGCUCUUCAAGAAGGCCUAUUGGACUCGACUCUACCUCCAAAUGCUUCAUAACCUUAGCACAUGCUUCUAAUGUUGGGGAACAGAACAGGAAAUUGUAGGAUCAAAGAAUAGCGACUUGUCAUUGUCUCUGGGAAACCAGCUACCUUUCUUUCAUCUUCGUCUACCCAUUUUCUGCUUCACCCUAUACUUUAAAUUGUUUCCCUUUCUCUCCAAAGGAAAAGAUGCAGUUCUGUUCUUCUUGUGUUGGGUCGAAGUAAGGAAAAUUUGUGAUUGUAGCUCUCCUACAAGUAAAAACUAAAGGAUGUCCUAUAUGCUACUAGUUUUAAGGUAUAUGUAGUUUUUACUCAAAAUCUUGCUGGGAAGGAGCUGCUGCUAACUUGCAGGGCCUUAAGAAUAUUUUCGAUUUUAUAGCAUUAUUUUUUGUAGGACCGUUUUAGCUUUGCUUUUGCCAGCCAUUAACUAGUUAACUAUUUUUUUGUAAAAGAAAUUCAAGGUAUUCUGGCUUUUUUGGUCAUUUGUAUUUUUACAUGCAUCUUGUGUAAGAGAUUGUAACAACCAAAUUGUAGUAUUUACCCAUUUGCAUUUUUGCUGCUGCCUUGGGGUUGAUGGUUGGCUGCUAAUGACUGCCAGACAUUCUUGCUGGUGACUUGAUGAGAAAUUGGUUCUUAUUCCAUAGCAAGUCUGUUUAUUAUGUGUCCUUCCUGUCGUCCCUACGGGAGCAAGGCCGAUGGAUGUGCUGGUUUCCUUCCCAAUGGUGUGGGGUCGGGGAGGGUGUUUAUGGGUUUGAGCCCAAGGUCUGUUUAUCUGGUAUAGUUCGUAAAAGGCCUUGGCUUGAGAACGUAGUAUUCUCCGACUACCUGUAAAAUGUUGGUUGGGCAGGCCCAAGGCUUUGCCCAGUAGUUCUGAGACAAAAAGAAAAGACUUCACGACCAAGGUUCAUCGAUCAAAAAAACCAUGCAUAUUGACUCGAAUGAAACUGAACCACUAGUACAGCGAUGACGGUACGCAACCGCAGUUGGUGGAGAUACUUUCUCCUCCAAAAAGAGCCUCUCAUAUGGGGCGGAUCCCCCAUGUUAAUUUUCAUCUUUCUCUUCCAAAAAGAGCCUCUCAUUUCGGGCGGAUACCCCAUGUUAAUUUUCAUCAUUGAGAAGGAAGUGUAUAAUGGUGUAUAAAUACAUAUAAUUCGUAUACUUUCAUUGACAGCAUGCAGCAUCAUAGUAAUUUGGGAUGAUAGUUUUAGCAUACGAACUGUCCAAAAAUUUUUUUUUUUUUUUAAAAAAAAAAACUGUGUAUUAACGGUGAAUCUUUUUUCUUUUAAUUUGAAAGGAAAAUGAUUGAUACAUGGAAAAGCAUAUUCAACAUUAACAAAGUUAAAUAAAUGCGAACCGAAGCUACUUGGAACUAAUUAAGCAAGGACAUGGGUGAUAAAACCUAUCUCCACUAACAAAUUAAACAAAGCGUAAGGUUGUAGCUGAAACGAGACACACCAAUACUUAAUAGAAUUUAAACUUACUUCACUAAGCCAAAGUCAUAAAUCAUAAGGUCGAUCCUUAAAAGCGUGGACGCAUUUCAGCAAGAUAGAUAGAACUGACGACUGAGAUGGGAUUUGAGACCUUCUCCAUCAAGCCCACCUCUUUUAUGCUUCCAGCCGAUCCAUCAUCACCACCGUAUUCAUGGAGUUGGGAUGAUCACUUGUGUUGGUAGUCGUCGAUCGCAUCAUUGGUUAGUGUAAUGGUGGUGGUGUUGUUGAAGAAGGAAUGAGUAUGGGAGCAACUACCAUUAUUUCUGAUCUAUUCUUCCCAUUUUCCUGGCCGCCUUGUGGUUUCUUCUUGGUUUUCCUUAGGCUUUGCGCUCUUCUUUUGGUGGCAUUCCAGUGAUUUUUGGUGCUAUACUCACUUUUUCCUGGGAUCAGCUAGGCUACUUGUGUCCAACUGUUGCCAAACUUCAUAUGGGCUUCAAUUUCUUUUUCACUCACAUUGUUCUUCUGCAGCAACAAAUUAAAGAAAGAAAUCCAAGUCCACACGUACAUAUUAACAAAGUUUCAGGUAUGAUGGAUUUUGUACUGAUGUAGGAGUAGCAUACGGUAUAAAUUAGACACUAAAAUAAUUCAAACAAAACCUUCAGUGCUACGUUAGUAUAUGAUGUACGAAUGAAAACUUUUAUUGCAUGAUCAAUUAAAAAGUGAUUGAAUCUUAGUAGCUCCAUUCUUUCUGUGAAUGGAAAAAUCAUCAAUCCCGAUCCUUAUCGAUCGGCAUAUCUUACACAGUGGAAAGAAGAGAUACAGUCUCUUUCCAGAAAAAGGAAACAAAUACUUUCUUUUUCCUUAAUGGAAAAUUUGAGAAGAUUUAGCGCAAAAUAAAAAAAAGGCAAGCAUGAUCAAAGUGAAUUCAUAAAAAACCGUGAGACAUAAAUAAAUUAAAGUUAAGACCUUGAUGUACGUACGGACGAAAUGAUGAAAGAGAUCAUACCACGACUAACAAGCCUGUCCAGUUUUUUUCAGGACAAUUGCCAUUUUGCAAUGGAUGUAAUAUCCAGAAAUUAAGGAAUACUACACUCCCGCAAUCAUAAUCCUGAUUUGCUAAUCUAAUGUCGUCGGGAUUUUUCCUUGUAGAAUUUUGGAGAUGCCACCAAUUGCUUUAGAAAUCAAAUAAACUAUCAGAUGAGUGAAAAGGUAACAAGUGAGUUACGAAAACCAUGAAAGAGAUGCACUAAAUGUUGUGAAUCAUGGAAGACAAAAAGAAACUUAAUAUCUGGAUGCAAAUGAUGAUGCCACCUUUCUUGACACUGUUAACUGGUUCUAGAGACCAUUUUUUCAGCAAUUUCAGUUUAUUACAUAUUGCAUAGGACCAAAAUAAAAUUUAAAAAAAAAAAAAUCAGAAGAUGACUAACUAAAAAAGGUUAUCAGUACAAACUUAUAGGUUAAGAAACGAGAUAAAGAUUCACACGGAAAGCUCAUCUCUGUGAAAACUAAUUGUGUAGAAAGAUUAUCCACGAGAUUUUUGGGGGAAGGGAAGGAAAAGAGCUAAGAAAAGUACAGGAGACAGGAAAGUCUAUGAUGUUUACAGGUCUUCUUCACUAGUCCAUUCACCCUUGAUCGAAGUGGCAGAGAAGCCACGGUCGUACCAUUUCCACUCCUCCAGGAGUACAUGGUGCCAAAUUCUCUUUACCUCUUGAGCCAAAAACAUUAGGAUCCCUGACUUGAGCACUCCAGCUUCGGUUUCGUUGUUCAUUCGAGAAAAUCCUUGCACCACCAACAAAGGUUCUGUGCGUCAUGCAAUUUGAUUACACAUCUUCUCUAGCAAGGUUACUUGCUGCAUCAUUAGAAGUACUAGCUAGUACCGCCAGAAGAGGAAGCAGCAUUUAUUAUUUGUGGGAAGAAAAGCUGGUUGGUGCAAUUGGCUGGUUGAUUUUGCACAUGACGAAGACUCGAUGAUGACCUAUCUAUGGCUGUCAAUGGAGGCCUAAUUAAGUCAAAAGGAAGCCACUCCUAAUUUGUUCUUGAUUGUAUAGGGAUUCAUUUUUGCUUGUAGUUUGCUGAAUACAUGCAUGCUGACUGAGUAAUUCGAAGAAUUCAAAAGCCCAACAGUUUGCUGACAUGUUUGGAAAAAGAAUGUCAAAAGCAUACUCUGGAGACAUUCCUGAAUAAAUUUGUACGUGUAUGAUCCAUCUUUUGUUUUGUUUCUGUGUUAAUUCCUCCUUUAUUUCAUCUUCUGAUGUCACGUUAAUUUGGCAGCAAAAGGGAAAAAAUUCCAAGAACAAAAGGGAGAAAAAAAAAACAAGGGAACGGCCAAACUUUUUGAAGUUCAAAGUUUAUGGGCUAAAUUAUCCGACUGAUCCUAAGAUAUAUAGCCAUUGUUAAAGGAUAAUCGUUUUCAUACAAACCUACUUGUCUAUGCCUACCUCUAUCAUAUUGGUGCGGUGUGACUUGUGUUUGCACAGUAAAUGGAAAUAAUCUCUUUCUUGGAAUGUUAAAUUUAUUUUUAAGUUAUGGAUUUCACUAACAGGUUCCUCAUAAUUAAGCACACGUUAAGAGAGGUUGGAAUUAUUUUCUUAACAAAAUGGAAACUAAUUUUUUAAAAAAAAUGUAAAUGAAGGGAGUGCAUUAAAUAUGUAUAUUCACAUGGUGUAAUAUACAUGUACUAAUGAAUGUCCUGAGAGCAUCUUAUUACAAACAUCCUUAAUUUAUUUAGGGUGAUAAAAGGCGCAUGCCCAGGCUUAGAUAAAUUUUCAUUUGUCAAUUAAUCAAUGAGAGAAAUAUUGAAAAUUAUGACUUCUGAACCUAGAGAGCAAAUUUUUAAAGUGACUAUAUAUAAUUGCAAUAGAAGAUGAUUAGGAAGGGUACGUUAUUUAAUGGAAAUCGCUAUCACUUUAACCUUUCCUUCUGUUUUUACCUUUUUGUUUUCUUUUGGGGGUUUCCGUUGGGCAGGAUUUGUUAUUUUUCAUUUUUUUUUUCCUUACCCAAGACAUGCAACGAUAAAUUUGUUUGAGAUUUAAGCAUACAUGAACCUUUUUUCUUUUCUUUUUUUUUUUUUUUGGUUGGAGUCGUAAAGCAUUUAUAAGCUAGUUCAUGAACACAAUAUCUGAGAUGACUUCUAGCUAUAGGACCUUGUUAGAGGCCGCAGCAUAAUAUUCUUCAUUCUCUCUCCAAGAAGAAGCAAAAUCAUCCGAAGAAUGGAGCAAUUUUUCCAGAACAGCUGUGGACAGUGGCUUAUGGGUUGAAACUAGCCAGGGCUCUGCAAUCCGCUAGGGUGGUACUGGAAACGGAUUCUCGAUCAAACUGAGUUGGAAGCUAAUCAUGAAAGAUUCUAGUAGUGGCUGGAACCCUCAUCCGUCAUCAUAAUCUCAUUAAGCUACUGAAGGAUUCUAGUGGCCGGAUUCUAAAACUGGGUUGGAAGCUAAAUCAUGAAAGAUUCUAGUGGCAUCAUAAUCUCAUUAAGCUAGUGAAGUAAUAUAUAGUUACAAAAACCUUGAGAUGAAUGUAGAAUUAGACAUACGUGGCGGGAAGGGAAUCGGUGCACUGACCACUUGGGGAAGUUGAGUUUGAGGCUGCAGCCGGGCAAAUUAACCAUCGUCAAGGAUCGAGUUUGUUGAUCCUUUUGGGGAUCGGAUGACAUAAAUGCCUAGAUUGGCUUGCAUUAGUGCGUCCAUCAUCAAAUCUUACAUGCAUGUCAUGUACAAAUCUCGAUUACCAAGUAUGAUCUUACUAGCUAAAUCUACUAACUUAGGCUCUGAAUUAAGAAGAAGAAGAAGAAGAAGAAGGAGAUCUUGGGUGGAUUAAGUUGCAUCACCAUAAGGUCUUAACAAUGGUGGGCUUCUUAUCAUCGAAACUAGAACUAGAUCUGAGAAUCUUCAAUGCUUUAGGAGCAUUUUCAACCCAGAUUGGACGGACAAUUGUUCUGUCUGGGGUGAUAUAUGCAAAGUGUGUAUCCUUUGCAAUUAGAGCCUGCCAAUGGAGAUUGGAAAUGAUAAGCACUUGGGAUGCUACAAGAUUUGCUCGAAAUUAAAGUAAAGUGCGAUUAAACUAUAUAUUACCGCUUUUCUAAAUGAUUUUGAUACGGAAAGGAGAGCCUUCAAGUCCUCUCUUUCAACGUAGCAGAAUAUUUUUAUCUACAAUAAUUGGAGAAAAUUAAUAUAUAUGGAUCCGGAUAAUCAGCUUUUUGCAAGUGAAUAGAUAUAUCAAAAUUGAAAACCCUGAAGCAGAAAAUGGAGAAAGAAAUUAUCUAAAUGCUGGCUGUGUGCACUAAUACUCACGAGUAAAUCUUCAUGCAACGCAUGCCAAGGCCUUGAAGGCUCAUGAACACUCCAUUGUUUCUCGUCGACAGGUGCUUCUCCCGAGCUUUCCAUCAAAGCCGCCAUCACCAAAUGACUUGUACGUUGGCCUUGAUUUAAUUUCCACACAGACAUAAUUUCCAAAUACUUUGGUCCAUGCUGCUAUAUAUUACGUUUAUUUUUUAUAUAUAUAUAAAAAAAGCUAUGGAAAAACCGCUGUGCUGUAGUUAGUUAAUGUCCUGAAUCACAAAACAAAUAGAAUUCUCAAUGUCAGCAGAAUUUAUCCAAUCAGUAGCUAUCAAACUUUAACUAGAAUAUCAAGAAGGGAAAGACAUAUUAUCACUAGCCAGUAGAAACUAGAAAUUAAGUACCUUCACAGCCAUUUGCAAUUCACAUUCUUGGUCAUGACAUGUAUGAUACACGGGACACUUGAUUCUUGAAAUGCUUCAUCAACAUGCAAAAAAGAGAGCCUUCGACUCCUAUCUCUUUCGAGUUUCAACGUAACACAACUUCUUUAUCUUUAAUCCAAGAGAAUGAUACAACUAUAUAUCCGCUAUCAUGAAAAAUGAAACUAAAUACCAUGUGUACUAAGAGGUAAAUCUCCAUCCGAUGGAUGCCUAUCAGGGACUUGAAGCCUUGCGAACGAUCCCUUGAUUAAGUCUUGCUGCAAGGUGCUUCUUCACAGUUUUCCAUCCAAAAAAAAAAGACAUCACCAACAUGACUUUGUUAAUCUGGGUAUGACAAAGGAAGAUCAAAUGGAUCCGGCACUGCUGUACGUAGUGUUUGGCCUGUAACUCCACUUGAACUCAAGAUACAAUUAUAAAUCUAAUACUAAAUGGGUUGCUAUAUCAAAUUUUGACAGGAUUAUCAAGAGCUGAAAGACAAACUAUAUCAGACUAAUAGAAAGUACAUUCCUCGGUAUCUUUUUUUUUUUUUUUAAAUAUAUAUUAGUAUUAUUGGCCACCACAUAUGAUCCGUAAGACACUUGAUUAUUUAUUGGCCGAUUUGAUUCAAUUAGUUUUUUCGUUGCUCAUAUUCUAUGUGAUGUGAUCACUCCUGCAUAAUUACUUAUGUGGGUUUGUAUUAAGUCGCCAUACAAUUAGGCAACUACUACUACCAAUAUGUUUGCACAUUCAUCCAAUUUCCAAGAGCUGUGCCAUUGGGUGAAAGGCGUAUUAAUUUUUUGCCAGAUAGUUAGCUAAUUGCACGGUAAUUAGUAGUAAAUUGUACUAGUUUGGUGAUUUAGUAAUUGGAAAUCAGCUGUGAUUAUUAGAUUGGGUUAAGUGGAAAUAUGGGAACUGUAUAUGUACCGUUUGUUAUUAGUUUCUGAGUUUGGAAAUAUGUCAAGUUACCUUCCAACUGUUUAAUUUUUUUUUUCCAUUAUGAUCGUGGACUUGUUUAAGAUCAGCAUUUACUAGUCAAAAGCUGUUAUCUUACUUCAUAUUAGGGACUCAAAGGAAUUUAGAGAUUUUGGUAGGCCUUUUUCUUCUUCUUCAGGUGGCCCCAUAAAUUAGCAAAAUUGCAUGUUUGGUCCCCUUUUAGUAAAGUGGGUAGGCUAGAGAAGCAAUUCUCCUAUAGGUGGACUUUUUUGUCUUUUUAGUGGCUUUUGUGGCCCGUGCAUGUUAUUCCAUUAUUGCCCUUGGAUACCUGUUUAAGCCCUGGAUAGUCAAUGUAAAAGGAGGUAAUGGAGCUAGGUUUUUGGUCUUUUGGUGCAUUAAAUUUUCGAGAUAAAUAUUAAUUCUAUGGGGGUGGAGUUUUUGCUGGCUUUAUCGGCUCCGUCUGAUUGUGCCCGGACUUUGAUCUAACGGUGCAUUACGUGAUAUCAUUAUGAAAAUAGUUUCUGAGUUUGUCCGUUGGUUAAAUUUUUUUUUUUUUUUUUUAAAUAGUGGGGUUUGUCGUUGCUUACUGUUUUCUUGCAUUGGUGCUUUAGCAGAAACUUUGGAAUCUAAAACAGGGAGUCGUCUGUACUUAAAUUUUAUUCUUUUGCCUGCUUUGUUUGUUGCUUCUACUUGGCAGGCAGUAAGAUAGAUAGUUGUUUACUUGUUUUAUUAUUGGAAUUACUUCCAAUGAUUGUCCAAGUGUCCAACAACGGGAUAUGCUUCUUUUGUUGGAUGAGUUUCUAUUUACCAAAUGUAAUAUUGUAGCUUUUGUAGAAAAAGCUAAUAGCUAAUAACAUGUUUGGUUUCAUGUGAUAAAUUCUGCACUGCAUGCAUCUAAGGAGUUUGGCUAAUAUGUGGUUUUUGAUCCAUUUUCUACCUUCUUUUUACUUAUGCUUAAACAUUUUUCGUGAGUCCUAUGCACUGCAUUACUUGGGUAUUUUUACUUAGAAAUAUUGUAAGAUUCAUCUCAUGUAUGGAACUUGAAAAGAUUCUUAUACAAAAUUAUGAUUUGAGAGAUAAAGAGUUAUUAAUGAGUUUGAUUGUGUAGCCAGUUGUGUGAUUUUUUAUUUUUUAUUUUUGCAUAAAAUACAUUUUUUUAAAAAAAAAAAUUAAACUAUUUUAAAAUGUUACAUACAUUAUGCCACAAAAAGUGUUACGGCAUUAUUUUUAAAAAAAAAGUCAAAAUAAUCUUCUACUAAAUAUUUUUCUUUCUAUUGAGAAGAAGGUGUGAUUUCUUGGCAUGGAAGUAGACUAUUUUCUUAGCACCAAAUUCAAAAGAAAUAAUCUAACGGAGCUAUAUGUUAUGGUAAUCGUUUUUCAUACAAAAGUGAACAGGUAUGUUUGAAUAAGAGAUUAUUUGAAAUAAUACUGCAUUACUUUUUGUAAUGUGAUGUACGUGAGAUUAAAAAAAAAAAGCAGUUGAAAGUUGUGUUUAUGAUGUUUUUUUUUUUACUAAUGUUGUUCGUCAUGUUCCCUAUUUAGUCUUGUAAUGCUGCCUUUUAAAAAAGGCAAAUUGGUGUUUGUAGGAGUAUUAAAUUGGCAAAACAGCUUCUUUUAAGAUAGCAUUUAAAAGUGGGUUAAUUCCACUUUGUCCCCCCAAACUUUGGACGAUUAUUCACUUAAGUCCCUAAACUUCAAAAUGGGACACUUAAGUCCCUAAACUUAUAAAUACCUCCCACUUAAGUCCCUGAACUUAUAAAAUAGGACACUUUAAUCCCUAAACCCUCAUAAAAUGGGACACUUCGACCACCAACGGCAUUCAUGAUUUGUUAACAAUUUUCCUUAAGUGGGAGGUAUUUAUAAAUUUAGGGACUUAAGUGUCCCAUUUUGAAGUUUAGGGACUAAAGUGGGUAAUCGUCCAAAGUUUGGGGGGACAAAGUGGAAUUAACCCUUUAAAAGUGGAUGUGUGUUUUUGUAUCUUUGGAUUUGAUACAGGAACGACAAGUACUCGGACUCUCUUCUCCCAUCCUCCUUACAAAUACGUUGCGGUUGCGGUUGCGGCGUGGACAUUGUUGCUUUAUGUGUUUCAUUGCAGAGUGUAACCACUGUAACACGACAUGAUUGAUAGCAUAUUUUUGUGUGUGUAGUUUGAAAGGGAUUAAAGAUUGAUUUGUUUUGUGUGAUUCAAGUUUCUAGUCGCUCAAUUAUUCAUGUUUGACUUCAGCUACAAUCCAUGACCAAAGUUACUUGGCAAUAAGCUGCAUGCUCCCACAGCCGUUAUGAUGAUAUAUUUUUCAAACAUAAGGAAAUGAACGAUUGGGUUAUACUUAUAUACUUACUAUAUAUAUAUAUAUAUAUAUAUAUAUAUAUAUAUAUAUAUAUAUAAAUCGUGCUUAAUUACUUUUUUUAUCUCACUCAAAGGAAACAAUCCGUGCAUUGUUAAACCAUCAAGUAGCAAGAGCUUGUUUUCCACACGGCUGCAAACGAAAGUAGAGUCGAGUUUUGGCCUAAUUGAGUUGACUCUUAACUUAGUUUUUUAUCGAACUCGAACUCGACGAGUGAACAAUUUUGAAAUUUGAGUUCGAGUUCGAACUUGAAAAAAUAAAAAAUAAUUAUUUUAUUUUUUAAAAAAUAAAUAAAAUAAUAUUAAAGUUGUAUAUGUAAUUAUAUUAUUAAAAUAUAAAAAAUAAAAAUAUAUAUAUAUACAUAUAAUCGAGCUUGUGAGUCGACUCGCAAACUAACGAACUUAAUAUUUUAAACUCGAGUUCGACUCGGCUAAUUUGAGUUCAAGUCGAGCCGAUUCGUUUGCAGCUCUAGUUUUCCAAUAUCAACGUCCAUUUAUUAAGCAUAAAAAAUCGCACGUAUUGGCCUCUUGUUUUUUCUUUAUUAAUAGUGGUUUAAAUUCCUCCACGUAGUAUAACAUUUUCUUGGGUCUCUUCCGUCAUAUCAAUCGACUCUCUCAAAACCUUUUUAAGAUACUAAUACUAUAAUAAUACGUGUGCUCCUGCAAAAAAAAAAAAAAAUUACGUGUGCAGAUAAAAUACUUGAUCACCGCCUUAAACCGGGACUCUGCUACUAAUUUCCAGAAACUCCGCCUACUCUCCUUGUGUGUGACAGAGUCCCAUGACUAGGGGUGUAAUCGAGCCGAGUCGAGCUCGAGUAUUGCUCGAGCUCGACUCGACUCGACUCAUAUACACCAAAGCUCGAGCUCGAGCUCGAGCUCGAGCGACCCCAAAAAAUCGAUACUCGAGACUCGACUCGAAAAAUUUCCUUUAGGCUCGAGACUUGACUCGAUACUCGAGGCUCGAAAAUUUUUUUCAUUUUAGGUCUUUUUACAAUUAUGUUAUUACUUUUUUGCCAUUAUAGGAUUUUAUUAUAAAGAAUGAUAUAUUGUAAAUUUCAUAUAACUUAUACCCAUAAUGGUCAUUUUAUAAUUAUAAUACAUAUAUAUUAUUUAAAUCAUAAAUAUAUUAUUUAAAUAACUCCGGCUCGUCGAGCUACUCGACUCGAGCUGGGCUAUUUCGACUAGAAACUCGACUCGAUUUUCAUUCGAGUUACUCGAAACUCGGCUCGAACUCGGUCAAUCCGAGUUCGAGCCGAGUCGUUGACCGAGCUACUCGCGAGUAGGGUACAUCCCUACCCAUGACCACGAGUCAGUCUGCUGGCUAUAUUAUUUAUGUUACCAGAUACGGAGAUGUAAUGUCAUAAGAAAAAAGGUUCUCAAAAUAUCAGACCAAAAUUAACAGAAAAGUUUUCCUAGUCUCUCCUCCAUAGCUACAAAUACUUAAAAGAAAAGUUUUCACCAACAAUCAAGAGGAACGAAUAUGGCAAUUGCAGCGAGAGUUGCUUCGACACAGCUGCCUUUAACUUCUUCAGCUCUUAAAGCAUCGCCAAUCCACGCGGCGGCCACUGUACUGUCGUCUUCUUCUUCUCCUUCUCCGACAAGAUACGGAGGUGCACAACCGCCAGCCACCGCCAGGGCAGCCGAGUAUGCGAUCUCCAAAGUUGAUGACUUGAUGAAUUGGGCUCGUCGCGGGUCCAUUUGGCCCAUGACCUUCGGCCUUGCUUGCUGUGCCGUUGAGAUGAUGCACACUGGGGCUUCCAGGUACGAUCUGGAUCGCUUUGGGAUUAUUUUCAGGCCCAGCCCAAGACAAUCUGACUGCAUGAUCGUCGCUGGUACUCUUACCAAUAAGAUGGCUCCAGCGCUCCGCAGGUAAAUUUUCCAUCAUCCUUAAAUUGUUUGCUAGCAAGAGAGAAUAGUGAAAAGAUGAAUUGAGUAGUAAUUAAAUUAUCGCUUUUGAGUUUUGAUGCUUAUUUUGUUGAUUUUCCUAAAAAAAACGUUCAAUAUAUAUGUAUAUAUAUAUUGUAGGGUGUAUGAUCAGAUGCCUGAGCCAAGGUGGGUGAUAUCAAUGGGGAGCUGUGCAAACGGUGGGGGAUACUAUCACUAUUCCUACUCGGUGGUGAGGGGAUGUGAUAGAAUUGUGCCGGUCGACAUAUACGUGCCCGGGUGCCCCCCAACUGCCGAAGCUUUACUGUAUGGGAUUCUGCAGCUCCAGAAGAAAAUUAAUCGGAGGAAAGAUUUCCUUCAUUGGUGGACCGAGUAGUGAGUAAUUCGUAAAGAUGGAGAAUCACUCUUCCAUGAUUGUCCAGGACCAAAAACCUGUCAGGGUUUUUGAAUCCUGUGGAAUAGAACCACCACCGAUCUUAGCUAUUUUGCUUUGAUGUUUAAUGUAAAAUAUUCGUGUGGUUUUCGGCUGUGUCCUGAAACUUGUAGCGGGCCAUUAUCUUCUAUGGAGCAGUCUUGAAGAGAGAGGUUUCGUCUACUAUUAAUUUUGUGAAAAUUCAGAUGAUGUCAUGUAACAACUAGAUUAGAAGCAUCUAAAAUGCAGGGAGUGAAUAUUGACGAUCUUUUCUAUUGCAGGGAGUAUAAGCUUCAUAUCAUGGUAUAGAAUUUGAUGCUCGCUUAAUGGCGUGGAAUUUGAUGCUCAAUUAACGACAAACAAGUUCAACUGAAUUGUUUGUUAGGUCUUUGAAAUCCAACAUGGAAUGCAUUUAACAAGUUGCUUGGCGGAUAGCAGUAUGCAACUUGGUGCGAAUGUGUACGUAAGAGAAGGUUUUGGCCCAAACUCACAAUAAUGCUGCUCGAGUGCUGCCUUCGAUGUCAGAGACAGCAGCAGCAAAUUGUUCCUAGAUGAAUUUCGUGCGUUUGGGUCCGAAAGUUGCUAGAAUUAUUAGUCGAAGGUGGUAAAUGAAUAAUCAAUUAAACUGGACAAAAAUUGAUGUGCAAUGCCAACUACCACCACUACUAAAAAUGUCUCGUGUAAUUAAUUAAUGGACAGUAGUAGUGCUUCUAAGUCUAAUCUGGGAUUCGAUUUGGGUCAAAAACUGACAAGUAUUAUUCCUAUUGUAAAGUGUGGGGCGGGGGGGAGAAGACGGCAGAAGUGAGUGAAAUGUGAGUCGGGUGGAAGAAGCAAGGCGCAGCAGAGGGAGCCGCGUUGCACGCGGGUUCGCACACGACGCGACAGGAAAGAAGUGGAUACGACAGCUUCAAUUUCUGUCAAUCGCUCUUUCUGUCAUUUGGGGGUGUCCUCAAUUACUUCAUGGGUCCCUAAUCAUAAUCCAAUAUCUGCACGCCCAAUUUUAAGACCCCUGAUAUAGUAGUAGGUGUCAUUAGCUAAUUCUUUUUUUUUUUUUUUUUUAUCGACACAGGGUGUCCGAAUCAAUCUUUACGGGUCCGACUAAUCCCCUGCGUCCCGGAUCCGGCGCCCCAACCCGGCCCGAACGCGUUAAUUCAUUAGCGUUUUUCUAAGCUAAAAAUGAUGCUCAACUCAACCUUUUAUCGUGCCCCUGUCUUUUAUUUCUUUAUUUGGUUAGUAAUGAUUUUGCUGUCCCUUUUUAAAUUAAGAAAUGUUAUUUUGCAAUUCUAUCAUUUAUUUUAUUAUAUGAUCUAACAAAUAAAAAUUAUAUGAUUAAAAUAACGAUAGAAAUGUGACUAAUAAAAAUAGGAAUGCAAAUAAUAUUUCUCUCUUUUUUUUUGGCAAAAUAUUUGUUCUGUCGAACAAAAAAUAACUCAAAAUAAUUAUAAUGAGUUCUCGAGUCCUUUAGUUUUUUUGCUCAAAUACAAUAAAACCUUGGUUGUUUCUUCCUUGAAAAGAAACGUAUGAUUAGUCUUAACUAAAAUCAUCGCUUCUAUGAUACUAUUCUUAACUAUAACCACUUAGCCGGAAGGGAACUUUUCUCGCUAAUUGCAUGUUUAAGCAUUUCAAACCCCCUUCCCAGACCUCCCCCCUCCCCCUUUUUAAGUUGAGGGUUUUUGAAUCCAUGAUAUAUAUGUAAAAAUUGAAUUUUAAAUUCAAAAUUUAUAUAAUUAUUAUUCAUCCAACGUUGACAGUACAGUAUAUACAUUGUCAUUGUAAGAAAAAUUGAUCCUUAUAGAAUUUUUUUAAAAUUUUGUAUGUAAGGUUAUAGAAAUUUACUAAAGUCAAUAUUUUUACCGUUUCAACUAGAGGUGUAUUCGAGUUGAGUCGAAUUUCAAUAAUUCUAUACUUGAGAUCAAACUCAGUGUUAUCCUAAGGUACUCAAGUUUGAGCUUGAACAGGCAUUCAAAACGAAUUUUGAUUUCAACUCGACAAAAUUGUGGCUCAACUCGAAUUCGACUUGAAGUUCUGUCCAAGCCCAAACAAGUUCAAGUACUCAAUGUCAAGCUCGAACUUAGAAGGUUGAGCUCAACAUUCUUGAAUUUUCAAGGUUUUCCUAUUUUAAACUUUCAUAGUGUGUUUGGAUUGUAAGUUAUUUGAGAUAUUUUUACUGUAGCACUUUUUGUGAUGUGAUGUAUGUGAGAUAAAAAGGUAAUUGGGAAGAUAAAAAGAUGUAUUGAAAAUUGUAAUGGUGAUGUAAGCAAAUAUAUUUGGAUAAAUAACUUACCAUCCAAACACACAUAUGUGUUUUUAAAGAUCUUGAAUUUGAGAAUUUACUUUUUUUUUUCUGUCACAAAUUUAUUAAGUAAACUAGUGUUUGGAUUGCAUUUUUCAUGAUUUUUCAUGAAAAAAUUACUGUAGCGAUUUGAUUAGGGAUGGCAAUGGGGGCGAGUGCCCGCCCCGCGGGGGGCUCACGGGGCGGGGGUUGGGGCGGGGGGGAAUUUUUUCCCCCCGCUUAGAAACGGGGCGGGGGGCGGGGGAGGAUUCCCCCGCCCCGCCACCCGCAAAAAAAAAAAAUAAUAUAUAUAUAUAUAUAUAUAAAUGACUAUAUAUUAUAUGUAAGUUAAUUAGUUAUAAACUUAUGAUAAUGAUAUUAUUAGUUAGAUGUAUUAUAUAAUGUAUAUUAGUUUAUGUAAUAUAAUUGAUAUUAUCAAUUAUAUGAAUAAUUAUACAUGUCUACUAAUAGAAUUUAUUAAUUAGUUAUACUAAAUUUACUAAUACAUUUAUACUAAAUUUCUAAUUACACUUAAUAGAAUAACACUUUUUUCUCAAAAAAAAACACAAACACAAUGAUGAAUUAGUGAUUGCAUUUGUACUAAAAGUGAAAAUUUGACUAUUUUAGUUAUAUUUAUUUCAUCAUAUUGGAUUGUAUUCAAAUAACUUCUGUUUGAUUGUUUUUAUGAGUUUCAAUUGUAAAAUUACAAUGAAUAAUAAUUUGGUGAUGUGUUGAUAUUUUAGUACUUGAUUAUUUAUUAAAAUUUAAUUAUAAUAAAAUUAUAUAAUAAAAUUUUAUUAACCCCGCGGGGGAAGCGGGGCAAGGCGGGACGGGGGCGGGGCGGGGCGGGGGGAGCGGGAGGCGGGGGACGGGGCGGGGGACGUGGGGAACUAAUAGGCAACGGGGCGGGGGACGGGGGAGGGGUCCCCCGCCCCAACCCCGCCCCGUUGCCAUCCCUAGAUUUGAUGUAUGUGAGGGAAAAAGGUAAUAGGGAAAUGUGAUCACGGAAAACGACGUAAUUUUCCGACGGAAAAUCGCAAUCCAAACAAGGCCUUAGUUUUACAUAAAUUUGCUAAAACACUAAUCCAAAUUAGUAAUUUUGCAAUUGAUAAAAAUAUAAAUUUUUUAUAUAUACAUGCUACUCGAUUAAAUUCGUUGAACACUCGUAUAAUAUACUUAUAAUAUUCGAACUUGGCUCAUCAGCCUAAUCAAAUAACUUGAGUUUGAACUUGAACCGAGUCAAAAAGAAUCCGAACCAAUCUUUUAACCAAAUUACCGCGAGCAACUCAACUCACGGUCACCGCUAGUUUCGCCUGGUAAAAAUUAUACUGUACCCUUCAGGUCAGAUCCUGAGUAUACUACUACUAUUCAUGCACCCAAGUGAAAACAAAAAAUAGAAAAAUAUAUCAUCAGCAGUCCAUUGGUUGAUUGGUUCUGCCUGUCUGGCUUUCACAUUGACCCUCUAGCUGUCACUCCAAGGUCUUCCCAGAUAGUGAUUACACUAUGAUAGGGUUCUGCCACGUGUUGCGGGUGAGAUUGGCUCUGAGGUGACGGACACCCAAAGCUACGAUUACCCCUGGGUACUGCACAAGUGGACGGCCAUAACACUCUCCCCAGCAAACGAUUAACGGCAACGAUCAGCCUCAUCAAUCCUAAUGAUGCGUCCCUCCUGCCUGCAUUUCUCAGUACUGCUUCGUUCGCACGCAAGCUCCCAAUUGGCUUGGCGGCUGGGAGUGGGGGAUGGCUCGGCUAGGGAAAAUGGCGGCUUCUGAACAAUAAUUACUAGUGUAAUUAAGAACGUGAUUAGAGCGCAGAGGCACAUGAUGAUCACUUUGAAUUUUUUUUUUUUUUUUAAAAAAAAAACUGGUAGUCAUCAGUAUCACUAAAAGCUUUUAGUCAAGCAAAGGACCCUUAAUUGCAUGAUUUCUGGCAAACUUCUACUUUUUUUAGAAAGGAUAUUAGGGCGUUAACAGGUCAUGUCAUCGUAUCUCUUGUGACUAAGACAUUCCUUAAUUCUUUUAACGCGCAAGAGUUGACCAGAUAAGAAAAUUAAUCACUUGGCAAAAUCUGUUGCUCACGACUUGCUAUAAUAUGCAUAGGAUUUUGUAGCGCUGUAUUUACAUCAUAUGAUUAACAUCAUAUAUAUAUCACCAAAGCAGCUCUCUGAUAAUGACAUAAUAAUAAAUUUGUUAAUCUUAUAUACAUGCUAUCAUAAUUAGACAUAUAAUUUAAAUUUUAAUUAAUUAUCAUAUAUUCAAUGAUAAUAAUAAUAGUAUAUACACUAUCAGUAUACAGAAACUUCAUCCAUAAUAAAUUAUAACAAAUGCGAAAUAAACUCACUUGUAAACAUGUUACAACAGUUGCUUGAGGGAAAAAAAAUAUAAUAAAAAAAUGUGGAUAUAUUGGUCAUGCGCCCACAAUAGUAGUUAGUAUUUUUUUGGUCAAAAUAAAAUUACGCACUCCCAAGAAAUUCUCCAUUCCCUGCGGUCUCUGGACCUCUAAAAUAAGUUUGAAAAGUAAAAAAAAAAAAAAAAAGCUUGAAAAGUUUUGGAUUUAGAUAUGAGUUUACAAAAUUAGUGCCUUCUUUGUUCAACAAUUAUAAAGAACUAACAAAAGUUGGUGAUUGUCUUUUCUAGAUAUAAUAAUGGUUUAAUCAAAUAUCAUGCAUAAAGUUAAAUGAGAAAUUAGGUCGAAAGACAGAGAAAAAAUUGGCGACAACUUCUCACGAGGCUUCACAAAAUAACAAGUCGACGUCCGGUUUUCUUUGGUUAAUUAGCAAGAGGCCUGAAUGAAUGAUUGGUGAUCAGAUUCUUUAUACAAACCUUUACUUUGUUCGAUUACAAUAAUUUAAUUGCCUCGACUAACUAAACUCCAAGACCGGCUAUGAUUCUUUAGAAGAAUCGAAAUGAUUAUGGCUAGAGCACUAUCACUAGGAUAAAGCAGUGAACAUUGGCAGACACUCACUCGAACUGCGGAACUGUCUCGACGAAAAAUGUUUAAAAAGAAUUGACUGAUAUUGUGCGUAUCUAGCCAUAUUAUUGGUGAGUCUGUGCUCGCGCCGCCGGGGAGGGGAGAGGGUCGCUUGUGUGUGGGUUCUUCAAUUUAGACUUAAGUUUCAUGGGAGUAUCGCUCCGUCACCAAUUAGUUGGACGUGAGUUUUCUAUGAGUCCCGCUUAGGUUUAAUAGACGUUAACUUUCGAGUGUUUCUAAUCUAAUAAUUAUGUAUGUGUAUGUGUGUGUUUCUAUCGUUUUCCGGAAAAAGAUAUUGUGCGUAUCAAUUUUGUAUAUUGUAACAGCAUGGACACUUUAUUCUUUAAAUGCAUGUCACAUAAACUCAAUUCAAAUUUAAAUAUCAUUUUUUUACAAUUAUAAGAAAAAACAAAAUAUAUUUCGGUGGUUAAGAGCAAUAAUCAUUAAAAUAGACGCUCGUAACAGCAUGGACACUUUAUUCUUUAAAUGCAUGUCACAUAAACUCAAUUCAAAUUUAAAUAUCAUUUUUUUACAAUUAUAAGAAAAAACAAAAUAUAUUUCGGUGGUUAAGAGCAAUAAUCAUUAAAAUAGAUGCUCGAAACUUCCGCAGAUUACGAUGGUAUUAACUAAAGUGAUAUUAACAAUGCAAAAUUACCCCCAAAAAGCUUGUUUCAAUUGUGAUUUCUUAAUAAACAAUGAAAAUCUUUUUUUGACAUAUGCUUCAAUCACAUUUCUAUAUCACAUACAUCACAUUGUUAUAAUAAAUUUUUUAAUAAAAACUCAAAAAACUUGCAAUCUAAAUCGAUUUCCACCCCAAAAUCAUAUAUAUAUAUAGAGAGAGAGAGAGGUCUAUGUAAAGAAUAGAAUUUAAAAGGAUUUUUUUUGAGGGAAUUCGAACAAAAAAUUUCUUUCAUAAACAUAUUUUUUAAUCACUUUUGCACGUUAUAUAUAUCAAAUCACUAUAAUAUAUAUAUAUUUUUUAAAAAUUCAGCUAAUUACAAUCCAAAUAGGACACAAGUUUAUUGCAGGAUAAUCCAAACAGGACCCAAGUUUAUUAUAGGAUAAAGUAGAGUUAGUUGUUCAUUGCUUCAUUGCAGUGACGCUCUACAUGUAAAAGUUGGCUUUAGCCUUUGGCCAAUCCAAAGCUUCGACUCGUAUCCUAGUAGUAGUAGUAUUUGACUGACUCAAACAAUUCAGUGUUUGAUGAUGAGAGAGGCCGUGGAUGGGGUGAGUGGCUACACUGUGGGACUUCACUAUACACAAGUGUGCAUUCAACUAGCUUGCAUCGUGAGCCGAAUAUGUUAGACAAAAAUCUCCUCUCCUCCUCUUUCUACUGCUACUACUAUUACUAGUACAGUAGUACUGGUAUUCUCUCACUAUAUGAUGCGAUCGCUGUUGUCCGGUCGUCACUUUCACGCGGACUUCCAUACUUCAUUUACAUCAACCAAUUCAAUACCACUCCCCCCCCCCCCAAAUAUCUCUUCUUGUCUUCUUUCUAUCCGUCUUAUAUCGCUUCUUCUUCAAUUUUCAUCUAUUUUGCCAGAGUCCCACCUCCAGUACCAUCUCUGGAUUCAAUCUCUUGCUGAGGGAUUAGCUCUCUCUCUCUCUGCUUCGAGAUUACAAUUUUAUAUGAUGCCUAAAGCUUCUGCCUUGGGGCUUUGGACGCGGAACAAAAUUUGACCUUUUUUGUCACAGUUUUAGUGGUGCUCCUCUCCUUUCUUGCUUUUUUCGCCACUUCCCAAGCCCAAAAGGCCAACACCUCACAUAAACCGUAAUUCGUAAACGUUCAAUCAACUUCAAUCCUACCACACAUAGACCAAAUCCCAAUCCUUUUCCCUUCUUUUCAGGCAACCCAAAAAAAAAACAAAGGAGAACCCAGUUCACAAAAUCAACCAAGAACCACACUUUGAUCCCAAAAUUCGACCUCUUUGUCCGCUUGCUGUUAUAAAGAUCUAAUCUUUGAUCUCUGUAAUCAAGGUUUUCUCGAUUGUGGUCAGCUUCUCAAACUUUAAAAUUAGCUCAGAGUUGAACAGUUUUCAUACUAAGAUUUAUUAUUUCCAAGCAGAAAAUGCAAGACCCGUCGAUAUAUUCACAAAUGAAACCGCAAUUUCCAGAGCAAGAACACCUGAAAUGCCCGAGAUGUGACUCUGCGAACACAAAAUUCUGCUAUUACAACAACUACAAUCUCUCUCAGCCGCGCCACUUUUGCAAGAACUGCAGAAGAUAUUGGACUAAAGGCGGUGCUCUCAGAAACAUCCCUGUCGGUGGUGGCUCCCGGAAGAACACUAAACGCAGCUCAUCAACUACCAAACGCUCUUCCUCAGCCACCUCGGCUGCCCCGUCUACCUCCCCUUCCUCAGCCGCUGCAGUCUCGUCAUCAUCACCACCUCCUUCUACCACUCCUCAGACACUGCCAAAAACAGAGCCUUAUGGGCUUGCUCCGCAGGCACUUCAACCCGGUUUUGAUCAGGACCGCAGGAUGAUUCUUGAUGUGGGUGGGAAUGGGAGCUUUAGCUCCCUCUUGUCUUCAAAUGGGGGGCAAUUUGGGAAUUUUCUGGAGGGGUUGAAUCCAAAUGCAUCAAAUUUGCAGCUCUGUGGGUUUGGUGAUCAUGGCCCGAAUCAAGGUCCGGGUCCGGGUCACCAUCAUGGUGAUCCACAUGCGGGUUUGCAAAAUGGGAGUAAUUCUGAGGAGGGGUUUUUAAGUAAUCAGGGUAAUGGAGACUCUAGCUGCUGGAAUGGGAGCAAUGGUUGGCCUGAUCUUGCCAUUUACACUCCAGGUUCCAAUUUUCAGUAAAACACUAAAAGUGCCCCACAAAAAGGAGGAAAUUAAUUGUUGAGAGAUAGAGGGUAUGUACUUCUAGUCUGCUAUCUACUCUUUGCCAUAUUUAGUAGUCUUACUAAUUUUGAUAAUUCCAAGAGCAUGGAUAGAAUACCCUUGUUGAGAGUGUAAUCAAGGCUAAAGGGGAAGGUGGGCGUGACCGAUCAAUGCCUAGACACCCAAAAUUGGAAACAAGGACCCCCCCCCCCCCCCCAAAAAAAAAAAAAAAAACCCCCACUAGUGCUGUAAUAGGGGCAUAACUCCGUCAUUAUAUAGUAGUAGUACAAUUAAUUUUUACCCCCUAUUAUUUGGGCUCUAUACUCUGUAGCUAAUAUUAUAUUAUUGUAUCUUGUGUUUUGGUACAUAUGGAAGGAGAAUUACAUAUUUCAAAACUCUUUCUUAUUGUGAUGUUUGAUUUGGUAUGUGGAUGAGAUUUAGAUAGGUGAUUAUUGGAAAUAUUAGUUGAAAUAAUACUCUUCGCAAUGUAAUGCAUGUGAAGUAAAAAGUGUGUUGAAAAUGUGUUUUUGCGAUAUAAGCAAAUAAUUUAUAGCUAUAAUUGGCGUUAUGAUGCGUUGUGCAUGAAUUCCAUACUUUCUUUCCUCUUUCUUUUUAGUUCAAUUAAUUGGUUAAACAUGCAUACUAUUUACGUAAGCAAAUGGAUGCUGCAAAACUCGUUUAAUGGUCUUUUUUUUACGUCCUGACAAGUAAGAACAAGUUUGUAGAUGAUGUAAUGUUUUAAAAGGCAAAAAUUGACAUUGUUGUUGUAAAACAAUUAAUAUAGGUGUCAUAAUGUUACUGUCAUUUGGCCACUGUAUUGUAUUAUAGUACUAUUUUGACAGUGGAGGAGAAUGAAAUUACGGUUUGGUUUUGCUUCUCUUGACUGAUCAGGCCUUCUUGUUAGAUAAUUUAAUUCAGUAUUUAAACUUAAUAGAUUCAGAUUUUAACAUAUUCAUAUCGUCUGAUAAUAAAAAUUGAAUAUCUAAAUUAAUUAAGUGGCAUUGAAUUUUUUAGACAAAAUUUGCUCUCAAAAUUAACUGAGAAAUUCUUCACUUAUCACUACUGAAUAUGAUUUGCAUUCAAAUAUAUUAGAUUUAAUAUUUAAUAAUUUAAAAUUUUAAUAAAUUCAGAUUUCGAUUUUAUCAAACGCACCGGACUCUUACAAAUAAUGAAAUAAUAGCAAGUGGAGUAAUGCCAGUGACAUAUCAGACGACACAUCUAGAUGUAUUUUGUGAAUCAAAAUAAGACUGUAGAGAAACUUUUGAAAAUGUUAGGAUAAUUUCGUCCACUAGAUAAUGGGCAGUAUUCGUGGCAACCGUUAAUAGGAGUAGCAGACUUUGUUAUUAGUGUUUUUCCAUAGUUUUGAUUAGUGGCUUAUAUUAGUUGACAUUAGGAUAAUGUGAUGGUGUGGGUAGAAAAUUGAUAUUAAAUAUCGCAAGUAGUUCAUGAAUGAGUUCAAGUCCGCUUGGGGUGUCUUCAAAUUGGUCGACAAAGUUGAACUUUUCUCGUUUAUAGUUAUUUAUUAGUCUCACAUAUCCUUGUUGCUUCUUUUUUUUUUUCUUUUUUUUUUUUUAAAAUUGUAGCUAAUUUACUUUGACCGGUUUGUUUGGAUUGCUCAACUCUGGUUUACUUCCAGAACAUAUAUAUACUUUCGAAUUGUGUGCAUGUGGCAAAUUAACUAACGCAGAAAAGUGGAUUUUGUCAUUUCUUAAAGGAUUAAUCUGUUAGUGUAUAUACCAUCUUCAUUAAAUGCAUAACAGCUUAUUGAAUUUAAAUUUAAAAUCCAAUUUUUGCUCGGGUCAUGUGUUCAAUCGAUUAAAUCAAAUAAAAAGUAGACAAUUAACGAAACCAUCGAAUGUUAGUUCGUUACUUCUUUUAGCUUCAUGCAAACACCAGACGCGUACAUAAAUGUUCUUGAGAAUCUCAUUCUAUUGGGAGGAUUAAUUACCAUCAGCAUUCUUACUAACUUGGGGACGUAGGAAAGAGUUAAUCUUGUAUACAUCGAUUGAUUGUGUAUAUAUUAUUAUCGUUGGUUGGAUGUAUAUGUUCUUGUAUUGAUAGAUUAUUAGGGUAUAAAAAUCGUGACUUCUUUUAGCUUUACGGAAACACCAGAUGAGAGUGUAUAUAUAUAUAUAUAUAUGUAUGUCCUUGAGAAUCUUUUAUUCUGCCGGGAGUAUUAAUUACCAUCAGCAUUCUUACUAACCUGAGGAUGCAGGGAAGAGUUAAUCUUGUAUAUAUUGAUUGUGUGUAUAUAUUAUUAUCGUUGGAUGUAUAUGUUUUUGUAUUGAUAGCUUAUUAGUGUAUAAAAGAUUUGUCUGUCUAUUGAUCUCACUAGUUAUAUGUUACUAUUUAUUAAGGCUCCGAUCGAAUCUCUGACCAAUUAAAGCACUAAAAGGCGAGAUGAGUUGUGACAUUUUCAAGCGCGAAUUGGAGGAAGAGUGAUGAAACAAAUUUACCCAAUAAGAAUGAUGGAUUGCCGGCACGAUAUACUCCUAUUCAUUAUUCUUAGGCUCAACGUUUUACCUGUUUGCUUAGGCCAUCAGAGCAUUUUACGAGCUACGGUAGCCAGUGAUGAUGGCUUAACAUCAUUGUGCUACACCUUGCUUUAUGACUCAUAAUUAGGUGGGUUUUUUUUUUUUUUUUUUAUUUCGGAUUUGUUUGGUAACAAGAGGAUAAGAAUGAAGGCUUUGUAUUUAAUUUUUGGACCUAAUGAAUCCUUUGCUGCAAAUAGGAUGGUAGAAGCAUAGUUAUAAUUCCGGCCUGACCAAUUUGGUCAGAGGAUCGGUGUGGGUUGCUAAUUAAAUUAAUUAAGUAAAUUUGUUGAUCAGUCAAUGAUGAUUUGAUGGUUCAACCGGUGAAUUAAGAAAAAUUGUUGGUUGAAUCAUUAACUUAAAAGUUUUAUUAUUUUUAAAAUUUAAAAUAUAUUAUUAUGUGAUAUAAUAUAAUUAUUAUACAACUUGCUGUUGAAUUGCUCAAUCCGCAUUUGAACCGGUGACUCGGUCACCUCGAGUUGAGUUUCGGUUGGAUUUAAUUACUAUAGGUAGUUUUUAAACUCGGGAUAGUUAUAUGAAUCGGAUGGAUUUUCGAUUCACGAUUCAAUCUGGUUCAAUUGGUUGAAUUGGGUUCAAUCGGUUUAACUUUGCUCAAAUGUUUCUCUUUUUUUAUUCUUUUAUUUUUAUUUAUUAUGGAAAUUGGAUAACUUUAAAAUAAAUAAAAUAAAAUAAAAAUUUGGGUUAACCGAUUCAAAAGUUGGAUUUUUAUUCGAUUAUGAUUAGCAAACUAGUUCUCAAUCAAGUUUGGUUAGUUUCAAUUAAUUUUUGGAUUUUAUUAGUGGAUCGAACUGAUUUAAUGGUCAAUUCACAAUUCAAUCGGUAGAAACAAUGAGUCCGAUCUGAUUUUCAAAUCACUUGGUUUGUUUGGAUUGAUGAUUAUUUGUCAAAAUUUAUUUACUUACAUCAUCAUUACAAUUUCUAACACAUCUUUUUAUCUUCUCAAUUACUUUUUUAUCUCACAUACAUCACAUCACAAAAAGUGAUACAGUAAAAAUAUCUCAAAUAAUUUAGUUGACUAGGCUAAGAAUUUGGUUAUGGUUUAGUGUUGAGAUUUAAAAAAUUAAAGGUUACUGAGUUUAAAUCUCUCCUCUUUCUAUUUCUUAAAUAUCACCCUUUGCUACUAGAAACAAAAAAAUUUUUAAAAAAACUUGACUAUGAUUUAAGGAAAAAAAAAAUUCCCCAUCUUUUAUCCUAGAGAAAAUUAACUCAGCCAAUUUUUUUUCUUUCUUUUUUUUUUUGGGGCUGAGAAAAGUCUAUUGAGGUUGUCUCAGGGAGAUCAAUGGAAUAGGAUCGGUGCAAAUGGUUUGUUGCAAUUACUACCAUUGGCUACUUGUCGAAUUAUGGAAAAAUCUUAACUCGGGCAUAAAGGCCCACAAGCCAUGACGUGUAUUUAGAUGGACCACGUUCACGAUCAGGUUUUAGAAUUGCAUCGCAAAGAACCCCCUUGGGGUGGGCCUUUGAAAGCCUCAAGAGGACACAGGUCAUUCACGUCAACGUGGCAGUGGGUAAAUGUGGCCCACAAGCAUCUCUCUCUAAUCCAUGCCAAUAUUUCCAUUUUGAUCUUUUUCUUUUGUCGUUACUUGCCCUCCUACAACCUCUCCUUCCCUGAGUUGCCAUAAAGUACAAGCUGUUAGUAUUUGUUAGUCGGAAUGCUUGAAUCUUAUUAGUAUUAAUCUUCUAUACACUGAUAGUAUACACACUUUUAUCAUUAAAUGCAUAACAUAUGAUACGAAUUUGAAUUUAAAACAUAAAUUCUGCAUAUGUGUCGUAUAUCUAACUGUGAUAAUGUAUACACCGUCAGUACAUAUAAGAUUUACUCAUAUUAUUAUACCUUCUCAAAAAGACUCAAAAAAAAAAAAAAAAAAAAGAGAAGAAAAGCCUUCACCUCCAAAAUCAAAUGCACUAGAGAAAGUGUGGAGAGGUGUACGUUGACAAUGUGCAAAGAGGCUUACCAAAGGUCUUGGCUGUAAUAAAUGCUGCUAAUUGUGUCAGUACAGUACUGGACAUAUUGUUGCAAAGUCAAUUAAUUGCCUCAGUUGUUGACCUGCAUGCAAUGCAAAAGGUGUACUGUAAUUGCAAUCGGAAUUUGCCCCAUUUUCGGGUGCAACCAACAGUCAACAGAGAGAGGAGUAGAAGAAAUGAAUACUUUUGUUGUAGUACUAUAAAUUGACUUGAGAGAUGAAAAAGUUAAAAUGAUUUUCUUUUUUCUUCCUUUUUUAACGGAAAGUUGAUUUUGGUCCAACAUUUCUUCCAUGUAUGUCUGACUAAAAGAAUAUACAAUACAGAUUUUGCACACAGAUUCUGAUCAUGAACCUCUUAAUAGGGAUUUCUAUUUUUAGGGUUUGAGGGAUUGAGAUAACAGUUCAUGAUGGGAGAUAAAUAAUUUCAAAAUUGGAUGGUAGGGUUGAGAAUUGAGCACAAAAUUUUCAAUAAAUAAUAAAUUUUGUUAUGUUUUUAGAUGUUAUUUGAAUAUCUGUUUUCAUUUGUUCAAUUUGUGUUCACCAUUACACGUGACUUAAAACAAAUAAUAAUACUCCCUUCGUCCCACUUUAAUAGUCCUGUUUUCUAUUUUCGUAUGUCCUAAAUUGUAGUCCACUUUCCAAUUGAAGAAUGUAGUUGUAUUUUAAUUUUUCUAAAAUACCCUUAUUCAAUGUAAGUUGUUGUUACUAUAAACCUAUUCCAUUUAAGGAGAGUUGAUUCUUUUUUUACCAUCAAUUCAAGUUUCCAUAAAGUUAUAUUCUAAUUAAUGUGAAGGUAUUUUAGGAAAAUAGCUACCUAAAUUGAUUGUUCCAACAAAGUUAACUACUUUUUAUUAAACUGUGUGAAAAAAGGACCAAAACUGUCAAAGUGGGACGGAGGGAGUAAUAAGAAGAGGAACACCAUUUGAUUUGGCCGACAUAAAAAGAUCCACUCACUACUUGGAACUCGUGAGCCACUUUCCCUACCCACGCGUGAAAAACCUGGCUCAUUCUUGGAUUCCAUGAAACGGCAAGGAGCAUUUGAUUACAACCGCAGGAGAGAAGACUAUAGAAGUAGAAGAGGAAGUUGGGUGACGGAGUGAUGUGUGAUGAUGAAGGUCCAGGGACGGCAGCCACCCGUGGACCAUGAAAAUGAUUAAUGAUUCACUCCCAUAAUAACCAUUCAUUAUCAUCAUUGUGUUUUUAACUAAUGUUUUGCUGCUUUUGAUUACCCAUCCACUCCUUCCUUAGGCCUUGCACUAAUCAUGCAUGGCUUGAAAAUGAAACAUUAACACAAAUUAUUCAACAAGCAGCAGCAGCGCAUGCAGUUGGUUGUAGUACCCUACCCUGUGAUUCGAUUUAAUUGGAUCUCUCUGCUCAACAAAUGUAGGAGAAGAGUUCAAUAGAGUGAAAAUUUUUAGUAAAAUGCGCUAGUUCAAGAACUAUUUGAGAUAUUUUUACUGUAGCACUUUUUGUGAUGUGAUGUAUGUGAGAUAAAAAGAUAAUUAAGAAGAUAAAAAAGCGUAUUGAAAAUUAUAAUGAUGAUAUAAGCAAAUAUAUUUGAGCAAAUAAUCUCCCGUCCAAACACACUCCCAAUUUACAUCAAUCAAACGAGGAUCAUGCAAAGCUUCCCGUAACUCUUCAAUGAUUGGGCCAAUAGCAGAGAGAUCAUCAUCUUUACUAUUGAUAAGUUGGACAAUUCUAGAUACUUGACUUAAACUUAUUUCUAUUUCUUUAGUCCAAAUCAUGAUUUAACAGGAUAAAGCUCCCAAAAACAGAAAGAAAGAAAGAAAAUAAUGGGGUAUAAAAACGUAAAUUAGCGACAAUGUAUAUUGUGGAGGUUUAAACCCCCAGCCGGUAUCCUUGAAUGUUGCUUUGAAAACUCCAAACAACUGUCACUGGCUAUAUGACCAUAUGAGACAAACCUCAACUAUAAACUCAUACCACAUAAGUCGGAAUUGUAACCUAACCAUUACUCCUCUCCCAUUACUCCAUUAGUAGCCAGCACAGAAUCGUAAAUAGUAGUAUCGAAGCCAUGCUACGCGGUAAUGGUUGAGAAAUUUGUGGCGUUUUUUAACUACCGUUUCUAUCUCUCUCUCUCAAUCUCUGUAAAAGACAGAUCAAGUAACGGUGUUUGAUCUGUCUUGUCUACCUUUCUAGACUAGUUCAACUAGCUGAAAAUAGCUUUUUUCCAAAAGAAAAAAUGGGGGAUGAAACUGAUCUAGGAGUACAACACAGCAAUACCUGCUCCAAUUUCCAUUCAUUUUACAUCCAUAUCAAAAACUCCCGCUCACCACACACUACAAACUAAUGUACAACUUCCAAUUAAUAAACCUUGCAUGUAUAAAUACGUGGCCCUUCAAUUUACUUUCCCAUGCAAAACCCUAAAUAUAUUCAUCUUUCUUUCUCCAAAUAGGAAACUCGGUUGUAUGUUUGCAAAAACGAAGAACAAAUGAACAUGGGCAUUCAAGGCAUCCGAACGGCACCUUGGUGCACUGUUUGGGCUCUCAUAGCUACCAUUUCCAUCAUCACCUCAAGCCCUCAUGUGUCUGCUAAAAUGAAUGUGAUCGACAAAUGCUGGAGGACAGACCGUAACUGGCGCAGCCACAGGCACCAAUUGGCUACCUGCUCCGUUGGUUAUGCUGGGAAAAUGAUGAGCAACAUUGGCCGAGACGUCAUAAACUACAAGGUGACUGAUCCAUCCGACGAUGCACUCAACCCUAAGCCAGGAACCCUGAGAUAUGCUAUGACCCAUGUCAAGGGAAAGGUUUGGAUUACGUUUAAGAGAGACAUGAAUAUUACCCUCCAGAAACCCCUUCUUGUCAGCAGCUUCACUGCCAUUGAUGGACGAGGUGUUAAUGUACACAUUUCUGGUGGUGCUUGCCUAGUGUUGCAAAGGGUAAUGAACUUGCGUUCUUUUUUCUUGGUUGAUUUCGCCAGUCGAUUGGUCUGUAGUUUAGUUCACGGUGUGUCUUACAUGCACCUACAGAUGCUUGCUGGUCAACUUUAUCUCUUAAAAAUUUUACAGAGCACAGGCCAAGACUAGGAAGUUUUGCCAAACAGCCUUUAUCAGGCAGCUAUAAUUGAUGUACGUAGUAAAAUUCUAGUAUAUGACGAUUAUCAUGAAAAUGUUAUGGGAAAUCCUAUUCAAUCGAAAUAAUUAUGCCAAAUUAAUUAAAUGGGUUCAUGAUUCAUUUCUAUCCUUUUAUACCUUUAGCGCCAGUCGAUAGUAUAUGCAUUAUUAUUCUUUGAAGUUGUUAUACAUCUUUGUCUUGACGAAAAAAAUUUUUUGACUUAAAAAUUUGGUGAAACAGGCGAACAAUGUCAUCAUACACGGUCUCCGCAUCCACAAUUGCGUUGCUCAACCAGCAGGACCUGUUCUAGGUCCAGACGCCAAGAUUGUACAUUUGGGACCCGUUGAUGGAGAUGCUAUCAGAAUGCUAUCGAGUUCUAAGAUAUGGAUUGAUCACAAUACGCUUUACGACUGCCCUGAUGGAUUAAUUGAUGUUACGCGAGGCUCAACAGGUGUUACCAUCUCAAACAAUUGGUUUAGAUCCCAGAAUAAGGUCAUGCUUUUGGGACAUGACGAUGGCUUCCGACGAGACAAGGACAUGAAAGUUACCGUAGCCUUCAAUCAUUUUGGUCCUCGCUGCCAACAAAGAAUGCCAAGGUACAAAAUUCUCUUGUUAGAACUAUGAUAUAUACACAUAAAGAAGACUCUUAUCAUGUUAUCCUCCAUUUUGUGUAAUUGGGGGUUUUGUCUGUGUCAGAGUUCGAUUCGGAUAUGCCCACGUUGUUAACAAUCUUUACCUGGGUUGGGGAGCAUACGCUAUUGGAGGAAGCAUGGAUCCUACGAUAAAGAGCCAAGCAAAUCUCUUCAUUGCCCCAAAAGAUGGGAAUAAAGAGGUAUGUAUCGAUGAAGUCUUUUUCAUCCAUUUCGUGCUCCAUGGUGUAUGAAACUCUCAAGACUUAACAAUCUGGAUAUGAACAUCGACAGGUGACAUGGAGGCAGCACAACGGAAAUGGCAUGUCAUGGAACUUCUUAUCUGUGGAAGAUGUUUUUGAAAAUGGCGCCUCUUUCAGCCAAUCAAGAAGUGGUGGCGGUGUUGCCGUGAGGCCAAACUAUAGCGCGGAGCAGAUUUUUCCAAUAGAAGCAGCAAGAGAAGUGAGGGCAUUGACCAAAUCUGCUGGUGCCUUGAAGUGUCCAAGGGUAUCCAGAUGUUGAAACAAGGCUCAACCUGAUGAAGGACGCCAAUGUGAAAAAGCAGCAGCCUCGAACAUCUAUUCGUUGUUCAUCUUUUAUAUGAUCUUCUUCCCCCUUUUUCGUUUUUUUCCUUUCUUUUCUUUCUGUUUUAUGCAUGUUAUGGCAUGGUAGUAUUUAACUAGACACAAGCCAGCACCAUAACCUUGGAUGACCAGAAAAUAAAGGACAUAUAUAUAUAUAUAUAUAUAUGCUUGUAAAUACAAUUAACUGCUUUUCCGCUCUUUGAGCAUACACAUUUCACUGAUCAAUCAAUACCAUUACGUUUGGCUCCAAGAUAAUUGAUUGACAUGAUAGUAACCUUUUUCCUUUUUCUAGAAAAACAGAAGAAAAAAAAUUCGGGAAUCACAGGACCCAAAGAAAAUAUAUGUUUGGAUUGCCAUUUUCAGCCUGAAAAUUGCCCUCUAUUUCUGACUAGGGUUUUUAAAUUCAGUUGUAUGAAAUUUUGCUAAGCCUGAAUUAACCAACACCCCGCAGACCAUCAAUCUUGCUGGGUUGGAAUUGACCAGAUUAUGUCUUACUCCGGUUCUGCCAAAAGUUUACCUAAAUGCAAAAGUGGCAAAAAUAGGCUUUGGAAAAUUUCAAAGGAGCCAAAAGUAAAAGCGAGAAUAAAAAGGAUAACCAUUAUCUGCAAAAUGUCACAUAAUAAGUUCAUCACAGAAAAAGCACAAAGGAUUUAGCGUACAGAUUGAACAUGACUCAUUGAUAUUGACAAAAAAAAUAACACAAUGGAAGAUAUGAAGAUGUUUAUCAUACUUCUUGUAAUGACAUGAUCCCAUCCAACAACAAUCAAAAUUACAUUGCGACAAGUCGGGCCUUGUACAUGCAAAUAUA